GCAGGGGCUUCUAAACUCAGGGAAUGGCCAGGUCACUUGCACCAGCCGCCUAGGCAUGGUGUUCCGGGUCUUGUUUCGCUCUGAUGUUAAAAGGCGCGCUUGUUCUAGCUUAAUAGUGGUUUGUGUGUUUUGUGUUGUGUUGUGUGAGUGUUGGGGGUGUUCUGUGCUAAGGAUAGGGGCUUCCCCUUUUCUUUGUACUUUCUUCUCUCUCUCUCUUAAUGAAAUGACACGCAGCUCUCCUGCAUAGUUUGAGAAAAAAAAAGUUUGAUGAAAGAAGGAUCAAAUGCUAAUUUUCUUGUUUGUCUCCAUUCAUGUCCUAAUACUUCUGAUGUGCUGUUUUCUUAACACUAUUGCUUUUUCUUCUAAGGAAAAGUAAUUUAUGCCCCAGUGUUGAAAAACCAUGCUGACUGUUUUAAAUGCUGUUUUCAUAUAAUGGAAAAUUAAGCCUACUAGACGCACCAGGUCCAGAUGACUUUUGGAAAAUUUUGAUGUUACCCAUCCGUAACAUAUCCAACACGUUAGGUUUUUAUUUUUAUUUGGAAAAUCUCUGCUGCUCAACUAUAAUGCUGGGAGUGUUUACUCCAAAGGAUGGAAAUGCAUGUCUUUAUUUUGUUUAUAUAGGGAGCGAGGAAAAUUUCAUCUUUAUAGCCUUUUUAGUUUGUAAUAUAUCUGUAUGAGUAAUAUAACCUUGCCUGCAUAUAUUCGUUUUACCAUUCCAUUUGAUAUAAAUUGGCCUUCUGUAACGAUGAGUCUUGUGGAAAAAGAAGAUUUUCUUGCAUUUUCAUUUUUCCAUGCACAAUUUUUAUUUAAUUAUUUAUCUUGACUAUAUCAAUAGUUUAGUUCAUAUGGGAAUUUUUUGGAUGAAAAUACAGUGAUGGAGGCUCCCGCUGUGUAGGAUUUUAUUUAAACAAAAAGAACUAAAGAGGGAAGUGUACAAACUGCCAAAGCAGUGAGAGAGGUGAGAGAGCAGAGAGAGGGGAGAGGGCUAUACACAACUAAAACCAAAGAUCAAAACCAGAGGAUUGAGCUGAUUAUCUACAGGAGAUCUAUCCAACUAAGGAAAGCCGUUCAUAUGGGAAUGUUGGCAUGCCGCACAGUUGGCGCAAUCGAUCAGAUGAUCACAGCAUAUCCCUUUUCCUUUUUCUUCAGAACUUCAGUAGUGAACCUCAAGUGCUUAUAUACAGAUUCUAUAGCUAGUAAAUAACAGUAGUUGGAUUCUUGGAUCAAUGAUUUUGCAAUUAUGUAAUUAUUUUAACUGAGAACUUUGCUUAAGCUGAUUUGUGAAUUAGUUUGCAUGGUUUUAAAUGGACAAUGUGACAAGGAUCUUUGCUUAAGCUGAUAAUAUCAAUUAGUUUGCAUUAGUUAUGAAUAUAAGGUGAAUUUUUUCCUUAAUCUGGUGAGUUUCUAGAAGUUGUAUACAUGUAGUUUUAAUGCUUAAUGAACAGACAGGUAUAGAUCACAUUGCACAGUGCUGAUCGCUUGAUUGUCAAUCAAUUAGAGGACCAAAAGUUUGCUAACUUACUGCAGCCUCUUUUAAUCAUGGUAGCAUAUCUAGUACUGCAGUUCCGAGCUAAUUGUUUGCCACUGAAAAAAUAUUGUUACUCUUAAUUCGACUAUAUUGUCUUUGAAGGUGUACUUUAAGAUUAUAGCCUAACAUGUUUUUUCAUGCAUCUAAAUUUCUUUCUCUUAUUUCUCCUUUGUGUUUUGCUCCUCAAGUUUAAUCACUGAUACAUUGAUCUUGCUCAAGUGUUAUAGUCUCAUCUCAUCUUUCAGGCUUUACAUGGAUAGACUUGACCUUUUUGUUGCCUGGUUCUCUAAAUAUUACCCUAAUGCGUUGUACUUUUGAAAUUAUAUUUGUCACAGAGGGUGUUAGCUAAGGAGACAGAGCUGCACUUGGCCCAGAAAGAGUUGAAUAAAUACAAGGAACAGCUGAGUAAUGCUGAGACAACCAGAGUACAGGCCCUCUCUGAGCUAGAGAAAGCUAAAAAAACUGUUGAGGAGCUAACCACCAAGCUGGAUGCUAUCAACAAGUCUAAAGUGCUGGCCAUUCAGGCAACAGAGGAUGCAAAGACUCGAACCAAGCAGCUUGAAGGUGGCAGCUCAAAUGAAGGUCUUGGCACAGAUGGCCCUCUGAAGCAGGAACUGGAAAGUGCAAGGGAGCAGUAUGCUGUAGCUUUGGCAGACCUUGAUGCAGCAAAACAGGAGCUUAGAAAGCUCAAGAAAGAUUUUGAAACCUCAUUGGAUAUGAGGUUGUCUGCAGCUCAGCAGGAAGAGGAAUCACUGCACACAACUGAAGCCAACAAGGAAAAGGCUAAUCAACUUCGUAAUGAGAUUGCAGAAAUUCAAGAGUCACUUAUGCACGUUAAGGCAGCUACACAGCAAGCACAAGAGGAGGAAUCACAAAUCCGUGCUGAGAAGGACGUUGCUAGGACCACAUACAAACAAGCUUUGGAAGAGACGCAGAAGAAAUUGUCAUCUUUGAGGAAUGAUUUUGAUCCUGCUGCUUAUGAAAGUCUCAAAGAGAAGUUAGACCAAACCAAUUCUGAGAUUGCAUCCAUGCAGAAAAAGAUAGAAGAUGCUCGGGCUCGGGAUUUAGAGUCUGUUGCUAUUGUCAGCACAGAGUUGGAUGAUGCUAAGGAAAUGUUGCAGAAAGUAGCAGAGGAGGAAAGUUCCCUUCGUGGUUUGGUGGAGUCACUGAAAGUUGAGUUAGAAGCUGUAAAACAGGAGCACAAUCAGCUUAAAGAGAAGGAUACUGAAACUGAAUCCAUUGUUGGCGAUCUACAUGUUAAGCUUCAGAAAUGCAAAUCCGAGCUCGAGGCAGCUGUAGCUGCUGAAUCCAAAGCAACAUCAGCUUCUGAUGACUUGAUGUUGGCCCUUCAGCAGCUGUCUUCUGAGUCAAAGAAUGCCCUGCAGGAAGCUGAGAUGAUGCAAAAGAGUGCGACAGAGCUAAGAGAUGAAGCUGAAAAAGCUCGGGUUGAAUUAGCAGAGGCUGAGCAAAAGUUGCAGCUGGCUUUGAAGGAAGCAGAAGAGGCAAAGGCAGCUGAAGCAAGGGCCCUUGAUCAGAUCAAGGAACUCUCGGAUAGAGCAAGUGCUGCUCGAGCCUCAACUUCAGAGUCUGCAGCAAAUAUCACAAUCUCAAAAGAGGAGUUUGAUUCUCUAAGCCGAAAGGUUGAGGAGUCUGAAAAGCUGAGUGAGAUGAAAGUUGCUGCUGCUAUGGCUCAAGUGGAAGCCGUCAGAGCUAGUGAGAACGAGGCAAUCAAGAAACUGGAAGCCGCCCGCAAGGAGAUGGAGGACAUGGAAUUGGCAACGGAGGAGGCACUGAAGAGGGCAGAGAUGGCUGAGGCAGCCAAAAAGGCUGUAGAAGGUGAGCUUAAGAGAUGGCGCGAGAAGGAGCAGAAGAAAACUGCGGAGGCUCAGCCUUCCACAGGAGAACAUGCAGGUACAUCUCCGCCUGUGCCGCAGGCUUCUGGCGGGAAAGCUUCUGAGAAGAAUGAGGGCCAUCAAAGAAACAGCAGGACGCUACUAAGGAAGAGCUUUAUGCUGCCAAACAUCACGAGCAUGUUCCACAAGAAGAAGGGCCACGCUGGCAGCAGUUCUCCAUCGUACCUUCCUGGGGAAAAAUCCGUGUAAUCUAUAUGAAGCUCUUGUUUGCGAGUUGAAAUUUCCAUACUUGAAGGCAUGGUCAGAUGCUAUAAUCUGUAUAAUAUGCUUGUAGUUGCUUGCGCCUUGCAGUAAAUUACUGAUAUAAUUUUAUAUAUGCAUGUUGUGGCUGUUUCUUCUACACUUGCCGGACUUUUAUGAGUACAUUAUACCUCUGUAAUUCAGUGUUAUAUUUGAGUAUCCUAGGUAAGUUCUUGCAAGCUUCCAGAGUAGUGUAAGCAGAAGUAUCAUACUCAUUGAGGCCGCGGUGAAUUGUGAUGUCUACAUGUUAGUGAUGUUGAGUAUGUGCGCCAUUGGCCAUCAUAUAUGUAGAAACAUACACCCCAGUGAUCAAAGUGCACAACUGUUAUACAAAUGUCAGCCAGUCAGGUGACCGUACAAGUAUAGCGCAUAAUUUGUUGCUUCUAAGCAUGCGCAAAUGACAAAAUAAAAGAAUGCUAAGUUACUUUACGCUUCUUAUAUUUACAAGAGCUGCAAAGUAAGCUCACAUUCAGAUAAAAUGUAGGCACAAGGUGUUGGGGGUCGGGGUAUGUGGUGAAGUCCUUGCUUUUCAGAGGAUCCUGUAUAAAUCACCUCACAGAAUCAACAGUAGUAAUGGCCUUCUUCACAAGGGUUCCUCAGAAAAAAGUACAUACAGCGCAUUUCCUCCAAACUUCCUUCAAAAUCAUAUCCACCAAAAAUGGGUUGAAAAGAUGGGUUUAUAUAGGAGCUACUUCAAACCCAUGCAAAGGAGAUCUGUAUCUGAUGGAGCAUUAAAGUAAAUCCAUUUACUCAAUCCUUUCAAGAUUAUAUUUCACCAUCUUCUCAAGGGUACUUCGGAAGUCGCUUCUCGGAAGGCACUGCAGAUUUUGGAUAGCCAAGUCACCCUUCUCUCUCGCAAGCUCAUGUGCCCUCCUUAUUCCACCACUUCUAUGAACAAGGUCUAUCGCAGCAGCUAACGAAUCCGUCUCACUGAACUCGGAAUCGAUGAUCUCCCUCAGCUCUGGUUCAUCUUGCAAAGCGAAGAUGACCGGAGCCGUCAGAUUUCCCUUUGCCAAGUCACUUCCUGCUGGUUUGCCAAGUUGCUCAGCGGACUGGGUGAAGUCCAGGAUGUCAUCAACUACCUGGAAGGAGAGCCCAAGAUUCCUGCCAUAUUCAUACAUUUGUUCACAAAUUGCAGUGCUGACGCCACUGAAUAUGGCGGCUGACCUUGUGCUUGCUGCGAUCAGAGAUGCAGUUUUGUAGUAGCUCUUGAGAAGGUAAUCGUCAAGGGUGAUGUCACAGUCAAACAGAGUGGAGGCUUGUUUUAUCUCACCACUCGCAAAGUCCUUGAUUACCUGUUACAGUGCAAUCUAUGUAAAUAAAAUCAAGUAAGAUUAAACAAGGUAUGAAAGCUUGCUCAAGUUCUCGAUUACCUGACUGAUCAGCUUUAUAACUUCAAUGUUUUCUAGGUUUGCAAGGAACCAAGAAGAUUGCGCAAACAUAAAAUCGCCAGCAAGUACAGCCACCCGUGUACCAUAUAGCUGAUGAAUAGUUUCCUUCCCUGAAAAAGAAUCAAAGUAUACAUUAGACUAUUGAUCAACUGAAUCUUGAAUAAGUAUUGGAAAUAAAUAUUAGGUUGCCAAUGUGGUGGGGAGGAUGUUUAGCGUCUUGUUAACUAGGUUAAUGACCUAGGACCCACUUCAGUGUUCAUUACUUUGUUAAGUCAAUGCAUAAACUCCUUGCUAAAUUUUCAAAGAAAAUGAAAAUGACAACAUGAAGACUGCAAUUUUCUAUGAUGAUUUUAUUUGAUUACAGUCAUCCUAUAAGGAAUGUGGAAGAAAAAGGUAGCAACAGUAGGACUCCCAAAAGAAAUCAUAGUUCCCAAAUUAAUCAAUGCCUCUAAUGUUGGAAGUGUUUCCAAGAUAAAAAACCAGUAGAAACAAAUGCAUCUAUAAAUUGAAAAGAAAAGAAAGAAAAUUUUUAUUAACAAUAUUUAUUUGAAAAUAACAUAACAUUACCUCUUCGCAUCCCACUGUCAUCUAUGACAUCAUCAUGUAUUAAACUAGCAGUGUGAAUCAUCUCUAUAAUCUCUGCCAAGCGUUGAUGUUCUGUAGUUAGCUCCCUGGAUUCCAGAAAAAUAAAGGCUCAAUUAAUAAUUUCAAACAUCCCCUUAUUGGUAAAGUUACAAUAACAAAGAGAACUUACGACAAACCAGCUAAUUCAGCAGUAGCUCUAGACACCAGAAAAACUAACGCCGGUCUUAAUCUCUUCCCACCGGCACCAAAGAUUUGUUCAGCCGCAGAAACCAAAACUGGAUUCUCUGCACCAACAAGCUAUUGAAGUCAUGUUAGGUGUUAUUAUGGCAACUAGGAGCCCAAUUUGACAAUGGCAUGCCUUAUACAAACAGUGAUUCAGAAGAUGAAGUUUGGAUGAAAAAAUACCAACAAGAAUAAACUAAAGUGAUUUGUUUACUCAAAUUACUGUCAAUCCCCAACCACCCAACAUUCAUCAAAAUAUGGAGCAAAGGAUGGUUUCAAUUGGGAUACACCAUUAACCAGCCGUUGCUGCCUUUCGUCAUUUAGAUAGUGAAUUCCCCUGCACUUUGCAGUAUAGUCCAGGAUAACAGGUCCAUGCUGGUGCAAAAGAAAUAAUUUCUACGUCCUUUUGGAGUUUGUAUAUUUUCUUGGAGUACCACCUAAACUAAAAGUCUGCACAAUGUCAUUUGCUGUAACUAAAUGAUAGCAUAUAGCUUGUGUCUCCUUAUGGCCAACUUCACAUGAUCACCUCCACCCAAGUGCCACGUUCAUGCUUAGAAGUUAGAACCCCCUCUUUGUUACCCCAUCCAAGACACCUAUACAUCCAUGUUAUGACGUCAGUGCAGACAGUUGUGACAGCUGGAGUCAUAGGUACACUCAGACCCUGCUAGAAAUUGAGCAAGUGCACAGCAUCUAGGAAUUAAUGGUAGAAACUACAAAGUGAUAUCAUGUAGCUUAUGGCCCAGUGCAUAAUUUUCAGAAGAAGGUGAGCCUGUGCCCCAUUAAGCAUAGUUAAUGUUCACCCUGCAUGAUCUCAAGUCCGUAACAGAUUCUCUACUUUUGUUGAAAACUUGCAGAAUUCUCCAGACAAGGGUCCACCUCCACCAUCCCACAACCUUUUCUUUUCCAGGUGUAGUAGUUAAUUUUUCUGUUCUACAUCAUUGUUGAAAUGUUACUCCCUCCAUUUUCUUUUGCAAGUGUAUUGGGAUUUGGGUUAACGUUUCUGUUCUACAUCAUUAUUGAAAUGGUAGUCCCUCCAUUUCCUUUUCCAAGUGUAUUAUGAUUUGAAAAGAUCAAAUUAUAUAAAUCUUGAGUCAAAUUAUACACAUAUUUAAUAUAUGAAGUUAUAUCAGUAGAUAUGUAUUUCACAAAACUUUUAAUUGAUAAUACAUUUUCUAACAAUUGAUGAUAUGUUGCAAAAGGAAUUGAUGGUUAAAUUACACUUUUAGAGACUUCUCAGAAUCCUAAUAUGCAUUAUGAAAAAGAAACAGAGGUAGUACUUGAUUUGAAGAACUUGGCAAAGUAAGGCAAUGUAGGAUGAAACAACUAGUAAUAGAACGGGGAGAAACAUUGUUAGGAUCCUUUGGAAGGAUUUGUAGUGUAGGCAAGGCAUGCUCACAUUCAACUCCAAAGUGCAACCACAAGCAGUACUUAAAAUUCUUUCAAAGUGAGGAUUUCAAAACAGGUCUAAAUCGUUUCAACUAUCAGCUUUUUGUAAAAAUAAACUCAAAAUAAAAAGAAACUAUUAGUCAUAAAGGGAAUGCGCCUCUUUCGAGAGCAUUUCGAGUAAAUAGAAGAAGAAGGGUGCAAGUGACAAUAGGAGAGCAAGAAACUCACCGAUUUGAGAUUGUUAUUGAGCUUGAGCAAAUCGUCUGAGACGACCUCCAAAAGCGAGGACACCGAAAUACGCUCGGGGAUGGUCGUCGUGUUAGGAAUGCUCGCCGCCGGCACGUUGAUCGCAGCAAGACCUGCACAGACAGACAUACCCAAACUCAGCACGGACAAUCCAACGCCAUUGAAAUACGUGUCCAGGCACGUUCCGGGGGAAAAAAUAAUAAUCCAACACCGGUGCCCGUACGCAGCCUAGCAGGAAGAGAAGCCACAGACACGGACCUGCUGGCUGGCUAGGUGAGACCACGAAGCAAACACCUAGCGUGCGCCGCCUGGACGCCGCCCUGCCACCAGCCCAGCUGCACCGGACGCGCUGCGUGCGGCGGGCGGAGCACGCGUGCCGUAGGAGCUGCGGCUGCGGCUGCGGCUGCAGAGGAGACGACGGGACGACGGCCGCGGCGCCGGCCGUGGCCGUGCCGCGCCGGGAGAGGUGGGAGGAGGAGGCGAGGGAGGACGACGGCGCCGCCAUGCUCCUUUUGGUGCCGGUGGUCACGGCAGUGCGGCGCGGCCCCGGGCGCGUCGCGGGUUCUUGGGAGCUUGUGGUGACACGCGACGCGGCAGGCGACCACGGGCGGGGUGGCGGGGGCGGGAGCGGGGCCUGUGUGCGCGCGCCCGGGUGGCUGCGUGGCCGAGCUGGCGGCCGUGGCUUUGUAUGGUCCGCUCGCCCCUUAUCGGCGCACACGGGAUAGGGGCAACCUGGGCCGUGGAUUCGGCCACGUCAGCGCGGUAAGCUGGCGGCGUAAAGGCUGCCUAUGUGGACGGGAAGGAAGUCAGGAACUCGUGAGUCUGAAACGCGAGCCAGUGGAAAUGUAUGGCUCCGGGAGAGGGGUGGAAUUAUGGGGCCGUUUGGAUGCUCGGGCAAAGUUUGUCCAGCCGCACCGAGCAAGGAUUUGGAGGUACAUAUAAAUGGGAAUAGGUUGUUUCGCAUCUAUCCUUCGACAUGGCCUAAUUUUUAAGGCUACGUACCGAUCCAAUUCAACAUUUGACUAUGGUCUAAGAAUUAGACUUAGGUCCCGUUUGGGUCCAAGGAAUUGGAAUCUAUUUAAUGGAGUAGGCUAAUUUAUAUUGGAAUGUGGCAUUCCACAACUUUCCAAAGUUUAGAUAUAAGCCUAUCUUAAAUUCAUGGGGUGGGAGAUGGAAAUUGAUUCUAUAGAUUAUGGUUAUUAGAUGGAAUUCAAUUCUUAUAGCACGCUCUUAGACUCGCUUCUCUAUAGUAGAAGUGCAGCAUACAAGUAUCUCUCCCAUAUCACCAACUAUAAUAUACAACUAUAUUCCACAUACAAUUAUAUUAGCUUAAUUAAUUUAUGUCUAAAUUAUGAUUAUUAGGAUGGAAUUCAAUUCCAAUGAUCCAAACGGGGUCUUAAGGGAUUUAAGGAAUUGAAGUCAAGCCAAAUCAAAUCAAGGGAUAAUAUAUUCGUUUAGGAUAAUGUCUACAGCGACAACAGUAGUUAAAAUUGGAGAAUUAUAAGAUAAAUCAAGGGAUAAUAGAUUUGUCUAGGACAAUGUCUACAGCGACAACCAUAGUUAAAAUUGGAGAAUUAUAAGAUAAAUUCUAGAAAAAUAUUAUUUGAAAGCUAAAUAACACUACUAUAGAAAAUACCAUUAUCGUCGGGCUAUCACCGCCGGUUAUAGAUGAACUGUUGGUGAUGCCUUUCACCGCCGGUUUCGGAGUAAAUGGGCGCAGCGGCCCUUAUAACUGGCGGUGAUGCUCGUUUUCAUCGCCGGUUCGUAAUUGAAACCGGCGGUGAUAUGUAUCACAAACGAUUUUAGUCAAGAGCCGGCGGUGAUGCUCAAAUAUGGACCUGAAAUUUUUAUUGAACUCAGUUUUGAAAACGAUUCGCGUCCGCUCCCCUUCUUGACUCCCUCCCCCUCGGGACCGUUCUCGUUCACACUCCUCUCCUCCCCCUCCCUCUCUCCGCACCCUCCCUCUAUCCCGCUCUCCGCCGCCCCUCCUCCCUUCUCUCCCUCCGCUUCUCCUCCGCCUCUCCUCCUUCAACCUCUCAUCCGCUUCUCCUCCGCCUCUCCUCCCUUCUCUCCCUUCCUCUUCACACCUCAGAUCCAUGCGCGUCAGCCUCUCCUCCCUCUCCCCUUCGCCUCUCCCUCUACUCCCUUUGCCACCCCUUCCCUCUCCCCUCCGCUCGCCCCUCACUGGUAGUGGGGAGCAGCAGCGGGGUGAGAUGCGGCGGUGGCGACGACGGGCAUGGGUGGGUGGCAGCCAGAUCCAGCGGCGGAGGGGCGUAGUGGCCAGAUCCGACGGCAUGGGCGCGGCGGCCAGUUCCGACAAUGUGGGCACAGUGGGGCGGCCAGAUCCGGCGGUGUGGGUGCGGCGGGCAGCUAGCAGUGGGAACCUAGUGAGCCACCUCUCUCUCUCUCUCUCAGUGAUGAUUUGGAUGACGGCAGCGCGGCUGGGCCGUACGAUUUUUUUGAUUUUUAAUAGGCCUUCACCACCAGUUCCAGAUCCGGCGGUGUUGGAUAAACCAUCACCGCCAACCUUUAUCUACCGACUCCCAAACCGGUGGUGAUAGGGGGUUGGUGUAAUAGCUGCCAAUCUAGUCAUCUAAAUGACUUUGAAGAAUUAAAAGCAAAUUGAGAAGAAAAGGAAAAGAAAUUGGCCGAAAAUCAAAUUCAGGUCAAAUUUGGCCGAAAUUUGAAUUUUGAAUUUGAAAUUCAGAAAAAUUCGACAAAAAUAUGAAAUAGAAGUGUAAGAGUGACUAGAACUUAGGGACCAAAGAUUUGGAACAAUAUUUAAUCCGAAAUAUCUCAGAGAAAUCAAAGAAAGAAAAAGAAAAGCUGAGUUUACUGUUCCCCGUCCGAAAAUAGAAGUUCAGAAAAACAGCAGCAGAGUCUGUUUUCAAAAUUAAAUUCUGAGGAAAUUUGCAAAUAAGUGCAUCAGGACAACUACACCACAUUGAAGUAUGAACUUUGGACUACAAUACUUGGGUGUUGUUGGCCAGGAACAUGGAAGGGAACAAAUUCGAAUUGUAGCUCAAAGUCAGCACAUUGUCACAGUUUGACUAUCACUGAAAACGCCUAAGUCUGAAAAACAGCAGUAUCUGAGCAACUUUGGAUUCAAAUUCAGAGAGAUGGGAAUCAAAAGGUAUGCUUGUUCAUGAGCAAAAUGGAACCUUGGGAUGUUAUAGAACACCUGUAGGAAGAAGUUGGACUGGAAGAAGAAGAAUUGGACCACUGAAUCGAAGCACCAAGUGAGAUUGACACCACUGUCAGUAACUGACGAACUGAACUUUUGAUUCAGUCAAUAUUCAGACAAACCCGAGCAACAUUUCCAAAAUUCAUCUGGUUUGAUGUUUAUCUCAGGGUAGAGCCAAAAUAAAAGUUGGAGAGUUUGAGUUUAUCUACAACUUCGGUUAAGACACCUGUGCACCGUCGGAUUGGAAAUCGGCCGCGGUGAAGCUCUGAAGAUCACGGGCGUUAGAAGAAGAAAAGGGGAGCGGUGACAGAGCAGCGGGACGUGUCGCCGCCGCCGUCGUCGGUCGCUCGCCAGCGCACUUAGCUAGGCCACCUCCUCACCACAUAAGCCUACGGGUAGGCCACAGUGUCGCCCAUGCGCGCGGUGAACGCUUGAAUAUUUACCGCUCCCGCGCCGCCGUUUUCACCGCCGUCCUUUUUACCGCCGCCAGCGUCUCCUCUGUCAAGCCCCGGCGCCGAGCAAAAUUCCGCCGCCACAUCGCAGCUCCCGUCGAUUCCUUCCGUCCACACCUCCACCUACACCCCACCAGCAACCUUAGCAACUUGUUGCCCAGCUUCCUCGCCGUCACGCCUUGAACCACCGCCGAUUCUGUCCGCCGUCGUCGCGCCGCCCGCUCACGGUGAGCACCACCUCGCGCUGCUUCUCUUCCUUCUUGGGUAGUCGUAGGCAAGUCCUUAGGGUACUAGGAUGGUGUAGAAGCAGUCGUUCGAGUAGUUUGCGCCGUCGUCGUGUGUAGCCACGACCGGCCGAGGGAGUCGCCGCCCGUCACCGUGGAGGGGAUGGCUCCGGCCAUCUCCCGAGGAGCUGUUGCCGCGCACGGGUACGUGAAGGUGUAGGGGUGCCGACCUUGUCUAGCUUCGCCGCCGGUGGGGCGCCGGCCGGCGAGUCGCGCCACCCCUGUCGCGGGCGCGUUUUGGCGGGAGGAGGAAGAAGCGUCUGGGUGCUUGGGCCCGCGCGACAGCGAGAAGAGAGGAGGGGGAAAGAGGCCGGAGCGGCGCGGCCGGUUGCUGGGCCGCGGCGUGGAAGCCCAGUGGCGCGCGCGGGUGAUUGGAACAGAAAGAGGCCGAAGGCCCGGCGCAGCUAGCAGGCCGACUUCGCGAAGGAAAAGGAGAAAAAGAAAGAGGGCCGUUGGGCCCAUGUUGGACCAGAAAAAGAAAAAGGAAGAGAGAAUCGGCCCACGGGGGCCCGUCAGAGAGGAAAAAGGGCCGGCGGGUAGGAUGAAUAGGAAAAAGUGGGGUCCGCGCCGUGGGGCCCAGUGUGCGUGAGAGAGGGUAGAGAGGGGCUGAGUAAGAAAAGUAUUUCCGGGUGAUUUUCGGCAAAAAUUAGAUUUCCUUUAGGAAAGUAAUUAGUUUAAAUCCGUUUUACACCAUUUUAAUCACAGAAAUUUCUAGGAGUGUCCAAAAUUAGUGAAACCAAUUUUGUUAGGCUUGUUUUAUUUUCCUUUACGCAUUAAAAUUUUUACACCCUAGAAAAAUAAUAAAAAUUCAGGUAUUUAUUUAAUGCCUUCCUUUUAGGGUAAUUAAAUAAAUACUUAAUAUUUAUAAAAUGUAUAAAAUAUGAAUAACACUUUCUUAAUCACAAAUUAUUCUUAACUCAUAGGAAAUUAGAUUUUCAAGUUAGAAAAUAAUUAUAACUUUUUCUAAAGAUAAAAGAAAAAGCUAUAAGGAGGGUUAAAUAAGAAAAAUAAAAUUGUGAGUUAAUCUUUUUGGAUUUUUUGUGUGUUGGCUUACAACUUUAUCAUGAUAAGUUGUAUAGUCCUUGUUGGCUUGCAACUUUAUCAUGAAGGAAAGUUGUGUAGUCUGUUAUUCAAAAAUUUUGCAUUUCUAACCCCUGCAUGUAUUAUGCCAUAGAUCCCGAAGCGACGGAAGGAGAAUAUUGGGAAUUUUCAGAAGGACCUUCGGAGUCCGAAGAAGUUUUUGAGUUAGUUCCCUGUGAAGUCAACCCGUCGGAGAAUACUAAUCUUUUUAAUGAACAAGGCAAGCCCCGGUGCAUUUAUACCUAUCUAUUUUAGAAUCGUUAUUUCAUGUGUCUAAUUAUAGGUUAUUUGCUUUAUGUAUGCACUAAGUCUAGGAGUUGCUUGAAACCUAUUCUUGUGUAUGAUCAUGCCUUGUUUUAAGGACAUCCUUGCCACUUGUUCAAACCUUAGAAGAUACCCAAGUCUAGAAUUGCUUACUUGCUUACAUGCUCGGGUUACCAACCUUAAGGAAAACUUUUAAGUCAUACAUGUUGCUUAUGGAAGAUAAUUUGGAAAGUUGAAAGCGGACAGAAACCAGAGGUAUAGUUCUGUCUGCUAGAUUAAUUUGGUUAAGGCCCGAUUCGUUGUCUUAACCUUUGAUCAAGUGAUAAGCAUCUGAUCACUUACUGGGUAUGGGACCAGUAAAGCCCAGUAGGUUAGUAAACUCUGUGAUCAGGAAUACUUCGUACCCGCGCUUGACGUGCUGGAGAUUGGUAGGGGUGUAGCCUGAAAACUGACAUGGUGAUCGGGCCAGACGUGGGGUCCCAUGUGGGGGUGCAUCCCUGGGUCCGGGUAGUCGUAUUCCUAAUCAUUGAUUUUGCUAAUCGAGAGGUUGUUAGAUACGACCUGGACAGUCGUAUAACGCUGGUGAUCAGGGUACUCUCCUGCAGGAUGUAAUUAGAUCCGGAUCGCCGCAAUUCUCGGUUAUGAAUGCACUUGAUCACUGUUGAGCAUCGUAGUAUCAAUUCAUGCAAUAUGUAUCUUUCUGUUAUCAAUUAAUGUAUGAUUUAACAACUAUGGUUGUUUUUACUUCUGUUAUCAUUUAGGAUGGUUAGGUAAUGACUUAACCCAAAUAAAAGAUAAAACUAAGGCAUUGCUCAUAGUAAGCUUUUCGGCAAAAGCUAUGUUAACCAAACACCCCCAAAAGCUAGCAUGCAUUCCAAAGAAAACUAUUAUAUUGGUUAGUCGGGUAAGACUUGCUGAGUACCCCGUACUCAGGGUUUUCCCCUUGUGGCUAUCUUUCAGAAGCUCCACAGGAGUCUACAGAGAAGGAGACCCCGAAGCCCUAGGGUAUUGACCUGAGUCUCACAAUACCCUAGAGAAAAAGUUCUACUUGCGCAUCUUCUCCUGAACUAUUUAUGUUUAAAUCUUAGAAGCUUUGUCUAACACUGCAUCACUAAGUUUGUUUCAACCUAUGUCCUGUAAUAACUCUUACCUUUUAUAUGUAUGUAAAAAAUGUAAUGUUUGUUGCUAUUAUCCCAUCGCGGAUAUUAUCCUGAUGUAUGGUUAUGAGACACGCCGUGGAUCCUUCGAGGAGUCCUAGGGACACUUGACAGACUACCGGACUUAUGCUGUUUUAGGUGCGUUUCGAAUAAUUGCUGUUCCGAUAGCGAUUAGGCGCACUUAAACCAGCUUAAGUUGGGCGGUUCCGCCACAGUUGGGGGCCAGUGGUGAUGACAUAAUGUGGAGUAGUGUAAAUAGUGAUUAGCCUAAAUAACUAAAUAACUGAUGAUUUAGUAACUAGUAACUUUGGUUAUAUGGAUCACUAGGGGGUGGUGGCCUCUGCCAGCCCUCGGCUCUACCCCUAGUCUCAAUGCAUCAAUGGGUAGCUAGGUCGACUUAAACUUGUUAGACUAGGGCCCUAUUUGGGGGAGCUUCUAGCAGUUUUUGCUUCCCCAGGAAACUCCAAAAGCCACAAGCCCCCCCCCCCAAACGGGGUUAGAUUCUCCGAGAAGUAAAAGCUCUGAAAGCUAAGUUUACACUACAAAUGGAGAAGCUCUCCUGGACCAGCUUCCCGAGCUUUUGCCUAUCCACCUCCUUCCCCUGUUGUUUCUUUUUCUCACCACACUGUUGGCCCUACCCAUCCAUGCGCCAGCAGUCACCGCUCGUCUCCUUCGAGCCGUCCCUCAUCGCUCCUCCCCUCCCCUUCGAGCCGGCUGCCGUCGCUCCUUCCCUCUGCGCUGACCGUCGCCACCCCUCCCCUCCGCGCUGACUGUCACCACCCUUCCCCUCCGCACCUGCCGCCACCGUCCCUCCCCUUUACGUGGGCUACCACCUUGCCUUCCCCUGCUCGCACCCCUGCCGCUCCUCUCCUUCGCGCUGGCCGCUGCCGCCCCUCCCUUCCACAUGGGCCACCGUCAUCCCUUGCCUCCGUGCCCGCUGCCACGGCACUAGCCGCCGCCAUCCCUCCCCUCUACUAGAGCCCCGCCGCCCCUCCCUUCCACGUGGGCCACCAUCAUCCCCUACCUCCAUGCCCGCCACCAUCCCUCCCCUCUUGCUGGCCGCUGCUACUGCUGGAGCUCACCAUCCUCGAUGUCUGCACCCAUCCCUUCUCUUGAUGCCCUGCAGAAGUUGACGGCCGAGAAGUUGAACACCAAAUAGGUGAGUUUAGCUUCUCCAAAAAGCAGCUUUCUAGGGAAGCAAGUGGAGCUUCUCCAGGCAACGCUUUUGAAAAAGCUUAAGCUCCCUCAAACAUACCUAGGCAUCAUAUAUACUACUACACUACUGCCAUGCAUAUAUACUAAUACAUAAAUGUACAUGCAUUAUUCAUGCUGAAGGUAUCACAUAAUUUCAACUAGUGACAUGUCUAAAUUUGAAUCGAGCAAUAUGAAUUGCAGCACACGUAUAAAAAAGAUACAUUUUCUUCAAUUCUAUUCCAAAAAUAAAGUCCCAAAAAUUUUGUUUGACCUCAUAGUGUGGUAAGAUUUUGUCUUUGCGACUAUUGGUUUCAAAAAUACCCAUUACCUUUAACCUCUUAAGUAGUGGUGCAAGACACCAAGAAUGCUUCAGGCCGGUAUGACCAUGGCUCUAGACGUUGUGCUAUAUUCUCUAAUCUCUAUAUUGUAGACAACUAUAGCAACGAAAGCUCAGUCCAGCUAGUCCAUCAACUCCACAGAGUGGCUUUAGAGCAACUCCAACAGAUCCCCUUUCUCCUAUCCCCUUUUCAGCUAUAAAGGGGAUUGAGAGGGAAAAAGAGUGCACCAACAGAUCCUUUUCCAUUCCUCUUUCCCCUUUCUUUUUUUCUCAAUCCCCUUAUCCCCUCCCUCUCCCCUUUCUAAAGGGGAAAUCAUGCUUCUCCUUUUCCUUCUCCCUUUCCUUCCUCCUUUUUGCAACUGUGCGAUCUGCUAGCUUGGGAAUUUCUUGACCGCAUGAUUUGACCCAUCGUGCGAGCUGCCGUUGGUCACCCUGAGCCACCGCCGGUUGGCCUGCCCUCCAUGCCGUUGUCGUCGUCUGUCCCUGGGCACGGCUGCCCCCAUCCACCUGGUUGGCAAUGCCACAGCCGCACACGUCAGGCCCUGCUCCAGGCGCUGCCAUCGCCCACCUGCGUGCGGCAGGCACGGCCCUGGGCCGGGCACCGUUGCCGCCCACCUGCCCGUGGCAGGCACUACCCCGGGCACCACCGCCUCUGUCCGCCUGGCUGGCCAGCUCGCCCGUGGUGAGGCUGUUGUAGGCAAGCACUCCCGUGGCCCUCCCACGUGCGUGAGCAGACUGAGCGGCCGCCACUACCCCCUGCCAUGGGAGAAGCAAGAGAGAGGAGAGUGGGGGAAGAGGAGAGGGAGGAGGAGGAAGAAGAUGGUUUGGUCAUUGACAGGUGGGUUCUACAUGUCAGCUUAAAAAAAGGGGAAAGGGGAUGUGCUAGAGUACUUCUCUUCAAAAUCCAAAAGUUGUGAAAGGGGAUUUCCAUAUAAGGGGAUAAAGGGGAAAUGGGAAGUUCAAUUUGUUGGAGUUGCUCUUAGACGUAGGUCUAGCCCAGCUUCUCCCAUGAUAUUAACUAACCACCUCAUACCCAAUAUUAUCUGUAAUGGACCUAUGUAACGGUACCGAAUAUAACCCGUUACCUAUAUAGAAAAGCAAGUAAUGGACUUGAUCCUCGUCCGUUACAAGUUAUUGGUAACAGAUGGAGAAUGUUGUUUAUUUCCUAUGUCAUAUGUCCUCUAGGUAGCAACAACCUCGAUCCUGAUCAGGUGUUACAAAAUCCGACACUAAAGCAAACCUAGUGUUUCAUGUACACCUAGAAUGCUAGACUGAUAAAUCAUUCGCUCAAGUUUUAUAAACUUUGAAAAGUGCAGGACAUACUCAAAUACAAGAGUGACCGAAUCUCUCAUCCACAAGAUGAAGGUCCCAACUUCAACCUGCUUAGAGCCUGUUUGGAUCCAUCUAGAUGUUCUAUUGUUUCCAGUACUUCCUUUCUUGCAUACUUCCUUAUAGAAGGUCUUUGUUUUAGACAUGGCAUAUGAUCUUGUCGAGAGCUAGGGCAUACAAAUUUAGUGAUCGAAACUUCUAGAUGUUAUUGGUCAUCAUUACAACCAUGUUGUUGGGGUAAAAAACCAUCCUCGAAGUGGGGUCAACAAGUUUCCAAACUAAGAGAACAAGAAAUACAAUAAACUAAGAAAUGACUUUCACUACUAGAUUUUUGGUCUAAUACAACGGCGGAAAAACGUUGCAAUAUGCCCAAAAUCGAUGCAAUAUCUAGCAAUUGCAAUGGCGACUGGUUAGUUGGCAGGCGUGGCAAUAGCUCUUUGCAACGUUUUUUGUGGGCCGUUGCAACUUAUGGUAAUUGCCACACACAUUUCGUUGCAUUAUAGAGUAUGGCAACGGAGGAUUUCAUUGCAUUAGCAUGUAUUGCAACACAAGCAAUCAUUGCUAUAGUACGUAGUUGCAACGUACAAACUCUGUGGUAAUAUGGUAUUUCGCAACGAUUUACAUGGUGGUAAUAGAAUAUAUUGCCACGGAAAUUUUACGUUGUGACAUAUCCUAUGACAACUAAAUUUCUUUCGUGGAAAUAAACUUUAUUGCAAUAGAACCAUUUUCGGUGGCAAUAGUUAGUUUUGCAACGGAAACUAUUACGUGGGGACUAUUUCUAUGGUACCACAACUGCUUUCGUGACAAUAACUUAUAUUGCCACGGAAACAUGUUUGGUGGCGAUAAUUCAGUUUGCAACGGAAAAUAUUACGCUGUGACAGAUCAUAUGGAAACACAAUUGGUUUCGUUGAAAUAAACUAUAUUGCCAUGGAAACAUAUGUGGUGGCAAUAACUCAUUUUGCAACGGACAAUAUUACGUUAUCACAGAUUCUAUGGCAACACAAUUUGUAUCAAACCAAAUCCAACGUAGCAAAAAUUGAAUUUUUCAAAUUCUUCUCUGGUAGAGAUAAUACAAUAUAGCAAACAUCUAACAGAUCGACAAUACAAUAUAGCCAAAUAUCUAUCAGAUCAACAACCUUUACUGCCUAUGCCACAAACAAUAUGGUCCAGCAUCCAUUCAUGUUAGCAUGAACAACAUCUACCAAAAACAGCAUCCAUUCAUGUUUGCAUAACCUGAAGAGGCAAUCCUAGCUCCCCGGACGGUCAUCGUCUUGUCCAUGAGAUUCAGGCCCAUCAUCUGCAAGCCGUUCUGCUCCUCCCCGUCAUCUCCCACGUACUUAACCUGCAGAGGAAUGAGAUAACAUGUGAUCGGCAUAUAGCAGUUAUAUACAGGCAUACAGUUGCAUAUUGGAUCAGCCAGAAAGUAAUUUUACAAAAAACUUUGAAAAAAUGCACAUCACAUACCAUUUGGAUCAGCCAGAAAGAAAAGUUUAAACAAAAAACCUUUGAAAGAAUGCAGGUCACAUUACAUUUGGUUAAUGGUCAUUUGCUCUUGUCCAAACAUUUCAUUAAUCACACGUUCUGCAAAUAAUCAUAUGAAUCAGGACAACAAACUUCAAUCAUAUUUUAUUUGCAAUCCUUAAAAGUCUAGUAAUAAUGUAAAAAUGUCCCAUCAAACAGAAAGAGGGCAGGGAAUAUGUCAAGGACUGUAACUCAACUAAAACAUUGCAAAAAUUAGCAUAUUUAUUUUUUAUACUGCGAAGAAACAAGUGUAAGUAAAAGCAAAGAUAAUUAGCUAAUAAAAGUUCAAGCUAUCUGCCCAAAUCAAAGAGGAAAUAUGAAGUAUAUGGGAUGGGGAUAGCCAAGUUGAAUGUCAGGUAGGCAGCACCGGUCAUUGGUCGGCAAAGAAGCCUAUACAUGUGCAUGACUCAUGAAAGACCUGUUGUUGAGCACUCCAUCAUCAUGGGCCUGCCUGCCUAGACACAUUGCUUCUUAACAAGCUGCAAAAAGAUGUAUGGAGCAAUGUUUUAGAAUCUACCUUGAUGCAACCAUAAUAUGUAACCAUGGUUUCAUUUCUAAAACCAGUACACAAGAACAAGUAAACAUGUGUAUCAUGCAUGGUUGCUCGGUAGAAAAAUGGCUAGUCAUAUUUACAUGGAGGGUAAAAGAAUGUAAGAACCAAUAAGAGAUAGAAAUUAGCUAAUGAUUUCUUAGUGAUUCCUAGAGUUUCAUUAGAAUGUUGCUUUUUCUGAUGCAAAUACAUUUCUUAGUGAGCAGAAAAAAUGACAUAGUUGGACAAUGAUCCAUUUCCCCAGGUACAUAGAUCACUGUUGCUUCUUCUGAAAACUGAAUAACCAUUUUGCAUGAUGAUCCAUGGUAGUCUAAGAAGGAAUACCGCAGCUGCAAAAGAAGAUAUGUGCAUACUAAAAAUUGUAGAUUCUGAAAAAAGGAAGAAUUAUAAAAAAUAUUUGGAUAAGCAGACAUGAUAACAUUUUUUGGUUGAAGUUGCUAUCUCCCAAUUUCCACUCCAGAGCUUCACCCAUGCCUGAUAGAACAAAUAAAAAUCAUUACACAUAACAAACCAAGGGAUGCACUUAUGAGUAAUUGAAGCUAAGAGUGGAAAACCAAAACAAAGAAACAUCACCUGGAAGCUGACUGACAGGAAUCAUUUGAGUUAAUGAGUAAAAAAACAUUCAAGACAAUAUAUCAGGAACCUUUUUUUUUUGCGAGAAAUAUAUAACAGGAACUUGAAAGAUGCAUCUACUGAUUUUUCUAUACAAGUUGUACCUUAAUUUUUUAGAAUGAUAACUCAACAAAAAUAGACAUCUAAAUCGAAUCUAUAUGUCCAACCAGAAUUUUUUCAACAACUCCAAUAUACACUAUCUAAGUUUUCUAAACAACAUUGCGAACAGGGCAAUGUUGGAACAAAUAAACAGAGGAACAAACCUCCCAUAUCUAGUCGACAAAGCAUUAUCUUGGCCCAUGAUGACCAUCUCCAACAGCAAUUUUUAGAGUGUCUUGUCAAUCUCGAAUAUCACUACAAAGAAAAAAGAUUCUCAUCAAUACAAAAUAAAUUCAGCUUAAUACAUUCUAAGUAACCUGAUAGGUCCAUUUCUGCCAUGUGAAUUCUCUUCUGCCCCAUUCAGGCCAUCCAGUGUCACGGAACCUAGAAUUCUUGCAUUCAAAGUCUCAAAAUGUUCUCCCACAUUCUGCAGCGAACGCUAACAGAACGAAUCUCAAGACACUCGUACAUCUCACAAUCAGUUGUUAAGAAAAAUAUGUCCACUAACUGGGAAGCAACCUACUACACUUAUCCGUAAAGUAAAAGCCUAAAGGAAACCUCGGCGUGUCACUCAUCCCGCCGGUGACCAAGCGGCUAGCUUGCGGGGAUUACGGCAACGGUGCCAUGGCGGAGCCGUCAAAGAUCUGCACGAGCCGCCGGGCGAGGCGGCGGAUGGUGCGCCGGUGCCACGAGCGCCGAGAGGCCGCGCGGGUGGAGCCAUGGAGGGGUCUGGCACCUGGCGGCGGCCGGGAUCUCGCCCAACGUGCCACGGCAGUGGGGCUGUAGGGGGUGCUCGGCAGGGCAGCGGACGGCGCGCCGGUGCCACGAGUGCCGUGGAGGGGGCGACAGUGGGGUGUGGCUUAGAGGGCAGCGGCAGAUCUGAGGGAGGGAGAGGGAGGUGAAGUGGAAGGGAGGCGUCGGGGCCGGCAGUGGGGGCAAAGGGCGGGGCCAGGGCUGGGGCCAGGGGUGGGGUGGUGUGGGACGGCGCGGCUAGGGUCUAGUUGAAGGAAGAAGGAAAAGCUUAUAACCUAGGGUUGUACUCAUGUGACAUGAGAACCGUUGCAUCCGUGAUGGACGGCUACAAGGAGUUGGGCCGUUGAAGAAAUUAUAGGCUGAGCAUAGUAACGGGUUCAUUUUGUGGCUUACGCCCAUUGCUGCCUUCUGUUACAUUUAUUUUAAAUUUCUAGUAAAGUUUAUUGUUAUUAUUGUAAUUAAUUUUGUAAAUUAUUAAUGAAUUCAAAUGGAAAAAUUGUCUGAUACAAAUUUUUAAAAAUUAUCAAUAUCUACAACUUUUGUUUUAGCCAUUUCUCCAUCCGACUUUGUUUUAAUAAUUCAAAAUUUGAAUUUCAAAAUGUGAAAACUUCAAACAAUAUUAUGAGAAAGUAAAUAAUUUCAAAUAAAAAAUCCGACAAAAACAAAGUUGUAGAAACCAACAAGGUCUACAACUUUUGUGUUGGUAAUCUCUCUAUCCGACUUUGUUUGAACAAUUCAAAAUUUGAAUUUCAAAAUAUGUCAACAUCAAACAAUAUUUUGAGAUAGUAAAUGAUUUCACAUGAAAAAUUUGUAAACAAUAAUGUUAUAGAAACCAAUGCCUUGGAGAUAGAUGAAAAAUUCAAUUGUCUUCUAUGGACAAUUCAAAUAUCUAUCUCCAAAUUAGCACAUAAUAAUUACAAUAAUAUCUAACUUUGGUCAGAAAAUUUUACAAAUUUACAUGACAACAUAUUUUUGGUCAAUAAGCUUGACAUAAAAGUUUCAUAAGAUUUUAAAAAGAUUGGAGUGUAUGUUGUUCACAAAAUGGAUAGACCUCUCACAUUGUUUCACACAACUCAAAUCAAACUUUGAGAUUUGAAUAGCUCGUAUUAUGUUUGAACUCGUAUGCACCUCAAAUUUGGACACAAACUUACCUUUACCCUGUUGUUGACAUUUGUGGAUUUACAUUGCCACUUGUUGUAAAAAAAGUUAUUUUUCUAUUUUUUAACUAACUAAUUAAUACACCCUUGUGAAGUAACUUGCAAAAUAAUUAUUUUAUAUACCCCUAAUUAUAUUUUUACAUGUAAUAGAAAACAUCUAAGUUGUCAUGUAGGAGUUUCAAGAAUUUUUUUAAUAGAUUUAGUAUUUUCUAUCAUUUAAAUGAAUUUCUAGUUGCUUAUCAAAAGUAAUUCCAACUUGAACUAGGUGUACCAUCAAUAAGAUUCAAAAAAUGCACAAAAAUUAUAUUUAAGCUUGUAUGUUCGAUUCUAUCCCAUACCUUAGAGAUAGAUGAAAAAUUCAAUUGUCUUCUUAGGACAAUUCAAACUUCUAUCUCCAAAUUACCACAUAAUAAUUGCAGCACAUAGGAUCCAUGACAGUUACACUGAAAUGCUAAUAUCUUGUAGAAAUUAUGUUUUAUUCAAUCUGUUUCAAUAGUAAUUUUUUCCCUUUCUUCAACCUCAAUGAUGUGCAUUUGAUCUCUCCAAUAGGAGGGGCACUAAAGAACUCAGUAGUUAACCUACACUAUAGAUACAUUGUUGUAACUAUCAUAGAAUUUAUUUCUUUUACUUCGGCUCCUAUCCAUCAUCCAACAAUUGCGUAGCGUGGUGGUGAGGUGCUCGAGUCUAAACUCUGGAGACCCUGGUUUGAUUCCCCAUUGCGCAUCUUUUAAUUUUUCCGAAAUAAAAUAUGAGAAAAUGAAUGUAUAAAAUAUAAAAUACCAUACUUUGUCUCAAGUGUUGGUGUAGUGCAGUGGUAAGGCGUUGGAGUGUGGUCUCUAAAAUCAGGGUUCAAAACCCACGCCUUGUUGAUUUUUUUUUCUAAUUUUCAAUGGGCUCGCCGUGGCCGGGUGAUGUGGUGCGCGGCUGGGGGGCCGGUGACCUGGCGCGGCCGGUGGUCGGGUGACAUGGCGGGCAAGCACUCGGGUGACGUGGCAUCCGACACUAUAGAUACAUUGCUGUAAUUAACAUAGAAUUUAUUUCUUUUACUUCGGCUCCUAUCCAUCAUCCAACAUUUGCAUAGUGUGGUGGUGAGGUGCUCGAGUCCAAACUUUGGAGACCCUGGUUCGAUUCCCCAAUUGCGCAUCUUUUAAUUUUGCCGAAAUAAAACAUGAGAAAAUGAACAUAUAAAAUAUAGAUUUUUUUUGCUAAUUUUCAGUGGGCGCGCCGUGGCCUGGUGACAUGGCACGCGGAUGAGGGGCCGGUGACCUGGCGAGGCUGUUGGUCGGGUGACAUGGCGGCCAAGCGGUCGGGUGACGUGUCGUCCUACACUAUAGAUACAUUGCUGUAACUAACAUAGAAUUUAUUUCUUUUACUUUGGCUCCUAUCCAUCACCUAACUAUUGCAUAGCGUGGUGGUGAGGUGCUCGAGUCCAAACUCUGGAGAUCCUGGUUCGAUUCCCUCAUUGUGCAUCUUUUAAUUUUUCCGAAAUAAAACUUGCAACCAUUUUUCAACUCGUGGCGACAACACCUAUCUAUUGCAACAAAUUUUUUGUUGUUGCCAUAGGCUAUGUGGCAACGUAACAAAUUCAUUGCAAUAUUGCUUCCUACUUGCAACAUUACGUAUUUCCUGGCAAUAACCCUUAGAUAUUGGAACGCAAAAAAAAACUUUAUAACAACGCAAAAAAACCAUGGCAAUUUGUUCAGCAACUCGCAACCAUUUUCAACUCAUUGCGACAACAUCGACCUGUUGCAACAGAUUUUUCGUUGUUGCCUUGGGCUAUGUGGCAACGUGAUAAAUUCAUUGCAAAAAUGUCAAAGCCUUGCAACUUUGCGUAUUUCGUGGCAAUAACCCAUCGAUAUUGCAACGAAAAAAAUUAAUUAUUGCAACGAAAAAAACACGUGGCAAUAUCGCCUACCUAUUGCAACGAAUUUUCAAAUGGUGGCAAUAACACCUACCGGUUGCAACGAAAACUCAAAAUCAUUGCAAUAACCCCUACCUGUUUCAACGAAAUUUGAGUUGAUGGGAUGAUGGCCGUAGCAAUAGUCCUAAAAUCUAGUAGUGUUUGGGUGAGCUUAAGAAAUCUCCCCCUCCGUCUGAAUCCGUCCCUUUGCAUUCACCACGGUCCCAUUUUAUAGGAUCGUAAUUUUUACACUUUACAACUCGACGCCUUGAUUUUCUCAUUAUGUUGCAAAGCAUAUUUGAGGGUAUUAACAGUACACCACUUUUGUUGCGCCCUUUUACAACUCAUCGCUUUACACCUAAGCUCGAGUGGGCAACUCAUCACUACAAGAAAUGUGUUGAUCUAUGAUGAAAAUUUUAUGACACAUUUGUUCUCGUCAUAGAUCUAUGACGUUUCUGGCUGAAAAUAUCAUAAAGUUUCACAUCCGAGCAAAUUUAGUGAUAAAUUUACGGAACAUCAUAAAUGUUGCCACCGUAGCCAAAAAGAAAUUAUCACUCAUUGUUACAUGGUGGUUUUGUGACGAUAUAAGCUCCGCGAAAAUACCAUAAACCAACUAGGGUCCCACAUGUAAUAAAUAGAACACUAAAAUAAAAUGGAAAAUGUGCACCUCCCAUGGGCUGAACCUGUUAUCGAUCGAAUGGGAAGUCUUUACCGCGACCGGGCCCCACAUGUAAGGUAAGUUUCAGGUGAGUGCGGUAGUUGGCCACAGAAAAGCCCACGCUGCAGUCAAAAAAUAGUUUACCCGCUGCCGUGCUCCUGCGAUAGGCAAAAAAGAAGAACAGAAAAAAGGUGGCUAGGACGGAGCACUCCGGCGGAGAUCUGUGCCUCCCCGCGGCGGCUCAGUCCUACGACAACACAAAUCUGGUGCUUCCUGAUGCGGCGCGUUAAUCUGGUCAGUAAUUUUGAGUUCACCAAAAUUUCAUUUCGCAUUGAGUUCUUUCAAUCUGGUCAGUAAUUUUGAGUUGAAUUCGCCAAAAUUUCCUAGAUGGAUAGACGUUGGACACCCGGUUGUCAAGUAUUUGCCCCCAAGCAUGAGAAAGGGGUCAAUGAUUUCAUGAAAUUUGUUAAGAGUUGAUACUCUGAUGAUGAACAAAUACUAUGCCUAUGUCAUGGAUGCCUAAAUCAGUCUAGGUGUACUGUAGAAGUGGUGAACCUGCACUUACUUAUGAAUGGGAUGGAAAGCACCUACACUAGGUGGAUCCAUCAUGGAGAAACAUUCGAGGAUAGGGUUGAGGAAAAUGAAAAUCUGCAGGAUAAUGGGGUUCAGGAAAAUGCAAUCCUGUAGGAUGAUGGGGUUGAAGAAAUUGCAAUUUUGCCGGAUGAGGGGGUUGUGGAUAAUGCAAUUCUGCAAGAAGAUAGUGAUCAGGAAAUGGUUUAGGAAAAUGAACACAUAUCGGGUAUGGAGGAGGAUGAAGGAACUAAAGAUGGACUUCCUGAAAUGAUAGCUGACAUGUGCCAUGCUAAAGAGCUUGAAGGGAAAAUAUUAGAAUGUAUAAAGGAACAUAUAAACCAUAAGGUGUCACCGGGAUCUAAAUAUACAGAAUUUACGUUUGUUGUGAAGUUACUUCAUAUCAAGUCUUUCUAUCAGAUCAACAAUAUCGCAUUCAAUGUGAUUCUGAAGGUGUUAUCCCUUGUUUUCUCAGGAGCAUGUGUUCUGACAUCUUAUGAUGACGCAAUUAAGUACUGUUGACGCCAGAUUUCGACACGAGUAAAAUCGGCGUUAGAAGAGGAAGAAAUUAGGAGAUGCGGCGAGAUACAAGGGCGACGAUUGGAAAUCGGCCGAUUGGUGCUGCAGUCACGGAUCGGUUGGUUGGUGCUAUAGUCAAGGAUCGGUUGAUUGGUGCUACAGUCAAGGAUCGGCCAAUUGAUGCUACAGUCGAGGAUCGGCCAAUUGAUCCUUGGAGUUCCGCCUCGUCUGACCCCUGAGGUUUGGUAUCGGACGCGCCCGACUCUCCAAGGGAGGAUCUCCGCCUCGCCCGACCCCUGAGGUUUGGGAUCGGACGCGCCCGGCCCUCCAAAGGAGGAUCUUCGCCUCGCCCGACCCCUGAGGUUUGGGAUCGGACGCGCCCGACCCUCCAAAGGAGGAUCUCCGCCUCGUCCGACCUUAGUUUCCAGGGUUGGAGUGAGUCUGAGCCCUCGACAUGUGGGUCCUGAUCGGUUACCCCUUGCCAAAGAGGUGAUCGGCUGAUUAGGAGGUUGGAAUAGUUGGGCCGAUGUGGGCUUAAAAAGGAUUAUGAAGAUGAAGAGGGAAUCAGCUCAUGAAGCGCGUGAUAAUCGACCUAGUACGAAUCGUACUUGUAAAUAUUCGUUUUCUAUUUAAAUUUAGGGAUAGAGUUCUAGUCGGAUAAGAAGUUGUUUGUACGGGGCUAUAAAUAGCCACCCUUGUAGAUCUGUAAUCAUCAUCAACUCAAUACAACAAACUACUAUUUCCUCGUACUUACUUUCAAGCAGGCGACUUCGCCAACACUUUUUUCUCCUUUUUCAUGAGUUCGUACGAGUUGGCGGGGCUGCAUCAACUUGACCUCCGGCCGAUCUUGUAAGUUCCGUUUAUCGAGUAAAUUCUAAGCUUUUACUUCGGGCGCAUCGCUGUCGUUUCGUUUAGAUUUAUUCAUCAGUUAUCGAUAUUUACUAGAAUUCUAGGUUUUACUUGUUGUUCUAGUUUUAUCACCAAUUAUUCAGCUAGGAAUCGGUAAUUUCGGCUUUCAUCUAUACUUCUCUAUCUAAUCUAUUUAUUUUAGCCGAUUAGAUUUGUUCCUAGUGUUGCUACUGUAGCGUUGUUUAGAUUACUCUAGCAGUUUUCUUUAUAAACGUUGCUUGGUAAUCGGUUGCAUCAUAGCUGAUUUCUUUAUUACGGCAAAUCGGCCGAUUCACUGAUAAGCUUUCUCGAGAUCGGAACCUUAGCCGAUCGCAACCUCUGGGAACUGACAUGUUUCUUUCCUUGCCAAUCAACAGGUCAGAUUGGCUGGCACGCCACGCGAACCACACCAGAGCGAUCACCCGAACAGGAGCUAAGCAGAUUCUCCCGGGUCGUGUGUCCGAUGCUGGGAAUUCGAUCAGCUGAUUUCUAGCACCAACACACUUUUGGCAUGACCGGUGGGACCAAUACAACCGCCACCAUGUCGAAAGCUGCUGAAGUCUCCGAAGAUAACGUCAUCGAAGUGACAGAGGCAGAUCUUAGGGACGACCAGACGGAAGAACUAGAGAGGCAGAUGGCAUACUACCGGAAGACAUGUCUGCAGUCCUUCAGUCGCACCAGGAGUGGGGAGACUAUCAAAAAGGCUCCGUUUCCAACUCCCCGCCAGAUCACAAUCACCGAGGACUCGGACAAGAUGUCCGAGAUGGUUCAGCAAUCCGUCUAUCAAGCUUUCAUCGAUCAAUCCCCGGUGCUUUCUAAUACGGUAUACAAUGCCGUCAUCAGCUCCUUGGCUAGCGGUGUAUCUCAAGGGUACCAGGGGCCGGCAUAUGCUCCGCCGAUUACGGCUCCGAACAAGAAUAUACCUUAUUCGGCUUCUUAGCCGACCCAAAUUCCGGUUGGGGUUUCUGGCGCUUCCUCAUCAUCGAUCCCUAUGGGGUUUAAUGGCACGCAACACCUCCAGCCACGUCCCAUUCAGUUGUCCUCCGCGCAGUUUCCUCCGUUUAAUCCAGCGCCUUGGGGGGCACCAUCAGUGACGGUCGUCCAGGAUCAACCGGCCAACCAUGGAAGUCCCCAACUCCAGGCGUCUUUCCAGGCGACCGCUCGACCAACCAUGCCGCAGUACCAGCCUGUCGCACCAUAGAUGAGCAGAGCAGCAGAAUCAACGGAAGUACUCCGGGGCGUCGCGCCGCUCAUACUAUAUGUCGAAACAAGCGGCUCAUUCAAACAGCCGACCCUGACUACGCAGCCGGCUAUGACACAUCAAACGCCACACGCUUUCACUCAACAUGAAGUCAUCCCGCCGCCAAUAUAUUAGCACAUACUAGUUCCUCAGCCGACGGUUUACCAGCAACAGCCGGACUGGUCGGCACGUAUAGCAGAGGUGAUUCAGGAACAAUUCGGCUUGAAACCGAAGGUGCAGACCUACACAUACAGGACACCGUACCCGCCUACAUAUGACUUACUGCCGUUUCCCCAUCGGUAUAAAGUUCCUGAUUUCACCAAGUUUUCGGGGCUGGACGACACCUCAACCGUGGAACAUGUGAACAAAUUCAUCAUCCAAUGCGGGGAAGCAGCGGCACAGGAUGCUCUACGGGUGCGUCUUUUCUCAUCAUCCCUGUCUGGGUCGGCCUUCCAGUGGUUCACCACCUUACCGCCCAACUCGAUAAUUACAUGGGCCGAUCUGGAAAGGCAAUUUCAUAAAUACUUCUACGCCGGAAUACAUGAAAUGAAGUUGUCCGAUUUAACCAGCCUCAGACAGAGAAGCGACGAGCCAAUUUCCUCAUAUGUGCAAAGGUUUCGGGAGAUCAGGAACAAAUGCUAUUCUCUAGCCCUGACUGAUGCACAGUUGGCCGAUAUAGCCUUCCAAGGCCUCCUACCUCAUAUCAAAGAGAAAUAUGCCUCACAGGAGUUUGAGAGCUUAAGCCAAAUCGUCCACCGAUUAUCAGGUCAAGAAGUACGUCCUUUCGAUCCACGGAGGAACUUUCAGAAGAAGGUGGCAUUCUUAGAAGAGGUUGAAAACGAGGAAGACGCAGAAAUCGGCCUUGCGGAAUGGGUUAAAGGGAAGAAGCUGAUAUCGUGUCCGUUUGGAAAGAAGGAGCCGGAAACGUUCGGAUUCGACACAUCAAAGGCCGAUAAAAUCUUCGACCUACUCCUCCAGGAAGGACAGAUCAAGCUCUCACCGUAUCAUACGAUUCCUUCUGCUGAACAGCUGAAAAAGAUAAAAUAUUGCAAGUGGUAUAACGCUACUUCCCAUGAUACAAAUGAAUGCAAAAUCUUCCAGCAGCAGAUACAGUCGGCCAUCGAGCAAGGCAGACUUAAAUUUGAAGUUCCAACAAAAUCGGCCAAGCCGAUGAAGAUCGACCAGCACCCCUUCCCCACCAACAUGGUUGACACGGGGAGGAAUGCGCUCCAAACCAAGGUGCUGACGUCUGAAUCGGCUAAGCAAAGCGGCGUCGUGGACCCCAAGAAUCAAGCAACACCCGAAGACGUCAAAGGAAAACGACGGAUGGAAGAUGAUGAUGACAGGAGGGGAGAACCAUGAAGGCCCAUUACUUCCCAAUUUAUGCUCAAUAAGUAUCAACGGCAGCAUGCACGCUCAAGAUCCGGGGAAGAAGCAAUGCGGCGACAUGAAGAACACUGGCGAUGUCCGUUCUUCAUUCACUAUUGGGAAAGCAACCUCAGGUUGCCUUCGGCCGAUAAUUGCCCCGAGUGCAACGGCCCGUAUUGUAACAAUUGGCCGUUCAGCAGGUCUCGCUCCAGAGAUGGGAAAUCAGAGCCGAUCAGCAGGAACUGGUGCAACCAAGAUGAUCGGCGCCCUCCAGUACGUGAUCGGCUGGGGGGCAGAAGUGACCGGUAUGACCGGUCGGAAGGAAGGCGCAAUGAUGGGCCGGGGGGCAGAUUUGAUCGACAUGACCGGCCAGAAAACAAGGUCAGCGUCCACAGUCGACUUGAAGAGAUGGCCGAUGCUCGGGUGUCAGACGAGAACCCUUUAGGACGCGAACCGGAAUGGGAACGUGCCAGACCACGAACCAAACCGGUGAACCCCAGAUGGUGCCCCGAUGGAUUAACCAAGUCUCAAAAAUGGAGAAUCCAACGUCUCUGCCAGUGGGAACAACAGGAGAAUCCAACGUCUCUGCCAGGGCAUACGGCAGGCGAGAAGAACGGCAGGUCUCAGGUAUGGUGCCCCAAAAGAAAUGACAGAGGAGGCGACGAAUCGGCAGCCGACAUCGACAUGGUUUUCAUACUGCCGAUGGAAUUCAUGAUUCCUGCCGACCGACGGGACAUGUCGGCAAUGGAAGAGCAGAUGGCGCAAUUGGCAUUGGAGCCAAUGACAGCCACAUUCGAGAAGCCCGAAGAAGACAGACAGCAACACCUGAAAGCGUUGUUUCUUAAAGGGCAUGUCAACGGGCGACCCAUCACCAGAUUACUGGUAGACGGAGGGGCUGCAGUCAACAUCAUGCCGUACGCCAUGUUCUGGAAGCUAGGGAAGAGCGAUGAUGACCUGACCAAGACAGAUAUGAUGCUCAACGACUUCGAGGGCAACGUAUCUCCCGCUCGCGGUGCUCUCUGCGUCGACCUCACCAUCGGCAGUAAGACCCUUCCUAUUACUUUCUUUAUCAUUAAUGGCAAGGGGUCCUACAACAUGCUACUCGGCCAAGAAUGGAUACAUGCAAAUUGCUGUAUCCCAUCUACAAUGCAUCAAUGCCUCGUACAAUGGGUCGGCGACAACAUCGAGGUGGUCACCGCCGAUUCCGCAUACAGCAUCGAGGCAGCCGACACGCAGCAGUGGAGCUACGAAAUCGUCAAGUGCAUAUCCGGGAGAGUAUGGGAUACUGACUUCUUGAAGGUGUCCAAUUUUAGCCUACAGCCGAUCCGAGCAGUUGGCUCCGAAGACUCAGACUAAAAUGGAUCAGUUCGCCCGAGAAGAUGGGAAGCUGGGACACGGGUUCAUGUCGGCCGAUUCAUUAGAAAUGAUAGACUUAGGCGAUGGCACCAAACCAAGGCCGACAUAUAUUAGUGCAAAUUUAGAUCCGGAAUACAAAUGUAAACUGACAAGUUUGUUAAGAGAAUUUAAGGAUUGCUUUGCUUGGGAAUAUCAUGAGAUGCUUGGAUUAGACCGAUCUAUCGUUGAGCAUCGGUUACCCAUAAAGCCAGGGUAUCAGCCGUAUCAACAGCCUGCACGGCGGUGCAAUCCUAAAAUUCUACCAGACAUAAAGGCCGAAAUAACGCGGCUAAUCGAAGCAAAAUUUAUUCAGCAAUGCCGUUAUGCCGAAUGGAUCUCCAACAUUGUACCAGUAUACAACAAGAACGGAAAGCUAUGUGUAUGCGUCGAUUUCAGGAACCUCAAUCAGGCCACACCAAUGGACGGAUACCCCAUGCCGAUGAUCGAUGUGCUGAUAGAUGCCGCCGCGGGACACAAGGUUAUUAGUUUCAUGGAUGGAAACGCUGGGUACAAUCAGAUACUUAUGGCCGAAGAAGACAUAUCCAAAACGGCCUUCAGAUGCCCGGGUCACCUUGGUUUAUUCGAGUGGGUGGUAAUGACUUUCGGCUUGAAAAACGCCGGUGCUACGUAUUAGAGAGCCAUGAACUACAUAUUUCACAAACUUAUCGGCAUACUAGUAGAAAUCUACAUCGACGACGUCGUAGUCAAGUCAAAAUGACACCUUGAGCAUCUAGCCGAUUUACGACAAGUAUUGGAAUGCACUAAGAAACAUGGGCUGAAGAUGAACCCGAAUAAGUGCGCCUUCGGCGUAUCCGCCGGACAAUUCUUAGGAUUCAUGGUGCAUGAGCGGGGAAUAGAGAUCAAUCGGAAGACCAUAGCGGCCAUCAACAAAGUCGUGGCCCGCAGAAUAAAACUGAGCUGCAAUCUCUAAUCGGCAAGGUGAAUUUCAUCAGAAGAUUUAUAUCUAAUCUGUCUGGGCAAAUCCAAGCCUUCACACCAUUAUUAAAGUUGAAGCCCGACCAGGAGUUCAUAUGGGGGGAAGAGCAACGCAAGGCAUUGGAAGAUAUCAAGCAGUACUUGGUCUCACCACCGGUAUUGGUCCCUCCUCAAACUGGUAAGCCGUUUAAACUAUAUUUAUCAGCCGAUGAACGAGCUAUUGGGUCGGCUCUGGUCCAGGAGUUCGAGGGAAAGGAACGGGUAAUUUAUUAUGUCAGUAGAAGACUUCUGGACGCCGAAACAAGGUAUCCUCCAGUGGAGCGGUUGUGCCUAUGCCUUUACUUCUCAUGUACCAAACUCAGGCACUAUUUGCUAUCAGCGGAAUGUGUGGUCGUAUGCAAGGACGACGUGGUAAAAUACAUGCUGUCACUGCUGAUUUUGAAAGGACGGAUCGGAAAAUGGAUCUUGGCUUUGUCGGAGUUUGACCUUCGAUAUGAAUCGGCAAAAGCCGUUAAGGGUCAGGUCAUGGCCGAUUUCGUUGCCCAGCACUGCGGGCCAGAGGCUACCUUCGUAGAACCAAUACCUUGGACCUUAUACUUUGAUGGAUCGUCAUGUGGGGCCGGAUCAGGAAUCGGCAUCAUCCUCAUAUCGCCUCGGGGGGCAAGCUAUGAUUUCUCUGUGCUGAUAGAAGCAUCCGCCACUAACAAUCAAGCAGAGUACCGAGCUGUACCGAAGAGAUUACAAUUGCUAAGGGAAGUCAAAGCUGAUUCCGUCGAAAUUUUUGGGGAUUCCAUGCUUAUCGUGGAUCAGUUAACAGGGAAGUCCGAGUGCAAGGAUGAUGUGUUGAGGAUUUAUUACGAAGAUUGCCUGCUGCUUUUGAAAGAAUUCAAGUCGGCAGUUAUCGAGCACAUCCCAAGGAAUCACAACGAGGAUGCCAACAAGCUCACCCAACACGCAUCUAGGUAUCGGCCGAUUCAAGGCGCCAUGGCUCUAGAGCUCGCGACCAAUGACUGGCGAAAGGAGAUUGCCGAUUACCUGAAAGAUCCAUCUAAGAAAGUGGAUCGGCGGGUACGUUUUCAUGCUACCAAAUAUGUGUUACUGGAAGACGACUUGUUCUACCGAACAAUUGAUGGCGUCCUACUCAAGUGUCUGGGAACGGAGCAGGCUAAGACUCUGAUGGGAGAAAUCCAUGAAGGAGUGUGUGGAGCCCACCAAUCAGCACAUAAGAUGAAAUGGAUGAUUAGGAAUAAUGGGUAUUAUUGGCCGACGAUCCUCGAAGAUUGCUUCAAAUAUUAUAAAGGAUGCCAGGAUUGUCAGAAAUACGGGAAUGUCCAACGUGCGCCCGCAUCGGCCAUGAAUCCCAUUAUCAAACCAUGGCCGUUCAGAGGUUGGGGAAUAGACCUCAUCGGCCAAAUUUAUCCUCCGUCAAGCAAAGGGCACAAGUUCAUUCUGGUGGUUGCUAUGGUUGACUUCGUAAGAGACCGUUAUCAUCUACCGUUAAGCAAAGGCAAUUCCGUUAAGGGCCGUAACAUCGGCUGCUAUGGUUGACUUCGUAAGAGACCAUAUCGUCUACCGUUUCGGCAUCCCCCAGACUAUCACAACCGAUCAAGGGACGAUGUUUACAUUAGGAGAAUUUGAGGAGUUCACGGCCGAUAUGGGAAUCAAAUUGUUAAACUCCUCUCUGUAUUAUGCCCAAGCUAACGGCCAGGCCGAAUCCUCCAACAAAGGGAUAAUUAAGUUAAUCAAGAGGAAGAUAGAGGAACAACCGAAAAAAUGGCAUUUAUGUCUAACUGAAGCUCUAUGGGCAUACAGGAUGGCUUGCCAUGGGGCCACCAAGAUGUCCCCGUAUCAGUUGGUGUACGGUCACGAGGCAGUACUACCAUGGGAAUUGAGGGCAGGGUCGAGACGCACUUCGCUCCAGGACCAGUUAGCGGCCGACGACUACUCCUCACUCAUGAAAAGGGAACUCGAUGACUUGGCAGGCCAACGAUUGAGAGCUUUGAUAAGCAUUGAAGAAAACAAGAAGAAAGUGGCCAGGUGGUAUGAUAAGAAGGUCAAAGUCAAACAAUUCUCUCCGGGGGACCUGGUAUGGAAAUUAGUGUUGCCGAUCGGGUCGAAAGAUCCUAAAUUCGGUAAGUGGUCCCCUACGUGGGAAGGGCCAUAUAAAAUCGGCAGAUGUGCUCCGGGAAAUGCUUAUAUUCUGGAAAUGAUCGAAGGGGAAGAGUUUACUAGGGCGCUGAACGGAAGAUACUUGAAAAGGUACUACCCUAGUAUAUGGGUCGGAGCAUAAGGAUCAACCACGAUGAACAACACACAGCCGAUACAAAAGGAAUCGUCUAGAUAAUAAUCGUCCAAAUCGGCCGAUAUAUUUUAUUUGGUACGGAUGGUGGGUUACAUGGCUGACACGGUACAAGUCGCCCUUAGAACAAAAAAUAAUUAAUCACGCUUUUUCUUAAGCUCUCUCUCAGCCCGACCUAGUUCUAUCAGAAGACGGAUGUACUGUUUGUUGGGAUACGAGGUAGGCUACACUAGCGCAAUUCAAAAAUUCUACCGCGUAUAACCAGGAAGAACUGCCGUAUAAGGAUCACGGGAUUACCACUCGACGCACUACUGGUGCGGAAGAUGUAGAUAUGCGUCGAUGUAGUGAAGACGAUCACGCAGUCAUACGUAGUCGAUCAACGUAGUCGUACGUAGUCGAUCACGUCACGUCCAGCAGCUCCUCAGCAACUCGUCCACGUGCAGCAAGAUCGCCUCCGGUGCCGCGGCUCGUCGUCGGCUCGUCGUGGCUCGUCGGCGGCUCGUUGACGGCUCGUCCAAGUGCUGCAGGCGCAACACCUCCAAGGUAUCCACACGUGCAGGGAGGAAGUGUCGCAAGCCGGACUGCUAGAUCCACGAGUUGCAAUAGGCGAGGGCGUGGGAGGCGCGGCAGGUGUGUUUCGCCAAAAAGGUGUAAACCCUAGGGCGCCCCCACCCCUCUAUUUAUAGAGGUUCCUGAUGGGCCUCUGGAUCCGAGGCCCAUUAGUACUUCUAAACCUAAUCCAACUCGGAUCAGAUUCGAAUUGGGCUUCCAGCCCCUUAAGUGUGUGACCCUAUGGGUUCGGAUACGUAUAGACAUGGCCCGAGUACUCCUACUCGGCCCAAUAGUCGGUGGCGGCCUCUAGCAAGACGUGCCAACUCUUAUACGCACACGAAGAUCAUAUCAGACGAACCAUCACAACAUAAUAUACAUGCUAUUCCCUUUGCCUCACGAUAUUUGGUCUAGCUUCAUGCCGACCGCUCUUUCUCGAUCCUGUGAUUCGGAAUCCCUUUGUAGGUUAACUCUUAACCGUACGUAGCAUGGCCAUGCAUUUUUGGAUCCGAUCACUCGAGGGGCCCAGAGAUAUCACUCUCAAUCAGAGAGGGGCAAAUCCCAUCUUGAUUGACCAUGUCUCAUAGCAUGCUUCUUGACAAACCCGAAAACUACCUUUAUAACUACCAUGUUACGGCGUAGCGUUUGAUAGCCCCUAAGUAGGUCGAUCCACAUCUAGAAUACAUGCGACAAUCUCAGGUCUAAGGACAAAGCGUAUAUGUUGUUUAAAGAGAGAACCACUUCUCGUGUUGGGUCAGUCCUAGCACAUGUCUCCACAUGUGUCCACAUUAUUAGUUCAACAUCUCCAUGUCCAUGACUUGUGAAACAUAGUCAUCAACUAAUACAUGUGCUAGUCUAAUAUUCAUGUGUGUCCUCACAUGAACUCCGACUAGGGACAACUUUAGAAUAACCAUACAAGUAAAGAGUUUCACAUACAAUUCACAUAAUUGCAAAUCAAUUCAAGUAGCCUUCAAUGGAUAUUCAAUGAACACAAUAUACAAAUCAUGGAUACAAAUGGAAUAUCAUCAUCUCUAUGAUUGCCUCUAGGGCAUACCUCCAACAGUCUCCCACUUGCACUAGAGUCAAUCUAGAAGGUACCUAAUACCCAUAGCUCUUACAUGCGCAUCAUGCUUAGCCUGCGGGAGUGGUUUUGUCAAUGGAUCAGAAAUGUUCAGAUCCGGUUAACGAAGUCUCAAAUGAGAUGAAAUCGCCGCAUUACGUGUUUGUUCUUCUGGUGGUUCCUUGGCUCCUUUGCUUGCGCAAUUGCCCCAUUGUUAUCACAGUAGAGAUUCAAUGGGCUGGACGCAUUCGGGAACACACCAAGCUCAAUGAGGAAAUUCCUUAUCCAAACACCUUCCUUCGCGGCUUCCGAAGCCGCGAUGUACUCAGCUUCUGUCGUAGAAUCGACCACCGUCUCCUACUUGGAACUCUUCCAACUAACAGCACCACCAUUUAGCGUGAACACAAAUCCUGAUUGUGACUUUGAAUCAUCUCUGUCGGUUUGUAAACUAGCAUCGGUGUAACCUAUUACAAUGAGCUCCUCCUCACCUCCAUAGACGAGGAACAUAUCUUUAGUCCUUCUCAAGUACUUAAGAAUGUUUUUCACCGCUGUGCAGUGACUCUCACCUGGAUCAGAUUGGUGUCUGCUUGUCAUACUUAGCGCAUAUGAAACAUCUGGGCGAGUACUUAUCAUUGCAUACAUGAUAGAUCCAAUAGCCGAGGCAUAUGGCACUCUACUCAUGCGAUCCCGCUCAUCAGCAGUCGAAGGACACUGAGUCUUGCUGAGAUGUAUGCCAUGUGACAUAGGCAAGAACCCUUUCUUUGUCUCUUCCAUGCUGAACCGCUUCAACACUUUGUCAAUGUAAGUAUCUUGGCUUAAACCUAUAAGCCUUCUAGAUCUAUCUCUAUAGAUCUUAAUGCCCAGAAUAUAUGCCGCUUCCCCUAAGUCCUUCAUCGAAAAACUAUUUUUCAGUGAAGUCUUUACGGACUCAAGCAUAGAAAUGUUAUUUCCAAUCAGUAAUAUGUCAUCCACAUAUAAGAUUAGAAAUACUACAGAGCUCCCACUAACCUUCUUGUAAACACAAGACUCUUCUUCGUUCUUGGUGAAGUCAAACCCUUUGACCACUUCAUCAAAACGAAUGUUCCAACUCCUAGAUGCUUGCUUCAACCCAUAAAUGGAUCUCUGAAGCUUGCAUACCUUUCCAGCAUUUUUUGGAUCGACAAAACCCUCGGGUUGUAUCAUAUACACGUCCUCAGUUAGGUUUCCAUUCAGGAAAGCUGUCUUGACAUCCAUCUGCCAUAUCUCAUAAUCGAAAUAUGCAGCUAUAGCUAGAAUAAUCCGAAUGGACUUAAGCAUCACUACGGGCGAGAAGGUCUCGUCAUAGUCAACUCCUUGAACUUGUCAAAAACCUUUUGCGACAAGUCGUGCUUUAUAGAUGUGAACAUUUCCAUCCAUGUCCUUUUUCUUCUUAUAGAUCCACUUGCACUCUAUGGCUUUAACACCAUCAGGCGGGUCAACCAAGUUCCAAACUUGAUUGUCUCCCAUGGACUCUAUUUCGGAUUGCAUAGCAUUCUGCCAUUUUUUGGAGUCUGGGUCCAUCAUUGCUUCUGCAUAUGUCGCAGGCUCAUCAUUGUGCAACAAUAAUAUUUCCCGCAUUUCGCGGAGCCUUGCCGACCUUCGUGGUUGUGGCAGUGCUUCUCUUGCCAUGGGUAUCUCAACUUGUUCUGCUACGUUAGCAUCACUCAUUGAUUCUUGCCCGAUCGGCUCAUCUUGAACUUCUUCAAGAUGCACUGUCUUUCCACUCUUUUCUCCUUUGAGAAACUCUUUCUCUAGGAAAACCCCGUUCCGAGCGACAAACACUUUGCCUUCUGAUCGGUUGUAGAAAUAAUAUCCCAAAGUUUCCUUUGGAUAUCCCACAAAAAUGCACUUAUCCAACUUGGGUGUGAUCUUGUCCGACUGAAGUCGCUUGACAAACACUUCACAUCCCCAAAUCUUUAGAAAAGACAAACUAGGAACCUUUCCAGUCCAUAUCUCAUAUGGUGUCUUAACUACGGAUUUAGAUGGUACCCUAUUAAGUGUGAAAGCUGCUGUUUCUAGAGCGUAUCCCCAAAAUGACAACGGUAGGUCCGACUGGCUCAUCAUUGAUCGAACCAUGUCUAACAAAGUUCGAUUACGUCGCUCGGACACACCGUUUCUCUGAGGUGUUCCAGGUGGCGUAAGUUGUGGAACAAUUCCGCAACUCUUUAGAUGAUUGCUAAACUCGUGGCUCAAAUACUCGCCUCCACGAUCAGAUCGUAAGGCCUUAAUUUUCUUGCCACGCUGACUUUCAACUUCGUUUUGAAAUUCCUUGAACUUUUCAAAGGUUUCAGACUUGUGCCUCAUCAAGUAGACAUAGCCAUAUCUACUAAAAUCAUCAGUGAAAGUUAUGAAGUAUUGGAAUCCUCCUCUAGCCGUCGUGCUCAUUGGUCCGCAUACAUCACUAUGUACGAGUUCCAACAAGUCUACUGCUCUCUCAGGAAAUCCUGUGAAAGGCGUCUUGGUCAUCUUGCCUAGCAAGCAAGCCUCACAUGUCUCGUAUGAUUCAAAAUCAAACGAAGUUAGAAGUCCAUCAGAAUGGAGCUUCUUCAUGCACUUUUCACUUAUAUGACCCAAACGACAAUGCCACAAGUAGGUAGGACUCAAAUCAUUAGGCCGAGGCCUUUUAGCACUUACAUUACAGACAGGUGAACCAUCAAGAUUUAAAACAAAUAAUCCAUUCACAAUGGGUGCAAAAGCCAUAAACAUACUAUUCUUAGAGAUCACACAACCAUUGUUUUCACUCGCAAAUGAAUAACCAUCCUUCAUCAAGCAUGAAGGAGAUAAAAUGUUUCGACUUAAACUAGGAAUAAAAUAACAAUUAUUCAACUCCAUAAUAAAUCCUGAUGGGAGGUGGGGCUGCAUCGUCCCGACGGUCAACGCAGCAACUCUUGCAUUAUUGCCCACGCGGAAAUCAACUUCUCCUCUUUCCACGCUUCUACUUCUUAUCAUUCCCUGCAUCGAAUUGCAAAUAUGAGCAACCGAUCCGGUAUCAAAUACCCAAGAAUUAAUAAUUGUAUCAGCGAGAAAUAUGUUGUCUAUAACAUUAACAACAAGUGUACCUGAGGUAGAAGUACUCUUACUUCCGCCAUUCUUCAACGAAGCUAGGUACUGCUUGCAGUUUCUCUUCCAGUGACCAAGUUCAUGACAGUAAAAGCACUCUUUGUCUAGAUCAGGUCCAGGUCCAGCUUUAACCUUGGGCGCUGGGUUUGGCUUGGACGUUCCAGCCUUGCCCUUCUUCUUCCAAGAAUUGCCCUUCUUCUUAAAGCUGGGCUUGUUCUGUAUAGCCAUCACAUGGCUGGUACUAGCGCUUUUCUUGAUGUCAGCCUCUGCUGUUUUAAGCAUGCCACACAGCUCAUUCAGACCCUUCUCCGUCCCAUGCAUAUGGUAGUUCGAGAUGAAGUUCCCAUAGCUAGGCGGAAGAGACGAAAGAAUGAAAUCAAUGGCCAACUCUUUGCCCAUUGGGAAGCCCAGCUUCUCCAAUCGCUGAGUGUAACCAACCAUCUUGAUUACAUGUGGUCCUACUGCUGCGCCUUCUGCUAACUUGCACUCCAGAAAGGCUUUGGACACAUUGAACCUUUCGGUCCUAGCCUGUGUCUGGAACAUGUCCUUGAGCGCCACGAUCAUAUCGUGUGCCUCAUGAUUUGUUUCGAACUGCAUCUGCAGCUCGGGUUCCAUGCAAGCAAGCAUAAGGCAGCUUACCUCAAGAUUUGCAUCAAAUUCCUUCUUGUAAGCAGCCUUAACGGCAGCAGAUGCAUCAUCAGCAGGUACUGGUGGUAGUGGGGUGUCUAGAACAUCUUCCUUUUUAUCGGCCCUGAGAACAAUUCUCAGGUUACGUAUCCAAUCCGAGUAGUUUGUUCCAUUCAACUUGUCCUUCUCAAGGACCGAACGCAAAGCAAACAAUGUGGUGGUGUUGCUAGGUGCCAUUUAAUCUACAACAAAAGUAAUGCAAAAUACACUAAGACAAACGUAUCCAUGAUAGAGCAAAUUACAUUAAACUAUUUUAACAGAAUCUACUCCCACUAAAAUUAAUAUCCCUCUAUUGAAACUUAGUGAUUCAGGAUCCACAACUAACAAGUCUACUAGUGAGCUUUAGCAUCACCGCUAGCAGACGAGGUAGAUCGGUAAGCAACUUUUGCUAAUCAUAUCACAUAUGACUCCUGUUGUUGGGUGACAUCUCUAUGUCUCGGCGCCCAACCUUUAUGCCCCAAGGUCCUUAACCGUUAAGAUAACCUUGUUAAGCAAACCAACCCUUAUGCGUGUAAGUGUCCGACACAAACCCAUCUAGUCAAGGAAAACUAGUGGCACCCUAAUUUCAUAGACCCACCACUAAUUGUACAAGACAUGGGACGGUGCAAGUUUUAGUUGGGAGGGCAUACUAACUUAAACUUUGUGAGGGAUCGUUCUACUUCUAACAUCACAGCAUGCAGAAAGUAAAACAUAAACAGAAUAGCAUUCACACAGUUGUGACACAGUAUGGCCCGUUUUCAUAUAGUGAUCUCCAUCUCCAUAGAACCUGUUCACCAUGGUGAUCUCCAUCUCCGUGUUCCAUGUGCGCCAUCCUCCUGGUGAUGAGUCCUCCAAGAACUAGAACAUGCUAUUACGCCUAAUAGCUAGUAAAGAAUCUAGUAAAGAAGAUUACAUAGUUGCUUGGAUCAUCACAGAUUGGUACGCAGACCAUUAAAUACAAUAAAGUGACAACACAUAUGGCUCCUGCCGUGUUGCCGUACGCGCGACACGCAGGUCACGAAUGAGUUACACACAUGCAUCACAUACACAAGGGGCCAUACUGAUCACAAGAUACAUACAAACAUCCUGCAAAACAGAGUUAGGCGUCCUAACGUUCUAAACUUCGGAUGCCCGAAACUCCAUCUUCCAAGCCGAAUUUGGGAAAUCUAAUUUCACCGAAAAAGGCAAAGCCGUUGAAUUUUAUGUGUAACUUUUUCUGUAGAUCAAUUUUCAUAUAAAAUUCGCCCCGAUCCGAGAUCGUACCGAAAAGUUACGGCUCAUUUACCGAAGCAUACGCAUACGGCAAAAAUCCCGACCCCGGCAGUAGAUCCCAUCUACUAUUGCACAUCUAAUGCGCCUGGCGUAUGACCCUGGAUUUCGAUUCGACCAAUCAUAUUGAUCUUCGCUCACUGCAACUGGAUUUACGUGUAUCACUUAACUCCGAUGGCCGGUAGGAGUAUGUCGUUACACUACCAUUGCAGCAAGGGCACGAAAACAGGACAUAGAUCAAACGGAAAACUCGCAUAUCUCCAUAUGCACACAUCCCGAAUCCAAAACUAAGCAGCUACAGCUCUGAUACCACUGUUGGGAUACGAGGUAGGCUACACUAGCGCAAUUCAAAAAUUCUACCGCGUAUAACCAGGAAGAACUGCCGUAUAAGGAUCACGGGAUUACCACUCGACGCACUACUGGUGCGGAAGAUGUAGAUAUGCGUCGAUGCAGUGAAGACGAUCACGCAGUCGUACGUAGUCGAUCAACGUAGUCGUACGUAGUUGAUCACGUCACGUCCAGCAGCUCCUCAGCAACUCGUACACGUGCAGCAAGAUCGCCUCCGGUGCCGCGGCUCGUCGUCGGCUCGUCGUGGCUCGUCGGCGGCUCGUUGACGACUCGUCCAAGUGCUGCAGGCGCAACACCUCCAAGGUAUCCACACGUGCAGGGAGGAAGCGUCGCAAGCCGGACUGCUAGAUCCGCGAGUUGCAACAGGCGAGGGCGUGGGAGGCGCGGCAGGUGUGUUUCGCCAAAAAGGUGUAAACCCUAGGGCGCCCCCACCCCUCUAUUUAUAGAGGUUCCUGAUGAGCCUCUGGAUCCGAGGCCCAUUAGUACUUCUAAACCUAAUCCAACUCGGAUCAGAUCCAAAUUGGGCUUCCAGCCCCUUAAGUGUGUGACCCUAUGGGUUCGGAUACGUAUAGACAUGGCCCGAGUACUCCUACUCGGCCCAAUAGUUGGUAGCGGCCUCUAGCAAGACGUGCCAACUCCUAUACGCACACGAAGAUCAUAUCAGACGAACCAUCACAACAUAAUAUACAUGCUAUUCCCUUUGCCUCAUGAUAUUUGGUCUAGCUUCAUGCCGACCGCUCUUUCUCGAUCCUAUGAUUCGGAAUCCCUUUGUAGGUUAACUCUUAACCGUACGUAGCAUGGCCAUGCAUUUUUGGAUCCGAUCACUCGAGGGGCCCAGAGAUAUCACUCUCAAUCAGAGAGGGGCAAAUCCCAUCUUGAUUGACCAUGUCUCAUAGCAUGCUUCUUGACAAACCCGAAAACUACCUUUAUAACUACCAUGUUACGGCGUAGCGUUUGAUAGCCCCUAAGUAGGUCGAUCCACAUCUAGAAUACAUGCGACAAUCUCAGGUCUAAGGACAAAGCGUAUAUGUUGUUUAAAGAGAGAACCACUUCUCGUGUUGGGUCAGUCCUAGCACAUGUCUCCACAUGUGUCCACAUUAUUAGUUCAACAUCUCCAUGUCCAUGACUUGUGAAACAUAGUCAUCAACUAAUACAUGUGCUAGUCUAAUAUUCAUGUGUGUCCUCACAUGAACUCCGACUAGGGACAACUUUAGAAUAACCAUACAAGUAAAGAGUUUCACAUACAAUUCACAUAAUUGCAAAUCAAUUCAAGUAGCCUUCAAUGGAUAUUCAAUGAACACAAUAUACAAAUCAUGGAUACAAAUGGAAUAUCAUCAUCUCUAUGAUUGCCUCUAGGGCAUACCUCCAACACUGUUCUUCUAUCUCUUUCAUCGCAGCCUCCGCUUCGACUUGACGGGGGAGAGGGUGACUCUGGUCUAUUGCUGGGCGUGAUGUUCCUGCUCCUGCGUCUUCAAGGACGAUUUGAUGAGGAAGCAGGUGACUUCUGUCGGCUUGAAGUCACCGGUGGUCAUUGCCGUCCAGAAAGUCCCAGAUCCGUCGGACGUCAGCAGGGAUGUGCUCUUGGAGUUCGUCGCGAUGAGCCCUGAUUAAGUCCUUGUCUUCUCGCGACAGCGGUUCGUCGAAGUGCACAAGUCCGAUGACUCGUUCGAGUUCAGGGCUAAGGCGCCACGACUGCGGAAAACAACAAUAUACGUAUAGCCGCCGAAAAGGUGAUUCCCUUCAGAAGAGUUAAACUAAUAAAGAGAAUGAAGGCAAAUCUUUUAUCUGAUUAACAGAGGAAGAGGUAGAGGAUGAAGAAGACAUGACUGAAAGGUGCACCGAUGAAAACAAGUCGGGAAAGACGAAGCCGAGCUAGACAGGUACUCUCGGAACGGGGACCUAGGCCGGUGUUUAUAAGAAAGGAAGGCGUGGAUGUUUGGAAAGACGCGUCCCAUCGAAAGUGAAAAAGGUAAUAAAUAAGGGGGCGCUGCGAAGGAUGGUCAAAGGGGUUAUUAAUGUUCGUACAAGAAUUGCCAGUACUUUUACAGAUCACCCAGAAGGAUGUUAAUAGCUGCAAUUACUCGGCGCCGGAUCUGAUCGGCAGAGUCCAGGACCCGUUGGUCAUCCUCUGCCGAUCCAGGGACUUCUGACAUGUGGCGGUGGAGUUUGAGGGCUUCGUGAGCCAGGUGCUGCCUCUCCUGUUUCAGAUCGGCGAUGACGGAAGGAAGUUCCUGAAGCCUCUUCUCUUCGGCGUCUAUUGCUUUGGUCACCUGCUCCAUCUCCUUGGCAAGCUCUGCUCUUCGGCGCUUGAGGUGAUCUAACGUGCUGAUGAUCCCCGGGCGAGAGUCUUCCAGAAAGUGAAUCCGUUGAUGCACCUCUUGAGCUUGACGCUUGUACGUGUCUUCUUCCUCACGAGUCUUGGUCAACUUGGCGCGGUCAGCCAUAUGGCGCAGGGCCCUAAAGACCGAAAUCCUCAUUGACUCGAUAUACGCGGCCGGUGCCAAGGCCUCUUCCGCUUCUUCUGGUACUCGCCCGCUGACAUCACCAAAAAGUUGCCAAAUCGGCGAGGUGUCUUCUACCAAUCGGCCGAUGUCCUCUUGAAGAAGGGAUCGGAUGCUUGCGAGUUUGGCACGGACGUCAUCAGGGACAGAGCUCAAAGUGACCUGGCGAGAGGCGACUUCCUCGUCAUCGGAGAGUGCGACCGCAAACGAGAAAAGGCUGUUGUUGGGGGUGUCCUGUUCCUGGAAAUAGUAAGUCAAGAGGAAAAACAAAUCAGCAGAUGGUGAUGGCAAAUCGGUCGAUUAAGGGUGGGAAGUCUCUUACCUCCUUGAAACAGAUUUCUUCAAACUGUGUUUGAGAGGCUGUUAUCCUCGAUUCAGGGGCUGCUACCAUUGGUUCGUCAGAAGAAGAAGCCUCCACAAUGAUUGGUGCUUUGCUCGGGCCAGCUUCCCGAAAGAUGACCAUUGGUUGAUUAGGUGGGGCGCUUAGUGUGCCGGUGACCUGUGUCAAAAGAUUGAAUAAGAACAUCAUCUAAAUACUAGGAGAAUCAGUUGAAGAGUAGUAUACCUCGGUAGAUGAAAGCGUUGGCGUGUCGAUGACCGAUUGGGUUGCUGCCGAUUGUUGUGGGUCCACAGAGGUGAUUUGUGCUGUCUGAAAUAAGAUGAGUCAGUAUGGGGAUGGUAAUCGGUAGGACCGGACAACAAGUUUACCUGCACGGCCUCUACCAGUAAUGAUGCAGCAGCCGCCCCAGCCUGCGUGACGACUUGAGUAUCUACUUCUCCAGCAGCUGGAAGGGGCAAUGCGACCGAAGUUUCUGCCGAUGUGAUCAUAGGAGGGUCAGCCGAUUCUAUACGAGCUCGUACUCGGCGACUGGUCUUCUUGGUAACUCUCUUCUGCGCCUGCUUCGAUCGGCCGGCCAUCACAUCCACGGAAGGGGCAUCGUAGCCGAUAAGGGGGAAUAUGGUGUAUGGAUGAUGGUCCUCUAUCGGCCGGCCACUCCGACUGCGUGUUGGGGGAACGCGGUUUUCAGACUGAAGCAACAGUAAGAUGUUAGUGUACGUAUUUAACCGCAUUAAUAAAGGAAUGAAAAUCGGCUAGGGGAAAAAAUACCUCGGCGUUCGGAUCGAUGUUGGGUGGAUCCAGGAGAUUGCAGUAUGUCGAUGCGGAGGUGCAGAACAGGUACUGUUUCCAUUCGGCCCACCAUAGCUUGAAGGGUUGGAUAGCAAAGGGGGCUACUAUCCAGUCAUUCAGGUCUAUGGUACUGGAGUCUGGUAUCCGAUCUCGCAGCCGACUAUAGUCAAGACCCUUGGUGAGCUAAUCUCUGAACUUUGCUCGGCCGACGAAGUAUGCCUGAAUCGGCAGUUGACCCAUGCCGAAUUGCCGUGCUGCAACGGAGGGGUUGUAGAAUUCAUAUGUAGGAGCAUCCUUUCCCGAGAAGAUGUUGGCCGGUAAGAUUCCCGGUUUAAUCAGUUCAUCUGUGAGAUCUUCGUCGAAUUGGCCGGUAGUUGAGUCAAAGCAAGAGGGGAGUUCAAAGAUUGGGUCAUCUCUCCGAUAAGGGAACCAGACGAUUGCAUCUUCAUUAAAGCCGUUAUAAAAACACCGGAAGUAUUCGGCCACCUUGGUAGCAGAAUACGAACAACCGGAGAAGGCCGAUGCCGCUUCGCCGAAAGAUGUACACCGGCGUCGGACAGUGGUAUCCUCUACCGAUUCGACGCUAGGGAACGUCAUGUGUUCCACUCGCUGCUGAGAAAUGUUGCUCAUGUACAGGUUUAGCCAUAGGUUAAUGAACCACCAGGGUCCACCUGGGUUUCCAAUCGGCUAGCUUGAUGCCGAUUUGAUGAAGCAUGUGGUAGGCUGCUCCCAGUAAGUGCUUUCCAAGAGGAACAGAAGUCUCUAUCGAUAAUGCUUCGGCCAGAGCUUGGGUAUUGGUGGAUGGACCAGCUGCUCUCCCACAGAAGAAGUGCUUCUCUAGCCACAUCAUCAGGAAGGCCGUGUGCUCUCUGUUCUCGACAGAUUCGGCCCUUUUGUUGCAUCUGAUGAAACCUUUCCACCCGCCGAUUCCCCUUGUGUCCAGCCGAUGUGAUGUUGUGGCUAUAAGGCGGAAAGGGGUGUCCGGGGAAGAAAUGUCCAGGCCGGUCAGCAAGACUACAUCGGCCAAUGUGGGGGUCAUGGGUCCGUGUCCAAACAGGAAUGCGUUGAGAGCAUCGGACCAGAAGUAAGAAGCUGCCAUCACUAACGGCUCAUUCUGUUCUAUUUGGGACAAGGAUAGAUCGAUGCAUUGGCCAAUUUUGAGCUCGUCCCAUUGGACCUUCUUGGAGACGGCUAUCCGCUGGUACCAUUCCCUCCAACCGGGAGUUUCGUUCAGCCAAGACCUAAAGGUACCCAACCAGUGAUCUCGGUCCAUAGUUGAUUGUUUGAAGGGGAUCCUAUGGAUUUCCAAAUUGAUUAAGUCGGUUGGAUCUGGGUUUCCCAUGGGCCCAAGGCAGAUAAGGCCGGGGUUUUCUUUAAGACGAAUGGUGAUGCGAUGCCUAACCGCCUAACAAGGAAAAGGGGGUACGAGGGUAACAAAUAGAUCUAAAGUAAAUGCAUUACUGAUAAGGGAAAGUUUCGGUAAUGACCUCCGGUAUGAAGCUCCUCGUAAUCGGCGGAGUCGCCGGUGCAGCUGCAGACGAUGAAGCUGCCAAUGGGAUCUCAGAUGAAGCUUCAACUUUCGCCGAUGGAGCUCCUCCUUCCGUCAAUGGAGCCGCCGCUGUAGCUACUGGAACCUCCACCAAAGGCACCAUUUCUGGAGCUUCGCGCAUUGGUGAAGUACCUGAAGGUGCCGCCAUUGGAGAAGUAGGGGGAAAUGCGAAAGGAAGGAGGCGCUGGAGAAUUGGAGGACUAAGGAAAGUGUUGGAGAUGGAAGAAAGCCUGUGCGCUGAGGAAGAAGGACGUGAGCUCGUAAGGGGAGUACGGGAUGUGCUGAUAUUUAAAGGAGGUCUGAGAAGGGGUAAAAGUGGAAUUUUUACCGCGCCGGCGUUUUGAGUUUUUCGGGAGUAGUGAUUGUCGUGGGCGCCCGUUUCGAAAAGAUUGCAAUCGUCAGGUUGGAGACCGCGAAACGGAAGGAUGUUUUCAUUGCGUCUGUUUCGGAUGAGAAGUUGAAAAGAAUUUCGAAGUAAAGACUAUGUUUUACUCCGAAACUGGGGGGCAUGUGUUGACGCCAGAUUUCGACACGAGUAAAAUCGGCGUUAGAAGAGGAAGAAAUUAGGAGAUGCGGUGAGAUACAAGGGCGACGAUUGGAAAUCGACCGAUUGGUGCUGCAGUCAAGGAUCGGUUGGUUGGUGCUACAUUCAAGGAUCGGUUGAUUGGUGCUACAGUCAAGGAUCGGCCAAUUGAUGCUACAGUCGAGGAUCGGCCGAUUGAUCCUUGGAGUUCUGCCUCGUCUGACCCCUGAGGUUUGGGAUCGGACGCGCCCGAACCUCCAAGGGAGGAUCUCCGCCUCGCCCGACCCCUGAGGUUUGGGAUCGGACGCGCCCGACCCUCCAAAGGAGGAUCUCCGCCUCGCCCGACCCCUGAGGUUUGGGAUCGGACGCGCCUGACCCUCCAAAGGAGGAUCUCCGCCUCGUCCGACCUUAGUUUCCAGGGUCAGAGUGAGUCUGGGCCCUUGACAUGUGGGUCCUGAUCGGUUACCCCUUGCCAAAGAGGUGAUCGGCCGAUUAGGAGGUUGGAAUAGUUAGGCCGAUGUGGGCUUAAAAAGGAUUAUGAAGAUGAAGAGGGAAUCAGCUCAUGAAGCGCGUGAUAAUCGACCUAGUACGAAUCGUACUUGUAAAUAUUCGUUUUCUGUUUAAAUAUAGGGAUAGAGUUCUAGUCGGAUAAGAAGUCGUUUGUACGGGGCUAUAAAUAGCCACCCUUGUAGAUCUGUAAUCAUCAUCAACUCAAUACAACAAACUACUAUUUCCUCGCACUUACUUUCAAGCAGGCGACUUCGCCAACACUUUUUUCUCCUUUUCACGAGUUCGUACGGGUUGGCGGGGCUGCAUCAACUUGACCUCCGGCCGAUCUUGUAAGUUCCGUUUAUCGUGUAAAUUCUAAGCUUUAACUUCGGGCGCAUCGCUGUCGUUUCGUUUAGAUUUAUUCAUCAGUUAUCGAUAUUUACUAGAAUUCUAGGUUUUACCUGUUGUUCUAGUUUUAUCACCAAUUAUCCAGCUAGGAAUCGGUAAUUUCAGCUUUCAUCUAUACUUCUCUAUCUAAUCUAUUUAUUUUAGCCGAUUAGAUUUGUUCCUAGUGUUGCUACUGUAGCAUUGUUUAGAUUACUCUAGCAGUUUUCUUUAUAAACGUUGCCUGGUAAUCGGUUGCAUCAUAGCCGAUUUCUUUAUUACGGCAAAUCGGUCGAUUCCCUGAUAAAGCUUUCUCGAGAUCGGAACCUUAGCCGAUCGCAACCUCUGGGAACUGACUCAUUUCUUUCCUUGCCAAUCAACAGGUCAGAUUGGCUGGCACGCCGCGCAAACCGCACCAGGGCGAUCACCCGAAUAGGAGCUAAGCAGAUUCUCCCGGGUCGUGUGUCCGACUGGGAAUUCGAUCAGCUGAUUUCUAGCGCCAACAAGUACAUACAUGCCAUGGGACUCGGCUAUGAAUCUAUCCAUGUUUGCAGGAAUAAUUGUGUAUUGUUUUGCAAGACGCUAGUGAAACAUGAUGUGUGCCUAGUGUGUUGUGAAGUAGAUUCAAGAUGGAAAGAUGCAAACAACAAGAAGUGCGUUCCUCAAAAGGUAUUGAGGCAUUUUUUGCUGGUUUUAAGGCUGAAGAGGAUGUUUCUUUCAUCAAAAACUGCAAAGGAUGCACAAUAGCACAAGUUGAAGUGAAAACCGGUGGACAAUGAGCUUAGCCAUCCAGCUGAUGGUGAGGCAUGGAAAGACUUCAAUAUAAAUUGGUCGGAAUUUGCAAAAGAUGCUAGGAACAUUGGACUUGGCCUUGCAACCGAUGGUUUCAAUCCAUUUGUCAACAUGACCAACUCAUAUAGUAUGUGGCUAGUAUUUAUUGUGUCGUAUAAUAUGCCACCAUGGGUAUGCAUGGAAGAGUCAAACUUCAUGAUGGCAUUAUUGAUCCCUAGGUUGAGUUCUCCAUAAAAGGAUUUUGAUGCCUUCUUGCAACCUCUCGUAAUGUGCUAUUGGACCAUUGGAGGGUGUCGAUGCAUACGAUGCUUGUAGUCAUUAAUCCUUCAAACUGCAUGUUGUGGUUAUUUGGUGUAUACAUGAUUAUCCAGCACUAAGCACAUUGGCAGGGUGAGUCACGAAAGGUUAUUAUGCCUAUGUGCCUUGUGAAAAGGAUCCUUGCUCAAGGAGAUUGAAGAACAAGAUAUGUUAUAUUGGCCAUCAUCAUUUGCUUCCAACUGACCAUCGAUAGAGAAGAAAGAGAGCAGAGUUUGAUGGUAAUACUGAAAAUCAAGAGAGGCCAGAGCAAUUUACUACUGAGGUUCUUCAUCAGCAAUUGGAGAAGGUUAAAGAUGUUAAACCAGGAAAGUCUCCUUAAUGUCAGAAAAGGAAGUGGGAACCUGGACAGUGUUGGAGCUGAAGGGUUUGUUUGUUUGACUUGCCAUAUUGGACAACUCUAAAGCUGCCACAUAAUCUUGAUGUCAUGCACAUUGAGAGAAACAUAUGCGAAAACCUUAUUGGAACAUUGCUUAAAAUUGCUGGGAAGACAAAGGAUACGAUCAAUGCUAGGGUUGAUUUGGAAGAUAUGGGCAUUAGGCCACAUCUACACGUGCUGAAUAACGAAAGGAGAGUCAUGCAAAAUGCUAGAAGCUCCAUAUACAAUGGGUAAAAAGAAACAGAAGGUGUUCUAUGAUUUUAUAACUUAGGUGAAGUUCCCAGAUGGAUAUCCUUGUAACUUAUCAAGAUGUAUUGCCACUGAUGGAUGCAAACUCCAAAGACUGAAAACUGAUGAUUGUCAUAUCCUACUCCAAAGGAUUUUGCCUACUUCCCUUCGAGGUUUAAUGGAUAAAGAGACAUACUCAACUAUUUCGGAAUUAGAAAACUUCUUUUGGCAACUAUGAUGCAAAACUUUGAAGUUGGAUGUUCUGAAGAAACUAAAAACAGAUAUCCCAGUAAUUUUGUGCAAGCUUGAGAAAAUUUUUCCUCCUACUUUCUUUGAUGUUAUCGUGCACUUGGCUGUCCAUUUGCCUGAGGAAGCAAUCCUAAGAGGCCUAGUACAAUAUGGAUGGAUGUAUCUCAUUGAAAGAAGGCUAUGCACAUUGAAGUGUUUUGUGAGAAAUAUGGUUGGGCUUGACGGAUAAUGAUGUUGACACACGAUUCAAUCAGGAGGGCAGGAACAGAGAGAAUGCUGAUUUGUUACGAGAAGGUGAUUUAUCUUGUUUCCAGCACAAUGUUGAUGUACUUGGAGCAGCGAAGACUUUGUUCCUUGAUUCGAAUAACGACAAGUUGGUUUGGUAUGUGCUAAACAAUUGCGAAGAGGUUGAGCCAUAUAUCGGGUACAUAAUCCAUUAUGUAGUUAUUGUACUGCAAUUAUUUUGGUAUAAUUUUUAGAUGGAUGUUUUUCUGCAGGAUAUACAGGGUAGUUAAAAGCGAAAGGUGUGUCGGACCAUGUUAUUGAUUGUAGAAUUCAGAAAGAAUUUGCCCGAUGGUUUAAAUCGCAUGUAAGUUUUUUCCUUUUUCAGAAUAAACUUAUAUUAGCUGGCGAGGACCUAUAUAUAAAACUAUGGUUUUGUUGUACAGAUUGAAAAGAUGCCUGAAGGAGAGCUCUUCAAGGAACUAUAUGCAUUAUCAACUUUACCAGACAAGCAAGUAAGAAAAUAUUCAGCAUAUCUUGUUGGUGGUGUCCGUUACCACACACAUGGCCGAGAGGAAAAUAGGAAGACACAGAACAGUGGGAUUAUGGUUGCUUUCAUAACAGUGAGCCAUUUGAUUUUUAUGGUUGUCUAAAAGAAAUUAUUGAGCUGCAGUAUAACUCAUCAGGGUGUGGCAUAAAUCAAACUAUUGUAUUAUUCCACUAUGAUUGGUAUGAUCUGGGAGGGACGAAGAAGGAACCGAGGAUUAGAAAGGAUGGGUAGUUCACAAGCAUCAAUACUGGAAGGUACUAGUACAAAAGUGAUCCCUACAUUUUUGCUAAACAAGCAACAAAGGUGUUUUACUUGCCAGACAACCUGCUACAAGAUCCAUGGAGAGUGGUGCAAAAAUUUGAGCACAUGCAUUUGUGGAGUUUUAAUGAAAAUGAGCAGGACACAGCGCCUAGUGGCAUGGUACUUGCAUAUAAAGAUGAUGUAAUUGGAGAAAGCUUUAGUGAUGGUAUUGGUGAUGGUUCGGAGGCUCCGGUGCCUAUUACUGAUGAUGAGGAGUGGACUAUCAUUCCAGCGGAUCAAGUUACUUCCAUUCACCAGCAGGUUCUAUCUGAUGUGGACAGAUUCAAUUCUGAUGAUGAGGAGGAGGAUAAAACUAUCUGGCAAUACCAUCACGAAGAUGAAAAUCUUGCACCUGAUAGUGACGAGAACUAGGAAGUGAAAUCAAUUAAUGUAUUAGUCAAUCUGAUCUGAACUCAUUUGUUGUAUAAGAUAUGAACUGAUAUGUGCAUGUAGACCAUUUAUUAUAGUAGUUGUAGGAAAAUCCUUUUGACACAUCUUAAUAUGUUCGAAAGCGCACUUAGCUGGCUAUUGAUCCGGCUGGUUGUAUUGCAAAACACGGGAACAUCCUGUGAUGCCUUCCAAAAUCUUUGAACACCCAUUUGGCUGGCUGUUUAUCCGAUUUAGUGUAUUAUCAAAUACCGAAACAUCUUGUGACGUCUUCAAAAUCUUCGAAUGCCAAUUUGGCUGGCUAUUUAUCUGGUUCAGUGUAUUGUCAAACAUCAGAAUAUCUUGUGACGCUUUCCAAAAUCUUUGAACGCCCAUUUGGCUGGCUAUUUAUCCGGUUUGGUAUAUUAUGAAAUACUGGAACAUCCUGUGACAUCUUCAAAAUCUUCAAACACCCAUUUGGCUGGCUGUUUGUCCGGUUUAGUGCAUUGUCAAACAUCGGAACAUCCUGUGACGUCUUUCAAAACCUUCGAACGCCCAUUGGACUGGCUGUUUAUCCGGUUCGGUGUAUUAUCAAACACCGAAACAUCCUGUGACGUCUUUCAAAAUCUUCGAACGCCCAUUUGGCUGGCUGUUAUCUAGUUCGGUGUAUUCUCAAACAUCAAAACAUCCUUAUGCUAGAACAAUGUUGGGUAGGAAACUCGUACCCAUCUUCUUGUCUGGGUGCACACUAUACCUUUAUGACUUUAUCCAAUGCUGUGUCACUCCUGCUGACAUGCCGUUCCCCAUUUAUUGGAAGGUCACUUGUGGCGCUCACCCUUGGCAAGGUUUAGCCGGCGCCACUGUCGCCGCCACCUGCUGCAGCUGCCUACCACCGCAGCUGCGCUCUGCUACUACCUUAAUAUGUCGCUGCUUGUCCCGAUUGCACAGGUAUUCGUCGUUGAAUGGGGGAUUCAUUAAAUUUUUUGAGAUCAUUGCGGUAGCUGGUUCAAGAAAGAUCUUGCAGAUGGGCAAGAUGGUGGCAAGAGAAAUGGAAAGGCACCUGAUCCGACUCCAGCAAAGCAACAAAGGAAGUCACAGGCGAAUUUUUCAGGCAUAUUUGGUGCUCAGACACAGCAAAGGGGCAAGUCCAUUACACGGGAGUCUUCCCUUGCCCGUGAAAGUGCAUUUGACCCCCUAAGUGGGUUUUGGUGUUGAUGACAUGAAUGGUUAGGGGACUAAUAAUUUUAUCAAGUGAUUAACAGGUUUUAAUUCUAAAUAAGUGCAAAGGUGUAUGAAAGGAAUCCCAAGAACCCCCAGAUUUCAAAGAAAGAACGGUGGUGAGCUCAAAAGAAGACUCUUCUAUAAUUUCUAAUUUUGAAUUUGACUAUAGGAACACCAUACUAUAAAGGGGGAUGUGGAUGGAUAGCUUGAAGAUGCUAAAGCUCUUAAUUGAGAUGCUAACCACCCAUUGAGAGACACAACUCACUCACUUGUACGCUUGUUUUCUCACAUUGUCUGUGAUUGUCGGAAGUUCUGACAGGGUGUCGGAAGUUCCAACACCAGCCGGAAGUUUUCAGAAACUUCCGACCGAGGAAUGCUCAGCCGUGUUUAUCUGGCAGUGUUGAAAGUUCUGACACUAUGUCGGAAGUUCCGAUAAAGGCCACCGGAAGUUUCUUGAAACUUCCAAGGAGAAGGUCUCAGCGAUUUUUAUUUAACUUCUUCGGAAGUUUCGACCCUAUGUCGGAAGUUCCGACAAGCACAUAAAUGUAUUGUAACAGCUAGUUUUGGGGGCUCGGGAAUAAAUACCCCCUCAGCCCCCCAUUCAUUGCUCCUGAACAACUCGAGCUAAAAAAGCCCCCAAUCAUUGAAUACUCCUCUCCCACUCCCUUUUGAGCUAAAUCCUUGAGAGUUGGAGCUACGGAUUGGGUGAGAGUAAGGUUGAAGGUGUAAGUCUUGAGGAUUUGAGUGUGAGGUUCAAUAAGUUCAUCUCAAGAGCACUCCAAGCAUCUUUGGCCUUUGAUUCGCAUUUGUUACUCUUGAAGCUUGCUUCUAGACGGCUAGGUGUCACCCGUUUGAGCACUCUUUUUGUGUGGUGCGCCCGAGAAUGUUUGUAUCACCCAUCCUUCGUGGAUUCAUUGUAAGUGACUCAAUCCUCCUUUGUGGUUGAUUGAGGGAGGUAAAGGGUUAGUGAGGACCCGGCUCUUUGUGACAUCGUCAAUGGAGACGCAGCUAUCUUUGUGGAAGUGAACUUCGGUAAACAAAUCCUUAUCUCUUGUGCUUAUUAUGUUCUUUGAGUUCAUAUUGACCUAGAAGCUUGAUUUAAGCUGAUCUAUAAAUUUAUGUGGUUCCUAGCAUAUCUAUCACCUGUAGUAGUCACUACACUUCAUUUAGAACCUUUUGAUUCAAGCAGAAUUGGCAGAUUUAGUUUUGAUUUUGAAUUUCAUUUAGCUCACUUUCUGCUGUCGGAAGUUCCAAGCGUGUACCAGAAGUUCUGACCCACUGGAAGUUCUGACACAGCGUCGGAAGUUCUGACAUAUCUAAUACCGCUAUGAAGUUUUUCAGAAAAAUUUGGAAGUGAGCCUAUUCACCCCCCCUUCUAAGCAUCACAAGAUUCUUUCAAUUGGUAUCAGAGCCUAAUCUCUUGAUUCAGGCUUAACUGCUAAGGGAUUGAAGAUGUCUCAUAGUGAGGAUGGACUUGCCACUGCCGCUCAAGCCGCUGCCGUUGUUGGUGCUACUCCAAGCUUUGGAGGAGGCCAUGUCGACCCCUUUAGUCAAAUUCCAAGGAGUCAGCCACCCUCCCCAAAAAUUGGUGACAUGAGUACAGCAAUGCCAAAACACAAUUCAAGGUAUACAAGCUAGCGAGACUAGGAGACAAAUGUUGUGGCCUAAGGGCUAGGAAUGAGCCAUCUCCUGAUGAGCACAGAAAUGAGAACUAUUGCUUAGAUAGUGAGGACAGUGAGGUGGAAAAUACGUAUGUACCUUGACUCCAAGUCACUCAUGACCAGAAGGCAAGUGCAUCGUGAUCUGCUAUAGAAACAGUACCCGUCACUCCAGCAACAGCCAGUCAGCUGACCAAGCUUGCCUUAAUUCUUUAGAGGCUAGUUGAUGGUUAGACAAAACAAGACAAAAAUAAUCUUCGUAUGGCUGAGCUACAAAAAUGGUUGGACGAGAGACUGGCUCGUCAGAAGGAGAGACAAUUCGCAUGGCUAGAGCAGGUGGCACAGAGGGCAGACCAGAACAUGAACACCAUGCUCACCACUAUCUCUAACAUCCUCAAUCAGUUGCACCAGCACGUCGGAAGGCUCUCCUGCACCUGCUCCUGGUCUCGCUACGUCGGAAGGCUCUGCUGCACCUACCCUGGUUGAACUACAUUGGAAGGCUCUACUGCACCUGCACAUGCUCCAACUACGUCGGAAGGCUGUGCUGCACCUGCUCCUGCUACUGCUCCUCCUCCAAAUAAUCAUGUAUCUCUAGCUCUUGAUGAUCCUCUUCUGUCAACCAAUCCUACUACAACGGCUCCUUCUUCGAACCCCAUGACAAAGAGGUAGAAUGUUAAACAAUUCUAUUGUUGCCAUUGAUUAUUGUAUUUGAUUUGAACAAUAAAUGUUUCAUUGUCAUGUACAAACCAACUAUUUCAUUGAGCCUUGUAAUAAUAUUUUCCUGGGCUUUGUGCUCAGGUUUUAACUAUUGGUGAUCUGGCAGAGUUUGUACCAGAGUUAGACGAGUCUUAUAACUGGUUUGGUACCAAUAGGGUGCAAAAUGACCAAAGCGGAUAGGCUGGCACGUCGUCUUCAAGUUGCAGAUGAAACUAGAUCAUCUAACUGCUCUAGGGGUGUUGAAGACUCGGAUUCCAAGUGUUUAAGUCAAUGGAGUGGAUUAAGAUUAUGGAUACAUGCGGGAAUACAGGUGUGGUAGGGUCAAGUCUUUCACCACCCAAAAAGGAGACUUCUCCAACCUCGCCAUCAUGUAAUGAGUGAUGCUAUCGAUACAAGGAACCCAAAACUACCUUCGUAGUAUUUUUGUUUGUAAUCUUUGUUGACGAUUGUUAAGUAUCAAAUAUGACCAUCAAUGUACUCAAGAAUAAAGGAGCAUUGACAUUUCUUACAUGCAUAUUUGGUUUCGAAUAAUAUAGUUCCACUUGUCCUUGGAGAAUAUUUGGUUGCAGGUGAAAUAACAUAAAAGGAUGGAGAAAGCAGACACACAACUCCGACCAAUAAGAGAUCACCAUGGAGGCAUUACACGGAUCCAUUGGCCCACAAUUCGCAGCAAACCACCUUACAAAGGUGUGUAGCACCCAUAACCAUCAUUGGGACCCACCUGGCAGUCUACCAGAUGAAGGCAGUUGCAAGUAGGGCCAAGGGAGGGUUGGCCGAACUGCCCUUGUCUCCCCUCAUUCCCAACUGACAUGUGGGUGGUGGUUGAUGGCUUCCCUACAUCUAUUAUAGGAGAUUCCCUCAAAUAUUCCUCCUGUAAACUGCCUCUAUGAGCCUAUAAAUACGAGGGUAGGGUUCCAUUCCAGGACACACCACAAGUGAAUCAUUCUCUUCCUCUUAGUUUCCAAGUUAGUGGAGUUAGGCUAGAGUAGCUCUCCUUCAGGUUCCAGGUCUCCUUGGAGUCUAGGGUCUGGCUCUUGUAUCUUUUAUUCAUAGGUUGACUUUAUUCUAUUCAAAGUAUUCAUCUUCUUUAUAUAGUGUUGUGCUUGGUUCUUAUAUGCAUGAGUUAGAUGUAUACCCUUGCUAUGUUGAUGUGCUAGACUUAUACACUCAUAUGCUAGUCGUAUACCCUUGCUAUCAUAGUAUAGGCUUACAUACUCUCAUGUAUGCCUUGAGACCAUGCUUUAGUACAUACUCUGUGUGCGUAUCUACCUUGUAUAGCUUAGUUGAUCUAUCCUACAGUAUCGGUUCAAUAGCCAUGUUCAUGGCAGCUUCAGCCAUUGAUACAAUAGCCUGGUAUGGCUGGAGUGUUGUUAACAAUGCAAGCAUGAUGCUUGGAUUGCUUAGUUUCAUGGGAUAUGAGUAGGCGACAGGUGGUGACAGCCAUGUCCGUCCUUCGUAAUCCCCCAUGUUCAGGUAUGCUAUAAGAGUUUGGGUAGGCCCUUGUGGAUUGAUUCAUGAUCAGUAUAUAUACCAACAAGCAUCUCUGGCACCGUUGCCGGGGAAGGCACUAGUUAAAAGUUUUUACUUUGUAUAUGUUUAUAUUUGUAGUUGAUAGAUCAUUACUCAAGCAGGCUAACCUUGAUAUGUGUUCUCUAUCUUUGAUGUGAAGAUAGGUAGUGUAUGACUAGUUUUAACAUGCUGUCAAAUUUCACCGAGAAUCCGGAGUCACUUGUGAGAAGGGUACGAUCUCGUGUCGUUCCCCCUCAAAUUACUCUCUCGGUAGUCGAACCAGCUUCCUUUGCACCAUCUACAUCAAACGCAAUGGCCCAGAAGAGUCUUUGUGAGUACUCCGCUCCCUCAACCUCUUAGGUGCUGAAAGGCCCUGAGGUGGACACGGGGAAUGCAAGCUUUGAGAUGAAGAUGGGUCUUAUUACCAUAGUGUAGACUAUCACAUUCUGUGGGAAAGCCAAUGAGGAAGCAAGCGCCCAUCUGCAACAGUUCCUUGAGCUCUGUAGCAUCUUCACCAUCAGAGGGGUGAGUGAAGAUGCUAUGCAUCUGUGACUAUUCCCGUUCUCUCUCCUAGGAAGAGCGAACCAAGCGAAGAAAUGGUUCUACGCGAGCCAUAUGGAGGUGAAUACAUGGGAUAAAUGCUCUGCAACAUUCCUUGCAAAGUUCUUUCCGUUGGGCAAAACUAGUGCCCUACGUGGAUGGAUUUCAAGUUUCCAGCAAGUAGCCUCUGAGUCAAUUCCCGAGGUAUGGAAAAGGCUUCAGGAGUACAUCCUGGCCUGGCCUCACCACGGGAUGGAUAAGUGGCUCAUUAUUCAGAAUUUCUACUACGGGUUGACUCUGACAUCCCAAGGCCAUGUUGAUGCUGCUACUGGAGGAGCCUUCUUGAAGCGGAGCAGUACAUACACAGAGGGAGUGGUACCAAAAAACAGAAUAUCAAGCUUUUUGAAGGUGUUCUCAUGAUAUACCAAAGAUUUUGAAUGAUAAUUUGUUAAAUCUGGGUCUAGAUUCUCCUGAUUCUAGCAAGAAAUUUUUGGUACAAUUACUCUUCAUGCAAAAAUCGGACGUUUGUCUCCUGCGUACUAACACAUGAAACCCUGGAGAAUCUGCUUAGCUCCUGUUCGGGUUGUAGCCCUCUUGAUCUGCGGCGUGCUAGUCAAUCUGACCUGCUGAUUGAUAAGGACAAGUAAAACAUCAAAUACAAGAGCAAAUCGGCUGGUGUUCCAAAUCGCUCCACAGGACGUAUUGGCAGGACAGCCGAUACGGGCAAAAAUCAAUUGGCUAGAUCAGCCGAUGUGGACGUAGUAGGUGCAGAGGAAAUGUAAAAGUAACCUAAACAGUACUACGCGAACAACACUCGCAACAGGUCUAAUCUGCUGUGUGACAGUAGUUUGAUAAGAAAAACAAGGUAAAAGCUGAUCAGAACGUGUUCCAAGCUGGAUAACUAUGAUAAAACCUAAAACAACAAGAUUUAACGAAUAAAGCUUGCAGAUCUAGCAAAUAUAGAUAACUUGUGAAUAAAUCUAGAUGAAACGACAGCGAUGCACCCGAAGUUAAAGCCUAGAAAGUAUUCAAUAAAUGCGGAACUUAAAGUCUAGCUGGAGAUCGAAGCGAUGUAGCCCAACUAGCUUGGAAGAACUCAUGAAGAAAGGAAAACAAUGGUGAAGUUGCCAACUUGAAAGUAAAUUGCGAAGAAAAGUAAAUUUGGAUUGAUUAUGAUGUGUAUAUCUUUCCAGACCUCGCAGGGCCUCUAUUUAUACCCUAAACAUCAUGACUUCUAGUCCUAGUCAAUUACGACAAAACAUAAGAUCUAUCUCUAAAGAAACAAACUUUCUAAACAAAACAAAACAAAAAUGACUCGUACGGGAAUCAAAAAUGAACUUGGCCUCCAUCGGCCAAAACCAGCUCUUCAUUGGUCGAACCUCCAACAUUUCCAAUCGGCUGGAAUCCUUCUGCUCGCAUUAGCUGACCCCAUCGGCUAUGCCCUUGUCAUCUUCCAUCGGCUGCACCCUUGUGAUUCCAUCGGCUAGGCCUCUGUCUUGCUCUACCAGCAAGGCUUUCGCCAUCAUCGGUUGAUCUCUUAUAGCUUCAUCGGCUGAGCCCUCUGCAACCCCAUUUUCCGAUUCCACUAGCCAUUGUCUUUCCACUAUGAGUCGGCAUCUCUACUUGCUUUUGACACCAUCUUUGAUGUAUGUCAAAAAACGGUGUCAACAUAUGCCCCCCCAAUUUCAGAGUGAAACAUAUCUUUUGCUUCAAAAUUGUCUCAACCAUGAUUUUCACCUUCCCUUGGAAAACGCCGAUGCUUACCAAUCACCAAGUAACGAGAUCUCUUCUGUUCUGGAAUCUCCUUAGUCAUGAUUGCCUAAAAAAGUGUCUGGGGUUAACAGCUCUUCAGGUUUCGCGCAGGUGGCGGAUGAGAUACCACAUUUACCCUCUCGGGUGAGUUUAUAAAUUUACAGCCGUCAUCUUCUUCUUCCCCACCGGUUCAUCUUCUCACACCGCUACACCUUGCUUCCACUUUUCUCCGAGCGAAAGGUGACCUUCGACGACUCCUGAUGACCAUCAGCAACCAUUGAUGAUUCAUUUGCUGAUCGCUUCAAACCCCUAAUCUCAGGCAACCAGCUCCAUGGCCACUCUUACUGCCGUCACCGAGGUACAUCUCCCUGCCUUCAUCAUUUUCCCUAUGCUUCUAUCUUCCUUUCCUUACUUAGCCAUUUUCACAUUUCUCAGGAGCUUAGAGACAGAAUCACCAUCCCCAUAGUUGAUACCCCUGGAUUCGUUGCCUUAGGCCCCAUGGGAAACCUUGAUCUGAUAGAUCUGAUUAAUUUGGAGACCAAUAGAAUCCCUUUUAAAUCAUCAUUGAUGGAUCUGGCCGAUUGGGAUCACGCUUUUAGAUCUUGGCCCAACCGCACACCCGGAUGGAAAAACUAGUAUCUUAGGAUGGCCGACUCCAAAAGGGUCUUCUAGCAAGAGCACCGCAUCAGUCAAUGUAUUACCCUUUCUCUGUCAGAUAUGACUAAAAACAAACCCAUGCUCAUAGUCGCGCCAUAUUUCUAGUCGGACACCCUAAAUGUCUUCUUAUUCAGUCACAGGUCGAUGACCCCAACCCUAGCCGACAUCCUGAUGCUGACGGCUUGGAUAUUACUUCCACUGAUUUGCCAUUUCACUUCUCAACUAAAGGUUCUCGUCGGCUAGAGACAAAAUCCAUCGGCGGAUGGAAAUAUUACAAUGAUCGUCACAUCAGAACCGGAACCGUUGAGGAAAGGGAGCAUGUGGCCUUUCUGAAUAUGUGGUUGGACAAAUUUGUGUUCUGCGGGAGAUUGGCUGGCCCAACCACUAAUCUCCAACCUUUGGCUGAAGCAUUGGCAACGAGAUCUUCAAUUCCCCUAAGAAAGCAUCUUCUUGGAUCGGCAUAUCAUUUACUGCAUCAAGUAUCCAACAAACUAUUGGCUGGAGAACCCAUCGGCUAUCUAGGCAGCCCCUGGUGGUUCAUCAAUCCGUGGCUCAAUCUUCACUUGCAACGUGCCUACAAGUAUGACAUCAAGAGUAUGUCCUUUCCCAAAGAUCAGCCAGAGGAAGAACCAGCUGCAACUCGCCGAUGCAUGUCUUAUGGUGAAGCAGUAUCAGCUAUCCCUGGUAGUAAACUCACCCCUUCCAUGGUAGCCGAGGCCUUCAAGUGUUGUUAUAAUGGACUCACCAAAGGAUCUACCAUCUGGUACGCUUAUCACAGUGAAGUCCCCAUUUUUUGUAGGGAAACGAGGUAGGCUAUGCUACCGCAAAAUAAAAAUUUUCUAUCGCGUAAACAAGGAAAACUACCGUAUAUGGAUCACGAGAUUACCACUCGACGCAUAGGUGCGGAAGUUGUAGAAUCGCGUUGGGGUAGCGAAGUCGAUUAGCAUAGUCGAACAUGUCGAUGUCGAGCAGUUCCUCAGCAGCUCGUCCACGUACAGCGAGGUCCUCCUCAUGCCGCGGCUUCUCGUUGGCUCGUCGUGGCUCGUCGGCGGCUCGUCCAAGUGCUGCAGGUGCAACACCUCCAAGGCAUCCACACGUGCAUGGAGGAAGCGUCGCAAGCUGGACUGCUAGGUCUAUGAGUUGCAACAAGGCGAGGGCGUGGGAGGCGCAAUAGCUAUGGUUCGGCCAAAAGGGAUGAACCCUAGGGCACCCCCAACCCUCUAUAUAUAGGGGUCCCUGAUGGGCCUCUAGGUCCAAGGCCCAUUAAUACUCCUAAACCUAGUCCAAUUCAGAUCAUAUCCGGAUUGGGCUUCCAGCCCUUUAAGUGUGUGACCCUAUAGGUUCACAUGCGUAUAGACAUGGCCUGAGUACUCUUACUUGGCAAAAAGUUAGUAGCGGCCUCUAGCAAGACGUGGUAACUCCUAUACGCACAUGAAGAUCAUAUCAGACGAACCAUCACAACAUCACGUACAUGCUAUUCCCUUUGCCUCACGAUAUUUGAUCUAGCUCCAAGCCGACCACUCUUUCUUGAUGCUGUGAUUCGGAAUCCCUUUCUAGGUUAACUCUUAACCUCACGUAGCAUGGCCAUCCAUUUCAAGAUCCGAUUACCCGAGGGGCCCAGAGAUAUCUCUCUCAAAUAGAGAGGGGCAAAUUCCAUCUUGACUGAUCAUGCCUCACAACAUGCUUCUUGACAAACCCGAAAGCUACCUUUAUAACUACCCAGUUACGGUGUAGCAUUUGACAGCCCCUAAGUAUGUCGAUCCACAUCUUGAGUACAUGCGACAGUCUCAGGUCUAAGGACAAAGCGUACAUGUUGUGUAAAGAGAGAACUAUGUAACUUGUGUUGGGCAUUCCUAGCACAUAUCUCUACAUGUGCCCACAUUAUUAGUUUGAGAUCUCCACAUUAUUAACGAAGUCUCGAAUGAGAUGAAAUCAUCGUAUAACGUGUUUGUUCUUCUGGUGGUUCCUUAGCUCCUUUGCUUGCGCAAUAGCCCCAUUGUUGUCACAGUAGAGGUUCAAUGGGCUGAACGCAUUUGGGAACACACCAAGCUCAAUAAGGAAAUUCCUUAUCCAAACACCCUCCUUUGUGGCUUCUAAAGCCGCAACGUACUCGGCUUCUGUCGUAGAAUCAGUCACUGUCUCAUCCUUGGAUUUCAGCUAGGAGCACCACCAUUUAGCGUGAACACAAAUCCUGAUUGUGACUUUGAAUUGUCUCUAUCGGUUUGGAAACUAGCAUCGGUGGAACCUGUUACAAUGAGCUCCUCCUCACCUCCAUAGACAAGGAACAUAUCUUUAGUCCUUCUGAAGUACUUAAUAAUGUUUUUCACCAUUGUCCAGUGACUCUUACCUGGAUUAGACUAGUGUCUUCUUGUCAUACUUAGCGCAUAUGAAACAUUUGGGCAAGUACUUAUCAUUGCAUACAUGAUAGAUCCGAUAGCCGAAGCAUAUGGAACUCUACUCAAGUGAUCCCGCUCAUCAGUAGUCGAAGGACACUGAGUCUUGCUAAGGUGUAUGCCAUGUGACAUAGGCAAGAACCCUUUCUUUGCCUCUUCCACGUUUCAACACUUUGUCAAUGUAAGUAUGUUGGCUUAAUCCUAUAAUCCUUCUCGAUCUAUCUCUAUAGAUUUUGAUGCCCAAAAUAUAUGCUGCUUCCCCUAUGUCCUUCAUCGGAAAACUAUUUUUUAGUGAAGUAUUUACGGACUCAACCAUAGGAAUGUUGUUUCCAAUCAGUAAUAUGUCAUCCACAUAUAAGAUUAGAAAUACUACAGAGCUCCCACUAACCUUCUUUUAAACACAAGACUCUUCUUCAUUCUUAAUGAAGCCAAACCCUUUGACCACUUCAUCAAAACGAAUGUUCCAACUCCUAGAUGCUUGCUUCAACCCAUAAAUGGAUUUCUGAAGUUUGCAUACCUUUCUAGCAUUGUUCGGAUCGACAAAACCUUCGGGAUGUAUCAUAUACACGUCCUCAGUUAGAUUUUCAUUCAGGAAAGGUGUCUUGACAUCCAUCUGCCAUAUCUCAUAAUCGAAAUAUGCAGCUAUAGCUAGAAUAAUCCGAUUAGAUUUAAGCAUCACUACGGGCGAGAAGGUCUUGUCGUAGUCAACUCCUUGAACUUGUUGAAAUCCUUUCGCGACAAGUCGUGCUUUGUAGAUGUGAACAUUUCCAUCCAUAUCUCUCUUCUUUUUAUAGAUCCAUUUGCACUCAAUGGCUUUAACACCAUCAGGAGGGUCAACCAAGUUCCAAACUUGAUUGUCUCCCAUGGACUCUAUUUCGGAUUGCAUGUUACUUUGCCAUUUUUUGGAGUCUGGAUCCAUCAUUGCUUCUGCAUAUGUCGCAGGCUCAUCAUUGUCCAACAAUAAUAUUUCCUGCAUUUCAUGAAGCCUUAUUGACCUUCGUGGUUGUGGCGGUGCUUCUCUUGCCAUGGGUAUCUCAACUUGUUCUGCUAUGUUAGCAUCAGUUAUUGAUUCUUGCCCGAUUGGCUCAUCCCGAACUUCUUCAAGAUGCACUGUCUUUCCACUCUUCUCCCCUUUGAGAAACUCUUUCUCUAGGAAAACACCAUUCCGAGCAACAAACACUUUGCCCUCUGACUGGUUGUAGAAGUAGUAUCCUAAAGUUUCCUUUGGAUAUCCCACAAAAAUUCACUUAUCCGACUUGGGUGUAAUCUUGUCCGACUGAAGGCGCUUGACAAAUACUUCACAUCCCUAAAUCUUUAGAAAAGACAAACUGGGAAUCUUUCUAGUGCACAUCUCAUAUGAUGUCUUAACUAUGGAUUUAGACGGUACCCUAUUAAGUGUGAAAGCUGCUGUUUCUAGAGCGUAUCCCCAAAAUGAUAAUGGUAGGUCUGAUUGGCUCAUCGUUGAUCAAACUAUGUCCAACAAAGUUCAAUUACAUGGCUCAGAUACACUGUUUCUCUGAGGUGUUCCAGGCGGUGUAAGUUGUGGAACAAUUCUGCAACUCUUUAGAUGAUUGCUAAACUCGUGGCUCAAAUACUCGCCUCCGCGAUUAGAUCAUAAGGCCUUAAUUUUCUUGCCACGCUGAUUUUUAACUUCAUUCUAAAAUUCCUUAAACUUUUCAAAGGUUUCAGAUAGGUGAAUCAUCAAGAUUUAAAACAAAGAAUCCAUUCACAAUGGGUGCAAAAGCCAUAAACAUAUCAUUCUUAGAGAUCACACAACCAUUAUUUUCACUUGCAAAAGAAUAAACAUCCUUCAUCAAACAUGAAGGAGACAUAAUGUUUCGACUUAAACUAGGAACAAAAUAACAAUUAUUCAACUCCAUAAUAAAUCCUGAUGGGAGGUGGAGUUGCAUCGUCCAACCUGAAUUUGGGAAAUUUGAUUUUGCCGAAAAAUGGUGAAGCGAUUGAAUUUUAUGGGUAAUUUUUUCUGUAGAUCAAUUUUCAUAUAAAAUUCACCUCGAUCCGAGAUCGUACCGAAAAGUUACGGCUAUUUUACUGAAGCACACGCAUAUGGCAAAAAUUCCGACCCGAUAGUAGAUCCAAUCUACUAUUGCGCAUCACAUGCACCUGGCGUAUGAACCUGGGUUUCGAUUUGAUCAAUCACAUUGAUCUUCGCUUGCUGCAACUGGCAUUACGUGUAUCACCUAACUUCGAUAGCGGAAAUCCGACCGGUAGGAGUAUGUCGUUACACAACCAUUGCAGCAAGAACAUGAAACCAGGUCAUAGAUCAAUCUGAAAACUCGUAUAUCUCCAUAUGCACACAUCCCGAAUCCAUAACAAAACAGCUACGACUCUGAUACCACUGUAGGGAUACGAGGUAGGCUACGCUAGCGCAAAACAAAAAUUUUCUACCGCGUAAACCAGGAAAACUGCCGUAUAUGGAUCAUGGGAUUACCACACGAUGCAUAGGUGCGGAAGUUGUAGAAUCGCAUUAGGGCAGCGAAGUCGAUCAGCGUAGUCGAACAUGUCAACGUCGAGCAGCUCCUCAGUAGCUUAUCCACGUAAAGCGAGGUCCUCCUCAUGCCGCGGCUUGUCGUCGGCUCGUCGUGGCUUGUCAGCGGCUCGUCGUGGCUCAUUGAUGGCUCAUCGAAGUGCUGUAGGUGCAACACUUCCAAGGUAUCCACACAUGAAGGGAGGAAAUGUCGCAAGCCGGACUGCUAGGUCCACAAGUAGCAAUAAGGCGAGGUCGUGGGAGGCGCGACAGCUGUGGUUCAGCCAAAAAGGAUGAACCCUAGGGCGCCCCCUACCCCUCUAUAUAUAGGGGUCCCUGACGGGCCUCUAGGUUUGAGGCCCAUUAGUACUCCUAAACCUAGUCCAAUUCAGAUCAUAUCCUAAUUGGGCUUCCAGCCCUUUAAGUGUGUGAUCCUAUAGGUUCAUAUGCGAAUAGACAUGGCCCGAGUACUCUUACUCGACCAAUAGUUAGUAGCGGCCUCUAGCAAGAGGUGCUAACUCCUAUACGCACACGAAGAUGAUAUCAGAUGAACCAUCACAACAUCACGUACAUGCUAUUCCCUUUGCCUUAUGAUAUUUGGUCUAGCUCUAAGCCGACCACUCUUUCUCGAUGCUGUGAUUCAGAAUCCCUUUCUAGGUUAACUCUUAACCUCACGUAGCAUGGCCAUGCAUUUCCGGAUCCGAUUACUCGAGGGGCCCAGAGAUAUCUCUCUCAAAUAGAGAGGCGCAAAUUUUAUCUUGACUGACUAUGCCUCACAGCAUGUUUCUUGACAAACCCGAAAGCUCCCUUUAUAACUACCCAGUUACAGUGUAGCGUUUGAUAGUCCCUAAGUAAGUCGAUCCACAUCUUGAGUACAUGCGACAGUCUCAGGUCUAAGGACAAAGCGUACAUGUUGUGUAAAGAGAGAACUAUGUAACUCGUGUUGGGUCAGUCCUAGCACAUGUCUCUACACAUGCCCACAUUAUUAGUUUGACAUCUCCAUGUCCAUGACUUGUGAAACAUAGUCAUCAACUAAUACAUGUGCUAGUCUAAUAUUCAUGUGUGUCCACACAUGAACUUCGACUAGGGACAACUUUUAGAAUAACCAUACAAGUAAAGAGUUUCACAUACAAUUCACAUAAUUGCAAAUCAAUUCAAGUAACCUUUAAUGGAUAUUCAAGGAACACAAUAUAAAACAUGGAUACAAUGGAAUAUCAUCAUCUCUAUGAUUGCCUCUAGGGCAUACCUCCAACAUUUUUGAGCUGCCAGAUUGUUUCGACUUUGUCACGUGCACCUUUAAUGGAGAAGUCUUAGAGGUGAUCAUCAGGCCUAGAAUCCUCCUAGCUAACUUCUUCACCGGUAAAGUUCAAUAUCCGACGUAUGAAUUUUAUCACCCAUCGGAAGCAGCUCGUCAACUCGGCUUUGGACAAUUGCCGAUAAGACCUUAUUUCGCCAAUCUUGUGAAGCCCUGUGAGAAACUUUCUAGCGGUCUUGAAUAUAAUAGACUCAGCAACUUGGUCCUGGAUGCCAACACCACCAACUUAGAAUCAUGGACAGCUACUACCUUCACCAUUAAACAAUUCAAGUUGUGGUGGAAAGAAUGGAAGAAUCAUCUCUUCUGCGUGGUGACAGGGUAUACUGCAGCAGGUUUGGCCCAGACUUCAACGAUCCUGACGGACGGGUAAUUACUGUCGAUUUCACUGAGUCUUCUUUUGUCAUAGAUAUUUUCUUCUUACUAAUACCUCUCCCCCUUGCAGGGUAUUGACUUUACACCUCCAACCGUUAGCCAAUGCAACAAGCCGAUUGCCUAAGCCCCUUCAUUGGCCGAUCCUCACAUCGGCCACGAUGCGCCAUCCUUAAUGGACAUAGCCAUAAACCGAAAGUGCAAAGUCUCCAUCCUUGAGAAGACUACCCGCAAGAAGCGUCUUCAAAAGGGCUGAACAUCGGCUUAGGCAACUGAUCUGUCGGUAGCAAUGUCAGCCCAGGAGACUGAUCCGACGGCAGCAGUGGCACCCCAAACGACCGUUCUGACAGAAGUAGCAUCGACAGCAGCAUCACUCUUGAUAGAGGCUAUCUAGGUAAUCUCAUUGUUUUCAAACUCAUUAUAUACCUUACUGAUGCUAACUUUGCUUCUUUCAACCGUCUACACAAUCCACACAGGAGCAACCUGUACCAGCAUCGGCCGAUCCUCAUGCCGAGGAAAUUCUGGAGACCGCACCUAUCACAACUCCACCAACCGAGGUAACAAAGUAUGUUUUGCUUUAAUCUUCGUAACCUCAUCGCUGAACUCUGCCGAUCCUCUAUACAUGCUAACCCAGAUUCAUCAGGCGACCUUCCUGAACCAUCAGUUGCAUUGGCUUCAGAGGUAAAGGAUCAUCUAUCAUACUUUAGCUCAAUAUACUUUAUUUUAUCGAAAACACCUUUUUUUCAGGAAAUCAUCUCGAACCCAACAUCGGCAACCCUUUACAAGCCAAUAAUUACCAAAGACUCUUCAACUAGUGUGAUUCCAGAAAAUGAAUUUCCCUUCGACGAGCCAAUUCAUGAAGAACCUCCAUCGGUUGUGCCAGAACCAUCAGCACAGAGUAGAGAAAUCCAACUGAAGCGGGUAAGCACCUUUCAUAUUUAGCCGAUUUCUAUUUUAACAUCAUCGGCUUAUAUUCUAUUUACUUUUCAUAGGCUCAAGAUAGCCCCAACAAUAGUCUCUUCUCCUUCCAGGUUGGAGGGCUUGAUGAGGAAGAAGAGAUCUUGUCGCACUCACCGGCUGCUAAAUCCUUGUCUAAUGACGCGAAAAUUAAGCUUCAAAGCAUGCAGGACUUCCUUCAUCAGAACAUCAGCCAAUUGGUGGAAGAUGCAGUGCCAAUACAAAAAUCCUCUGUGAGCUCAAAGGCCAGGUUCCCAAAGACAUGGAAGAAGCUCUGUUUCCUGCAGCAUACAUAGAGAGCAUGCGACUUCCGGUGUCAAGGGCUUUAUAGCGCAUAGCUAAUCGCGCCAAGCAGGAGCAGUUGCACCAAGAGAAAGAAUCCCACAGGCUCCGUGCCAAUGAACUUCAUCACAGGAUCAGCUUCCUCAGCAAUUCUCGGCCAAACAUCAUCAGCGAAAUAGAUUGGCUUAAAGCACGGUGGGCAGAACUCGCCAAGGAAAUGAAGAUUGUCAGUGACACCAUCACCGCAGGGGAAAGCUAGCUCGCUCAACUCCCAAACAUCCUCGAGCAGUUAGAGCAGGAGAAGCAAACACAUGCUCGUCAAGCUAUUCGGCUUCAUCAAAGCAUACCAGACAUCCCCGACUCAACCGAUGAUGACCAUAGAGUAAUAGAGGCGGUCGAUCAGAUUCGCCUGCGUGCAAUAAAUGCUAUCCAAACCCUUCUAGGAUAGUUGUAAUGGAAUAUUAUCAAUUUCCAUGUAUCUUUCUUUUGUGAUGUCAUCAAUCACUGUCCGCCUUGAAUGUGAAUUGGCCAAUUCUUUACAGCUUUCUCUGACUCGCCAAUGGCUAUUUUAUUCAAUGCGCCUCUUCUGGCCGACCGUUGCUCAACGUCCGAAUCCUUCAAUGCUGUUCUAUAAAUAUGAGCAGCAAUUGUUCCUCUUAGAUGCAUUUGCACAACCAUACUGGCCUUCGCCUUUGUAAGCACUUGAUUCGAACCGAAACCCUCAGGUCCAAGAUGUCAUCUUCUUCAUCGGUCAAUCAGGUAUCAUUAUGCUUUCUCAAUUCUGAAUUGGUUGUUGUGAACCAAUCCUUGACUCUUCAUUCCCCCAUUUCAGCCAAAUCAAGUGGAUGAACAGCUUGAACGAGUCAUCUAGAUCAUCCAUUCCAACGAGCCUCUCACCCAAACAGACAAGGCUUUGAUCCAAGCUCAUCGUGACCGUAUCAGAGACCAUCUGCCCACGGACGUCAAAUCGAUCUUGUCCUCAAUCGAAGCUGCAGGCUCAAGCUAGAAGGCGCAGCAGCCAAUCCUUUGAAGCCAUGAACCUCCCCCUCGUGUAUUGCUUGAAGACAAGUUGACUAGUUUGGAAGCAAGAAGGACCCAACUUCUACUAGAACUUGGUCGAGUCGACAGGGAAAUCGGUACUACUGAGACCCAACUGGGGCACCUCCCAAGCAUAUCUUGGCAAAGGGAAUAGGUAUUUGCCGAUACCAAUAUAGAACCAGCCAGAUUUGCUUGUGAUAAAAUGUCUUGGCCAUGAUGCGUCAAUGACUUUGAUGUAAUAACCUUCUGUAUCCCAAAUGUUGCAAGUAUUAUUUGUUCUAAGGGCGACUUGUAUUGCGUCGGCCGUGUCACAGCCGAUGUACCAAACUUGUGAUCAUCGGCUAUCCAUAUGUCUGCCUUUUUUCCUUCUAUCUUUCUGGACUAAAAGUGAUUUCCUCGAUAUCGGCUAUAUCAACCUUAAGCAUUACGCCGUUGGCUAUGCAUCUACCCAUAUACUAGGGUAGUAUUUCUUUAAGUAUUUUCCAUUUAGAGCCUUUGUGAACUCUUCUCCUUCAAGUGUCUCCAAAAUAUACGCGUUGCCUGGAGCACACUGGUUUAUUCGAUAUGGUCCCUCCCAUGUAGGCGACCAUUUUGCAAAUUUAGGAUCUUUAGACCCAAUUGGCAACACCAGAUUCUAGACCAGACCUCCUUGGAAAAACUCUUUGACCUUGACCUUUUUGUCGUACCAUCUAGCCACUCUUUUUUUAUUUUCUUCGAUACUGAUCAAAGCCCUUAGCCGACGACCUGCUAAGUCUUCCAACUCCCCUUUCAUCAAGGCAGAGUAUUCCUCCGCUGUUAACUGAUCUUCCAAUGACACACGCCUAGACCCAGUCUUCGACUCCUGAGGUAGCACCGCUUCAUGCCCAUAAACCAACUGAUAAGGGGAUACUUUUGUGGCUCCAUGACAAGCCAUCCGAUAUGUCAAUAAGGACUCAUUCAACAUAAUAUGCCAGCACCUUGGCUGCUCUUCGAUCUUUCACUUAAUUAAUUUAAUGAUCCCCUUGUUAGAUGAUUCAACUUGGCCAUUUGCCUAGGUAUAUAAUAUGGAGAAGAAUUCAACAAUUUAAUUCCCAUAUUAGUAGCAAAUUCUUCGAACUCUCCAAAAGUGAACAGCAUCCCUUGAUCGGUCGUGAUAGUUUGAGCCAUACCAAAUCAAUAGAUGAUGUGUUGUUUGAAAAAAUCAACCAUGCUCGCCGAUGUCACAUUCUUCAGGGGAAUUGCUUCGACCCACUUAGUAAAAUAAUCCGUUGCUACCAAUAUGAACUUAUGGCCCUUAGUUGAAGGUGGAGAAAUCUGGCCAAUCAGAUCAAUACCCCAACCCCUAAAUGGCCACGACUUUAUUAUAGGAUUCAUAGCUGAUGCUGGGGCCCUUUGCACAUUGCCAAACUUCUGACAAUCUUGACAACCCUUAUAGUAUUUAAAGCAAUCUUCAAGUAUCAUCGGCCAAUAGUAUCCAUUGUGUCUAAUCAUCCAUUUCAUCUUAAAGCUGAUUGAUGAGCUCCGUAAACCCCUUCAUGGAUUUCUCCCAUCAGAUUCUUUGUUUCUUCAACGCCGAGGCAUUUAAGCAGGACCCCAUCAACCGUCCGAUAAUAAAGGUCAUCUUCAAGCAAUACAUAUUUCAAAGCCUGAAAAUCGUACUUGCCUAUCAACUUUCAUGGAAGGGUCCUUUAAGUAAUCGGCUAUCUCUUACCUCCAAUCAUCGGCCAUCAACUCUAAGGCCAUAGCAACACAAAUCGACCGAUAACCCGAGGCAUGUUGAGCGAGUUUGUUAGCAUCCUCAUUGUAAUCUCUGGGAAUAUGCUCAAUAAUUACGCUCUUGAACUCUUUAAGUAACUGAAGGUACUGCUCAUAGUAAAUUCUCAAAAUAUCAUCUCUACAUUCACAUCCUCCAAUCAGCUAAUUGAUAAUAAGCAUAGAGUCUCCAAAUAUCUCAACGACAUUAGCUUUGAAUUCUCUCAACAAUUGGAUUCCCUUCAAAACGGCUCGAUACUCAGCCUGAUUGUUGGUAGCAGAAGCCUCAAUUGGUAGUGAGAACUCGUAGCUUGCCCCCCAAGGCGAUAUGAGAAUUGUGCCGAUUCCCGGUCCAAUCCCACAUGAAGACCUAUCAAAGAAUAAAGUCCAUGAAGCCACUUCAACAAUAGUAACCUUUGGCCCACAAUGCUGAGUAACGAAAUUGGCCAUGACUUGCCCUUUGAUAGGUUUAGUUGAUUCAUACUUUAGAUCGAACUCUGACAGAGCUAGAAUCCACUUCCCAAUUCUUCCAUUGAAAAUUGGCAAUGACAACAUGUAUUUGACCACAUCAUCUUUACAUACUACAACGCAUUCGGCCAAUAAUAAAUAGUGUAUAAGCUUAGUGUAGGAGAAAUAUAAGCACAGACAUAGCCUCUCGAUUGGAGAAUACCUAGUAUUAGCAUCCAAGAGUCUUUUGCUGACAUAAUAGAUUACUCAUUCCUUCCCUUCAAAUUCUUGGACAAGAGCCGACUCGAUAGCACACUCAUCGGCUGAUAGGUACAACCUGAAUGGCUUGUUAGCUUGUGGAGGAACCAACAUAGGAGGUGACACCAGGUAUUGUUUGACAUCAUCCAACGUCUUUUGCUGCUCUGCCCCCCAAACAAACUCUUGAUCGGCCUUCAGUUUAAGCAAUGGGCUGAAAGAUUGAAUCCUUCCAGACAGGUUUGAUAUGAAUCUUCGGAUAAAAUUGAUCUUGCCGAUCAAUGGCUGCAACUCAGUCUUAUUUUGCGGAGCCACGACCUUGUUAAUAACAAUGAUGAUCUUCUUAUUAAUUUCAAUGCCACGUUCAUGGACCAUGAACCCCAAGAACUAUCCAAUCGACAUGCCAAAAUCACAUUUAUUUGGGUUCAUUUUCAACCCAUGUUUCCUUGUGCAUUCCAGGACUUUACGCAAAUUGGCUAAGUGCUUCCGGUACCCUUUUGAUUAAACUAUGACAUCAUCGAUAUAAAUCUCGACUACGAUGUUGAUAAGUUUAUGAAAGAUGUAAUUCAUAGCCCUCUGAUAUGUAGCCUCAGCAUUUUUCAAUCCAAAGGUCAUGACCACCCAUUCAAAUAAGCCGAUGUGCGCAGGACACCUAAAGGCCGUAUUGGAAAUAUCUUCUUCGGCCGUAAUACUUGGUUAUAUCUAGCGUUGCCAUCCAUGAAACUGAUGACUCUGUGUCCUGAAGCAGCAUCUAUCAACACAUCAGCUGUCGGCAUCAAAUAACCAUCCAUCGGCGUGGCUUGAUUGAGAUUCCUAAAAUAAAUACAAAUGCGCAGCUUUCCAUUCUUCUUGUACACAGGAACCACAUUAGAAAUCCACUUAGCAUACCAACACUGCCGAAUAAACCCUGCUUCAAUUAAUCUUGUAAUCUCGGGCUUAAUAUCAGGUAAUAUCUUCGGAUUUCAACACCGCACAGGCUGCUGAUACGGCUGAUACCCUAGCUUUAUUGGCAACCGAUGUUCAAUAAUAGAUCGGUCUAAACCAGGCAUUUCAUGAUACUCCCAAGCAAAGCAACCUUUGAAUUCUUUUAACAACUCAAUUAAUUCGCACUUAUACUCAGGAUCUAACUUAGCACUAAUAUAUAUCGGCCUUGGCUUGCUCCCAUCUCCAAGAUCUACCAUCUCUAACUCGUCGGCCGAUGUAAGUCCAUGCCAUAGCUUCCCGUCUUCUUGGAUGAACUCAUCCAUCAGGAUGAUUCUUCAGAGCCAACUGCUUGGAUCGGCUGUAGCCUGAAAUCGGACACCUUCAGGAAGUCUAUGUCCCAAACUCUACCAGAUAUGCAACUGACUUGUUCAUAGUUCCACUGUUGUGCGUCGGCUGUGGCAAUGCUGAAGGAAGAAUCGAUGGUGACCCCUUCAACUGAGUCACCAAUCCAUUGGACGAGACAUUGAUGCAUUGUAGACCGGAUGUAGCAGUUGACGUGAAUCCAAUCUCGUCCCAGAAGCAUGUUGUAGGAUCCUUUACCAAUUAAUGACAAAGGUAGUAGGUAGGGCCUUACUGCCAAUGGUGAGGUCAAUGCAGAGUGCACCCCGGGCUAGGGAGACAUUUCCUUUGAAGUCCUUCAGCAUCAUGUCUAUUUUGAUCACGUCUUCUUCAUGUUUGCCAAGCUUGCGGAAUAUGGCAUACGGCAUGAUGUUCAUGGCUGCACCUCCAUCCACCAAAGGCUUGGUAGCUGGCCUCCCGUUGACUUUCCCCUUGAGGAAGAGAGCUUUCAAGUGCAGACAUUUUUCAUCUUUGGGUUUUUCAAAGGUGGCUGACAUCGACUCCAAGGCUAAUUGAGCCAUCUCUUCCUCUGCUUCUAGUACUUCAUCAUGAGAAGUUGGGGCCAUAAACUCCAUCGGUAGGAUGAAGACCCUAUUGACAUCCGUAGCCGACCUGGGAUUGUUAUUCUUGUCAUCGGCUCUGUCUUUGACGUGCCACACUUGGGAUUUGACCCAUUUUCUUUCCAAAGCACGCCUUUGUUCCUCUUCCUGCUGCUCCCAUUGUCGUAGGUGUUGGACCCUCCUCCUCUAGGACUUAGUCAAACCUGCAGGGCACCAUCUAGGAUGUUCUACAGCUUUGUCUUGUGAUGCACACCACCGCUCCAGUUCAUGACACAGAGGCUCUUCAUCGAGGACCCUUGCAUCGACCCUUUCCUCCAUCCUGCUGGGUACAUUAAACCUAGCCCCUAGCCGAUUGUGUACACUGACCCUGCCCCCCAGCCGAUCACGCACUGGGAUGUGCUUGUCAUCAUGGUGAGACCUAUCCCUGCUGAUCAGUUUUUGAUUCUUGUCAUCAAAGCACGGCCUUUUGGAUGAUUGGUUGUCUUGGUAUGACCCGUUGCACUCAGGGCAGUUGUCAACCGAUGGUAGCUUGAUUCCCUCCUCCCAGUAGUAUAAGAAGAACGGGCAUCUCCAGUGAUCUUCAUGGUGGUGUAUCAUCUCUUCCCUGCGCCUUGCCUAUUCUUGCUGCUUUUGGAACUUGUUGAGCAACUCGUGGGAGGUGAUCAUCCAGCGAGGCCUUUUAGAGCUUUCCCCCUCCUGUAACUGACCCUUUCCUUUGACGUCAUCAGCCGAUACCUGUAUUUUGGGGUCCAUAGUUCCACUCUUCUUGGCCAAUUCUGAAGUCAGCACUUUCUUCUGUGGUGCGCUCUUGUCACCAACCUCCACCAUGUUGGUUGGGAAGGGAUGCUGAUUGAUCUUCAUCGGUCUUGUUGGCUUUGAGGGAACUUCAAACUUGAGCCUCCCUUGCUCAAUAGCCGAUUGGAUCUGCUGGCGGAAGACCUUACACUCGUUGGUGUCAUUAGAUGUGGUAUUGUGCCACUUGCAAUACUUGAUCUUCUUAAGUUUUUCGGCCGACGGGAUCGCAUGGUAUGGUGAGAGCUUGAUCUGUCCUUCUUGCAGCAGCAAGUCAAAGAUCUUAUCAGCCUUAGAGGUAUCGAACCCAAAUUUCUUAGGCUCCUUCUUUCCCUAUGGGCAUGAGAUCAACUUUUUAGUCUUAACCCAUUCUGCCAAGCUGAUCUGUACCUCUUCCUCUGAAUCCGAACACUCUACGUACACCACUUUCUUCUGGAAGCUCUUCCUCUAAUCGAACGGGCGCACGUCUUGGUUUGAUAGCCGAUGUACAAUUUGGCUCAGACUCUCGAACUCCUGUGAAGCAUACUUUUCUUUGAUGUGCGGUAGGAGCCCCUGAAAAGCCGUGUUGGCUAGUUGGCUAUCGCUGAAGACCAAGCUGUAGCACUUGUUCCUGACCUCUCUGAAUCGUUGGAUGAAGCUGGCCACCAACUCAUCACUCCUCUGCCUGAGACUGGUCAGAUCUAUCAGCUUUAUCUCAUGAACCCCAGCAAAGAAGUACUUGUGGAACUAUUUUUCCAAAUCGGCCUAGGUGAUGAUGGAGUUAGGUGGUAGCUUCGUGAACCACUGGAAGGCUGACCCGGACAAGGAUGAUGAGAAUAGCCGAACUCUUAGAGCAUCUUGCACGGCUGCUUCCCCACACUGAAUGAUGAACUUGUUGACGUGCUCCACCGUAGAUGUGUUGUCUUGAGCUCAGAACUUGGUGAAAUUGGGCACCUUGUACUGGUGAGGGAACGACAAUAGAUCGUAGGCCGGUGAGUACGAUGUCCUGUACGUGUAGGUCUACAGUUUAGGUUUUAGCCCGAACUGAUCUUGCAUCACCUUGGCUAUCCUUGCGGCCCAAUCAACCUGUUGCGGCUGCUGCUGGACAAUAGGUUGGACCAUCGGCUGGACUGCUGGCACCUGCUGCUGAAUCUGUGGCACCACGAUCGACUGCUGGAUAACCGAUGUAUAUUGAAGAGGUUACGACUGGAUGAUCGGUUGAGGAGCCGAUGCUUGCUGACGAGGAGGAUCAACGUGCUGUAACAUAACAUGUCAGUUGUCUCAUCAUACACCAUUAUAGGCGACCCAUCUCUGUGAAGAUCCGAAACACCUGCCUCCCUGCUGACUUUUGGUGGAUUCUACUAAUAAUUUUGGACCGUUGGCUGAGGAGCCAAAGGUGAUAGUGAUUGUACUGGAGACCUCAUGGCUGGAACAAAUGAUCUUGGAGGCAUCGUAUAUCUAGUGGUCGGAUUCCAUCCAAAUGGCAUCCCUGUUGGCCCCCAUGGCGUCGAUGUUGGAAACGGCGAUGGCAUGGAGUAUGCUGGAGCAGGUUGGUUUGCCAUCUUAGUGAGAGAGGGUGGCGCAAGAUUGGUGUUCUGAAGCAGUGUCGCACUGUAACCCCCACUUGACAUCUGGAUCGGCUGAGAAACCAAUUGGCCCACAGCAAGCGCAAUCAUCACACUUCCGAUCGGUACGCUCCUAGGUGGCCCGUAUGCUGGACCGUGAAACCCCUGAGAGCUUCCACCAUUGAGAGUGCUGGGGACGGUGUUGUGCACGGUGUUGGUCAUUACUGUAGCUUGGUUGAUCAGCGCGUGAUUGAGAGCCUGGUCAAUCAUCUCCUGCAUCUUCCCUAGGUCUUCAGCAAUGGUGAUCUAGCGAGGAGUUGGAAGGGCGUGCUUCUUGACAGGUUCCCCUUUCCUAGUACGGUUGAAGGACUUUAGGCACAGCAAUCUGAACUCUUCCACAGCCCUUGCCACUUCGCCCUUCUAACCGUCCUAGAGCUCAUUCUCAGUAACCUUCGAUGAUGUUGUCGUUCGAAACUUUGGCAGUCUUCAGCGCAGACAUGUUGAGGCUUUGUAUGGUCCCACUGGGCGUGCCAAAAGUGUGUUGAUGCAAAAAUUCGAUGUUUGGCUCCUGUGUACUAACACACGAAACCCGGAAGAAUCUUCUUAGCUCCUAUUCAGGUUGUAGGCCUCUCGAUCCGCGACGUGCUAGAAUCUGACCUGCUGAUUAACAAGGACAAGUAAAAUGUCAAAUACAAGAGCAAAUCAGUUGGUGUCCCACCGAACGUCCCAAAGUGUGUUGUCGCAAAAAUCGGAUGUUUGACUCCUGUGCACUAACACAUGGAAUCUGGGAGAAUCUGCUUAGCUCCUGUUCGGGUUGUAGCCCUCUUGAUCCGCGGCGUGCCAGUCAAUCUGACCUACUUAUUGACAAGGACAAGUAAAACAUCAAAUAGAAGAGCAAAUCAGCUGGUGUUCCAAAUCGCUCCACAGGACAUAUCGGCAGGGAAGCUAAUACUUGUUGGGACAUGAGGUAGGCUACACUAGCGCAAAUCAAAAUUUUCUUCCGCAUAAACUAGGAAAACUGCCGUAUAAGGAUCACGGGAUUACCACUCGACGCACUACUAGUGCGGAAGAUGUAGAAUCGCGUCGAUGUAGCGAAGUCGAUCAACGUAGUCGUACGUAGUCGAUCACGUCGACGUCUAACAGCUCCUCAACAGCUCGUCCACGUGCAGCAAGAUCUCCCUCGUGCCGCGGCUCGUCGUCGGCUCGUCGUGGCUCGUCGGCGGCUCGUCGUGGCUCGUCGGCGGCUCGUCCAAGUGCUGUAGGCGCAACACCUCCAAGGUAUCCACACGUGCAGGGAGGAAGCGUCGCAAGCCGGACUGCUAGAUCCGUGAGUUGCAACAGACGAGGGCGUGGGAGGCGCGACAGAUGAGUUUUGCCAAAAAGGUGUAAACCCUAGGGCGCCCCCACCCCUCUAUUUAUAGAGGUUCCUAACGGGCCUCUGGGUCCGAUGCCCAUUAGUACUUCUAAACCUAAUCCAACUCGGAUCACAUCCGAAUUAGGCUUCCAGCCCCUUAAGUGUGUGACCCUAAGGGUUCGGAUAGGUAUAGACAUGGCCCGAGUACUCCUGCUCGGCCCAAUAGUCGGUAGCGGCCUCUAGCAAGAUGUGCCAACUCCUAUACGCAUACGAAGAUCAUAUUAGAUGAACCAUCACAACAUUAUAUACAUGCUAUUCCCUUUGCCUCACGAUAUUUGGUCUAGCUUCAAGCCGACCGCUCUUUCUCGAUCCUAUGAUUCAGAAUCCCUUUGUAGGUUAACUCUUAACCGUACGUAGCAUGGCCAUGCAUUUUAGGAUCCGAUCACUUGAGGGGCCCAGAGAUAUCACUCUCAAUCAGAGAGGGGCAAAUCCCAUCUUGAUUGACCAUGUCUCAUAGCAUGCUUCUUGACAAACCCGAAAGCUACCUUUAUAACUACCCUGUUACGGCGUAGCGUUUGGUAGCCCCUAAGUAAGUCGAUCCACAUCUUGAGUACAUGCGACAAUCUCAGAUCUAAGGACAAAGCGUAUAUGAUGUGUAAAGAGAGAACUACUUCUCGUAUUAGGUCAGUCCUAGCACAUGUCUCCACAUGUGCCCACAUUAUUAGUUCAACAUCUCCAUGUCCAUGACUUGUGAAACAUAGUCAUCAACUAAUACAUGUGCUAGUCCAUUAUUCAUGUAUGUCCUCACAUGAACUCCGACUAGGGACAACUUUAGAAUAACCAUACAAGUAAAGAGUUUCACACACAAUUCACAUAAUUGCAAAUCAAUUUAAGUAGCCUUUAAUGGAUAUUCAAGGAACACAAUAUAAAUCAUGGAUACAAAUGGAAUAUCAUCAUCUCUAUGAUUGCCUCUAAGGCAUACCUCCAACAGUCUCCCACUUGCACUAGAGUCAAUCUAGAAGGUACCUAAUACCCAUAGCUCUUACAUGCGCAUCAUGCUUACCCUGCGGGAGUGGUUUUGUCAACGGAUCAGAAAUGUUCAGAUCCGUGUGUAUUUUGCAUAUCUUGAUCUCACCCUGGUUAACAAAGUCUCGAAUGAGAUGAAAUCGCCGCAUUAUGUGUUUGUUCUUCUGGUGGUUCCUUGGCUCCUUUGCUUGCGCAAUUGCCCCAUUGUUAUCACAGUAGAGAUUCAAUGGGCUGGAUGCAUUCGGGAACACACCAAGCUCAAUGAGAAAAUUCCUUAUCCAAACACCCUCCUUCGCAGCUUCUGAAGCCGCAAUGUACUCGGCUUCUGUCGUAGAAUCAUCCACCGUCUCCUGCUUGGAACUCUUCCAACUAACAGCACCACCAUUUAGCGUGAACACAAAUCCUAAUUGUGACUUUGAAUCAUCUCUGUCGGUUUGGAAACUAGCAUCGGUGUAACCUAUUACAACGAGCUCCUCCUUACCUCCAUAGACGAGGAACAUAUCUUUAGUCCUUCUCAAGUACUUAAGAAUGUUUUUCACCGCUGUCCAGUGACUCUCACCUGGAUCAGAUUGGUGUCUUCUUGUCAUACUUAGCGCAUAUGAAACAUCUGGGCAAGUACUUAUCAUUGCAUACAUGAUAGAUCCAAGAGCCGAGGCAUAUGGCACUCUACUCAUGCGAUCCCGCUCAUCAUCAGUCGAAGGACACUGAGUCUUGCUGAGAUGUAUGCCAUGUGACAUAGGCAAGAACCCUUUCUUUGCCUCUUUCAUGCUAAACCGCUUCAACACUUUGUCAAUGUAAGUAUCUUGGCUUAAACCUAUAAGCCUUCUCGAUCUAUCCCUAUAGAUCUUAAUGCCCAGAAUAUAUGCCGCUUCCCCUAAGUCCUUCAUCAAAAAACUAUUUUUCAGUGAAGUCUUUACGGACUCAAGCAUAGGAAUGUUAUUUCCAAUAAGUAAUAUGUCGUCCACAUAUAAGAUUAGAAAUACUACAGAGCUCCCACUAACCUUCUUGUAAACACAAGACUCUUCUUCAUUUUUGGUGAAGUCAAACCCUUUGACCACUUCAUCAAAAUGAAUGUUCCAACUCCUAGAUGCUUGCUUCAAUCCAUAAAUGGAUCUUUGAAGCUUGCAUACCUUUCCAGCAUUUUUUGGAUCGACAAAACCCUCAGGCUGUAUCAUAUACAUGUCCUCAGCUAGGUUUCCAUUCAGGAAAGCUGUCUUGACAUCCAUCUGCCAUAUCUCAUAAUCGAAAUAUGCAGCUAUAGGUAGAAUAAUCCAAAUGGACUUAAGCAUCACUACGGGCGAAAAGGUCUCAUCGUAGUCAACUCCUUGAACUUGUCGAAAACCUUUUGCGACAAGUCGUGCAUUAUAGAUGUGAACAUUUCCAUCCAUGUCCUUUUUCUUCUUAUAGAUCCACUUGCACUCUAUGGCUUUAACACCAUCAGGCGGGUCAACCAAGUUCCAAACUUGAUUGUCUCCCAUGGACUCUAUUUCGGAUUGCAUGGCACUCUGCCAUUUUUCGGAGUCUGGGUCCAUCAUUGCUUCUGCAUAUGUCGCAGGCUCAUCAUUGUCCAACAAUAAUAUUUCCCGCAUUUUGCGGAGCCUUGCCAACCUUCAUGGUUGUGGCGGUGCUUCUCUUGCCAUGGGUAUCUCAACUUGUUCUGCUACGUUAGCAUCACUCAUUGAUUCUUGCCCGAUCAGCUCCUCUUGAACUUCUUCAAGAUGCACUAUCUUUCCACUCUUUUCUCCUUUGAGAAACUCUUUCUCUAGGAAAACCCCGUUCCGAGCAACAAAUACUUUGCCCUUUGACCGGUUGUAGAAAUAAUAUCCCAAAGUUUCCUUUGGAUAUCCCACGAAAAUGCACUUAUCCGACUUGGGUGUGAUGUUGUUCGACUGAAGUCGCUUGACAAACACUUCACAUCCCCAAAUCUUUAGAAAAGACAAACUAGGAACCUUUCCAGUCCACAUCUCAUAUGGUGUCUUAACUACGGAUUUAGAUGGUACUCUAUUAAGUGUGAAAGCUGCUGUUUCUAGAGCGUAUCCCCAAAAUGACAGCGGUAGGUCCGACUGGCUAAUCAUUGAUCGAACCAUGUCUAACAAAGUUCGAUUACGUCGCUCGAAUACACCGUUUCUCUGAGGUGUUCCAGGUGGCAUAAGUUGUGGAAUAAUUCCGCAACUCUUUAGAUGAUUGCUAAACUCGUGGCUCAUAUACUCGCCUCCACGAUCAGAUCGUAAGGCCUUAAUUUUCUUGCCAUGAUGAGGGGGAAUUAACUUUGGCCCACUAACUUAAUCAGACAAGGUCGUGGCAAUAAGGCCUCAUACACGCUCCUAUCGGCUCAAUGAUGUCAUUAUGCUUCCGUGAGAUAUGGAUGAUACCCAGCUGAUGCAUCGGCUCUGAAUAGUAACGUGCUAACAUCGAAGGCUCGACUGUUCGCAAUAUGAGGGGUAGGGGUAAAGAUCUAUCGGACCUAGCAUAUAUAAAAUAGUAAAAGCAUGCAAGAUCCAAUAGCCAAUACGAUUAGAUAAGGGGUGAAUGUUUAGCCAAUACCAUUCGAUAACUGUGAGUGCUUGAUAGAACUAAGAGAUCGAUACAAUAAAACUUAAUAAAAUCAAACAACUCAAUAACUAAGAGCAACCGUCGAAGACAAGCAGAAUAUUGGACAAUGCCUAGAAAGUUCUUCUUGCAAUCCAAGAUAACUCAAUAACUAGCCACACAACCGAAUAUCAGAUUAUAAGACUUAACUUAGAAAGUUCUGAUAGAGGCCCUAAUGACCGGGUGAUGGUACUUACAAGCUCGCCUGAGAUCGAAGCUAAUGUAGCCAUGCGUGUAGGAAGGAACUCGUCGAAACUAUUCUACUCCUACUCCUAGAGUUUUGUCGGCGUGGCACCAAAAGGUUGUAUUGGUUGAUUGAUGAUUAUUCGUUACAAAGCUCAUGGGUUUAUAUUUAUACCCUGGAGCAAGCUAAAAUCAUAGUUCAUUACGCCAUGACUAUUACAACUAUUUCUAAAAACUACCUAAGAUAAGUCUCCAUGCAUUUCCUUAUUUGGUGGAGUCAAUUUUGCUUCGGAUCGGGCUUCCUCCGAUCUUAUAUUAGCUUCUAGAACCCUGGUCUCUUGCAGCUGGUUUCGGUUAACACGAAGUCAUCGACAGUCCUUUUGUCUCUCCUCCAUAGGCUAUCUGAACCUUUGUUGCAGAAGCACCUAGAUUAACCUGGAUAAAGUAUACUCAACAUGGCCUCAUAUGCGAGCAGACACUUCAAUCAAGUUAAAAUGGUAGUAUGUCGUGUUUCACCCGUGUCGGCUAGGCACCCCUGGGCCCACCAGAAGACUUGUGGACCCACUCAAGGGGAUGUACCCAAAAUCUACUCAGACAUGAAGACUACUCUCCAGGGCGCGUAGGCUUCAUGGUUUCCCCGAAGACUAGUUAGGUAGGAAGGAGAUUACUCUACCGAGUUAGAGUAGGACUCUGUAAACGUACUUGACUAGGACUUGAACGCAAUCCGUCCUAUAACUCUGGUCCCCCGACUAUAUAAGGGCGGGUAGGGACCCCCUCCAAACAACAGAGAACAAGAGAACACAUCUCAAUCAAUACAAUCAACACACAGGACGUAGAGUAGUACACGAUCUAGUAGCCCGAAACUAUCUAAAUUUUGUUCCUUACGUCACCAUCAACACCUUAAUUCUCGACGACACCCACUGCACAAAAGACCACCUAGGGUACCCCCUAGGCGGGUUGCCAGUGUAAAAAUACCGACUGCUGGCAUGCUAGGUAGGGGCUCAGAGAGCUGGAUAGCUCAAGUGGUUGUGAAGUGCUGAGCAGAGGGAAAUAUGGUGUGUGCCAAAGAACAUUGUUGCUUUAAUAAAUUUGCAUGAAAGCCCGAGUAUAUGUUCUGUAGUCUGCUAUAGGUAAUAGCGACACAUAUGUUUCAUAUUCCAAGAGUUUGGUAUUUCUUCUCCUGAGAGAUCUUGUAGCCAGUAUGAUCUAGGCCCUAUGACCUUGGAUAUGAUGUAGGGACCUUCCCAUGGCAAGUUGAGUUUGUGCAGCCCUGAUGUGUCUUGUAUGCGUUGAAGGACCAUGUCACCUGUGUUAAAGGAACGCUCUUUGACAUUGCGGUCAUGGUAGUGUCGUAAUCCAUCGAGAUAUCUUGCUAACUGAACUAGUGCUGCACAUCUUAUUUCUUCCAAGCUAUCGAGGUCUAGGCAUCUUGUUUCCUCUGAUACUCCUUCGUCAUAUUGCUCAACUGCAGGUGACUGCCACAUGAUGUCUGCAGGGAGGAUGGCUUCUGACCCAUAUACAAGGAAGUAGGGAGAGUGUCCAGUAGGCUUGCAUGGUUGAGUACGUAGUCCCCAAAGAAUAUUGGGUAGAUCUUUGAGCCAUUUGCCUCCUUUUUUGUUGCUGAUGUCAUGCAGCCUUUUCUUGAGAGCUUCGAGUAACUGCUGUUGGCACACUCAACUUGUCCAUUGGCCCUUGGAUGAGCAACAGAGACAUAUCGUACAUCAAUUCUGCUAUUCUCGCAGUAUCCCCAGAAGUCAAGAUUGUUGAUGUUGGAUCCUAGGUCAGUGAUGAUCAUGUUAGGGAAGCCGUAGCGAUGUACAAUUUCAUCCAAGAAGUUGAGGACUCCGUCUGCCUUGGGGCAAGUGAUGGGUUUGACUUCAAUCCACUUGGUGAAUUUGUCGAUGGCUACGAGUACUCGAUUGAACCCUCCUAGCGCAGUUGGGAGUGGUCCUAUCAUAUCAAGCUCCCAGCAUGCAAAAGGCCAUGUUGGAGGUAUUGUGAUGAGCUUGUAGGCAGGGACAUGCUAUUGCUUAGUGAAGAAUUGAAAACCUUGGCAUUGAUAGACUAGUUGUUUUGCAUCUGCCAGUGCCAUGGGCCAGUAAAAACUUGCUCUAAAAGCUUUGCCUACGAUUGUUCGUGAAGAGGCAUGGUUACCACAGAUUCCUUUGUGUAUUUCUUCCAAGAGUUCUUGACCUUCUUCUCGGGUGACACAUUUCAUGAGUAUCCCUGAAGAUGCGCUCCUUCUGUAAAGCUUGUCUCCGACUAGAACAUAGUUCUUGCCUCGUCGUGAGACUUGUUUGGCUUGGUUUUUGUCAGAUGGUAGCUUUUGUUCUUUGAUGUAGUCGAUGAAUGGAGAUCUCCAGUUGACUUCGAUCAUGAUGACCUCGCGAUUGGGAUCUAGAGGUUUGGUAUUAGUAGUCGUUGGAGUAACUUGUUCUAAUAUGGAGGGCUUGCAAAACUCGUGUACAAAAAUCCCUGCUAGAACUUCUGCACGUGUUGGGCCCAUUUUUGAUAACACAUCAGCAGCUACAUAGUUGUCGCGAACAACAUGAUAGAAUUCUAGGCUUGAAAACUUAUUUUGUAGCUUGCAGACUUCCUUAUAGUAGGCGUCCAUGUUUUCCUUAUUGCGAUCCCAAUCAUCAUCGACUUGGUUAAUGCCGACUAGUUAGUCACCAUAUACCAGUAGUCGUUUGAUUCCGAGUGAUAUUGCGAGACGAAGACCAUGUAGUAGUUCUUCGUACUCGGCUUUGUUGUUUGAAACUUCCCAAAAGAUCUGGAGAACGUACUUGAGUUGUUGACCCUUUGGAGAGAUUAAGAGUACUCCUGCACCGGCACCUUCAAGCUUGAGAGAACCAUCGAAGUACAUAACCCAAUGUUCCGGUCUUUUGACUGGUGUUGGUACUUGGUUUUCUCUCCACUCUACCAUGAAGUCCACUAGAGCUUAGGAUUUGAUGACUGUUCUAGGUUUAAAGUCUAGAGAUAGGGCUCUGAGUUCAACCGCCCAUUUAGAUAUUCUUCCCGUUGCAUCCCUGUUGUGAAGGAUUUCACCAAGUGGGAAGUCUGUGAUAACGGAUAUGGUGUGUUCUUGAAAGUAAUGUCGCAGCGUCCAUGAGGUAAGCAGGAUUGCAUAAAGUAGCUUCUGCACCAGUGGGUACCGAGUUUUGGAGUUUGAGAGUACUUCACUAACAAAGUAGACAAGCCUCUAGACUUUGUAGAUGUGGCCUGGUUCAGACCUUUUGACUACUAUUGCUGUGCAGAUGACAUGAGUAGUGGCAGCUAUAUAUAGGAGCAAGUCUUUGUCUGGAGAUGGAGCUGUGAGAAUUGGUGGUUUUGACAAGAAGUCCUUGAGCUGUGUUAAGGCUAUGUCGGCCUCCUCUGUCCACUGAAACUUGUCCUGUCAUUUGAGUAGCUUGAAGAAGGGUAAUCCACGUUCUCCAAGUCUUGAGAUGAAUCGAUUAAGGGCUGCCAUGCAGGUUGUAAGCUUCUGCACAUCCUUGAUGCCAGCUGGAGCUUGCAUAUUUGUGAUGGCAGAUAUUUUUUCUGGGUUGGCCUCAAUGCCGCGGUGGCUAAUGAUGAAUCCAUGUAAUUUUCUAGAAGGUACACCAAAAACGCAUUUGGUAGGGUUGAGUUUUCGCCGGAAUGCUCAUAGACUUGCGAAGGUUUUUUCUAAAUCUGCUAUUAGAUCAUCUGGGUUUCUUGUUUUGACGACUACGUCGUCUACAUAAGCUUCUAUGUUGCAGUGUAGCUGUUUCUUGAAACACAUCUAGAUGGCGUGUUGAUAGGUCGCCCCUGCAUUUUUUAGCCCAAAAGACAUUGUUUUGUACCAAAAUGCACCAAACGGGGUGAUGAAAGCUGUUUUGGCUUGAUCUUCUUCUUUGAGGGCUAUUUGGUGAUAGCCUGAGUAGCAAUCAAGAAAACAGAGCAAAGUGCACCCAACUGUGGAGUUGACUACUUGGUUGAUCCUGGUUAGUCCAAAGGGGUCCUUUGGGCAACGUUUGCUAAGGUCUGUGUAGUCAACGCACAUCCUCCACACAUUAUUCUUCUUGUGAAUGAGUACAGGGUUAGCUAGCCAAUCAGGAUGGAAAACCUCUUUGAUAAACCCUCCCGCGAGUAGUUGGGCCAGCUCUUUUUUGAUUGCAUAUCUUCUAUCCUAGUCACACUGGGUUGCAGUUUACAGCGAAAUAACAUUCUAAACAGAUCAAGACUAGGCAAAACACACAGGCACACUUCACACAAGUGUAUAAAGAUAGCCAUGUAGAGCACACCAUUCAGAUUCAAAUGGACUAACAUAAGGUUAUAGUACCCGAGAAUACCUCUGAAGAAGUUAGAAGUGGGCACCGCCAAUCCUCUCUCGAUGAAAUGAGCAAGCAUCACCGUCUCCUUGGGGUGCUCGUCAAACUGCCACGCAUUCCCGAAUGCGGGCCUCCAUUCAAGUUCAACCUUUGGUUGAAGAAGCUUUGCGUCGACCAAAGCCUGGACCGCCAGCUCCUUCAUCAUGGAAUGAUGCUAGGUGAUCCCAGGAGGCGGCAGAAUAGUCUGGUUCAUUGGGCCACACUUAGGCGUCGGCAACAUAGGCUCCUUGCCCUUCUUGGAUCUACAUCUUAACUUACUGGUGGCCACAUGUAGGGAUACGAGGUAGGCUACGCUAGCGCAAAACAAAAAUUUUCUACCGCGUAAACCAGGAAAACUUCCAUAUAUAGAUAACGGGAUUAUCACUCCACGCACUGGUGCGAAAGAUGUAGAAUCGCGUCGGGGCAGCAAAGUCGAUCAGCGUAGUUGAACACGUAGUUGAUCACGUCGACGUCGAGCAGCUCCUCAGCAGCUCAUCCACGUACAGCGAGGUCAUCCUCAUGCCGCGGCUCGUCGUCAGCCUGUCGUGGCUCGUCCAAGUGCUACAGGUGCAACACCUCCAAGGUAUCCACACGUGCAGGGAGGAAGUGUCGCAAGCUGGACUGCUAGAUCCGCGAGUUGCAACAGGCGAGGGCGUGGGAGGCGCGGCAUGGGAGCCACGGCAGCUAUGGUUCGGCCAAAAGGAUUAAAACCCUAGGGCGCCCCACCCCUCUAUUUAUAGAGGUUCCUGAUGGGCCUCUGGGUCCAAGGCCCAUUAGUACUCCUAAACCUGAUCCAAUUCAGAUCAUAUCCGAAUUGGGCUUCUAGCCCCUUAAGUGUGUGACCCUAUAGGUUCGGAUACGCAUAGACAUGGCCCGAGUACUCCUACUCGGCCCAAUAGUCUGUAGCGGCCUCUAGCAAGACGAGCCAACUCCUAUACGCAUACGAAGAUCAUAUCAGAUGAACCAUCACAACAUCACGUACAUGCUAUUCCCUUUGCAUCAUGAUAUUUGGUCUAGCUUCAAGCCGACCGCUCUUUCUCGAUCCUGUGAUUCAGAAUCCCUUUCUAGGUUAACUCUUAACCUUACGUAGUAUGGCUAUGCAUUUCCGGAUCUGAUCACUCGAGGGGCCCAGAGAUAUCACUCUCAAUCAAACAGGACAAAUCCCAUCUUGAUUGGCCAUGCCUCACAGCAUGCUUCUUGACAAACCCAAAAGCUACCUUUUUAACUACCCUAUUAUGGUGUAGCGUUUGAUAGCCCCUAAGUAAGUGGAUCCACAUCUUGAGUACAUGUGACAAUCUCAGGUCUAAGGGCAAAGCGUACUUGUUGUGUAAAGAGAGAACUACUUCUCACGUUGGGUCAGUCCUAACACAUGUCUCUACAUGUACCCACAUUAUUAGUUUGACAUCUCCAUGUCCAUGACUCGUGAAACAUAGUCAUCAACUAAUACAUGUGCUAGUCUAAUAUUCAUAUGUGUCCUCACAUGAACUCCGACUAGGGACAACUUUAGAAUAAUCAUACAAGUAAAAAGUUUCACAUACAAUUCACAUAAUUGCAAAUCAAUUCAAGUAGCCUUUGAUGGAUAUUCAAGGAACACAAUAUAAAUCAUGGAGACAAUCAGAUAUCAUCAUCUCUAUGAUUGCUACUAGGGCAUGUCUCCAACACCACUGUAUACCCUGGAUCUUCUUGGGUUUCUUUCCCGUCUUCUUGACGCGCAUCAAGUGGUCUUAAGAAAAAAGGAAGCAGGAAGGGGCUGCAGCGGAUCUCUCUCAAAGACCAGGCAAGAACAACAAUGGCGGCGAUGGCGCAAGGAAGAGCAGCGGCGCUAUGGUCACAAGAAAGGGGUGCAAAUUACAGAUCUGUUAAAACAAGUGUAUCGCUAAUUACAGCUGGGCCCCCCAAUUAUAUCAGCAGCAUCUUCGGGUUCCAAGCGUCAAUUAAGCAACAGUUAGAUACAACUCAAAUUUACCACCAUAAUGUCCAACGGUUACUCUGGCCUAAAGAUUGACCCCUUCAUCGACUACAAGUAACUGUCCAAGUGCUCGGGGGCUGCGUAUACUGUACUCGUUGGAUAAAGUUUUUUCUUUUUCUGGAGACUACUUAAGAUGAAGCAAAAUUACAAGUUUGACCCUCAGCCUGAUUCUUUGAUUCAACCUAAGGCUCGGGGGCUACUCCAUAUUGAGUGCGAUUGUCAUCGCACUACCAUAUAUAAAAGUUUCAAGGCAAACAUUACGCAAAGCAAACAUCGGGGACUAUUAAGAGUACCUUCCAGUCAUGCAACAACACCAGUACUUGAAGGUUGGUCGCGUCGAGUACUCAAGAAGCACCAGGAGGAACUCAGGCAGCGUCCUCAAGUACUCAGAGCUGUUUCUCUCAACUACAAAAUACUCGGGGGCUUGUCGGCUAGGCACCGCUGGGCUCGCUAGAAGACUUGCGGACCCACUCAAGGGGACGUACCCGAAAUCUACUCGGAUAUGAAGACUACUCUGCAGGGCGUGUAGGCUUCAUGGUUUCCCCGAAGACUAGUCGGGUAGAAAGGAGAUUACUCUACGAGUUAGAGUAGGACUCUGUAAACGUACUCGACUAGAACUUGAACGCAAUCCAUCCUAUAACCCUGCUCCCCUGACUAUAUAAGGGCGGGCAGGACCCCCUCCAAAGAAUAGAGAACAAGAGAACACAUCUCAAUCAAUACAAUCAAAACACAGGACAUAGGGUAUUACACGAUCUAGCGGCCCAAACCUGUGUAAAUCAUGUUCCUUACAUCGCCAUCGACUCCUUGAUUUUUGACGACACCCACCGCACAAAAGACCAUCUAGGGUACCCCCUAGGUGGGUUGCCGGUCUAGAAACACCGACAAUCCGAUAAACCACUUGUCUCAGAUCAAAACAAAGCAUACUCGCACGAAGACAAGUCUAGAGAUUACAACAAUCCAGAUAUUUCAUUACAGAUUCCAAAUUAAGUUAUUACAACUCAAGAGUUCAAAUGCAUAAAAGGAGUGUUUAGAGUUCAAAAGUAGUGGAAAUAAAAUAAUACAACUAACGUUGAUACAGGGUAUCAUGGUGAAGCUUGCCAUGAUAUCAAUCACCGCAUUCCUCGCCAACCGAGGAUGGGUCCCACUCAACUGUCCAACCCGGAGGGAUUUGGGUUGGCCAAGUCACACUAGCAACCACAUCAACAUUACCUGAAAACAUAGUCAAAAGCAAGCCUGAGUAUACUAAUACUCCGCAAGACUUACCCGUCAGGUGGUAUCUAAUCCACCAACUCCUAGACAUGCAAGGCUUUUGGGCUGAGGGAUUUGUUUUUGCCAAAAGCUUCUAAAGUAGGUCCUUACUUUCAACUUUUAGCAUCAAGUUCUAGUUGAUUAACCAUUCUAGGUAAGCACCUAUUCUAAGCAAGCAUGGUAGAACAAACAAAUUAGUUGAGCAUCAGUAUUAAUCAUCAUCCUUGCUCACCUUCUUACUCCCAAACUAUGAGAAGCAGAUGAUUCAAAUCGAAUUUAUUAACCUUGCAAGGUGGACCUAAACACACGACAUAUGCUACUGCUGACACGGGUUUACAUAUAUCAAAGGUUCCCGUCAAUCCACGGCGCUUGUCCAGAUCCCACUUCCCUUGAAUACAAGGCCCCACCGGUCCCGGAACGACGUCGUACCGUGGAUGCACUUGUACCCACAUGGUGCACCAGGGGAACUCAGUCCCAUAGAAAGUGGGGGAAAGGUCCAUGCCAGUUCAAUCAGGUACUAGGCUUACUGAUUUCCCAUACUCUCAGCAUGUGUUUAGUAUGUUCAAAAACUUGACCAAGACUCCCAAAUGUUUCGACCUUAGCAAUUUUCCUCUAAACAAACGGGGCAUCAACCAUCUCUGAACAGAGUACCAAGCCCUGCAUGUCAACCUUAUGAUUCCAACAUAAGUAAACAGGCAACUCCUAUAGCUCACGAGUGAUAGGAAAUCACUUGACUUUUAUUGUGCCCCUAUUUAGCAUAGCAACUACGCGACUUAACAAGCUAGUAUUCAAACAUGGGUACUAGGGAGCAUGCAACUAAGGUUUCAAGCAACUCCUACAAACUUAAUGCUCAAACAUAAGUAAUAUAAGUAUUGCAUAAUUUUAGAAACCAAGGUUAUGCUCCGGGGCUUACCUUCCUAUACUAGGUUAGUCUGGGGCUCGUUUGAAGCUUGACUCGGUUCUUGGGCAGCCUCGAUCUGGUUCACUUCUGCAGACGGCUCCUCCUCAGCUUUCGAGAUUAGCUCUUAGGUACCGUCAGCGAGAUUUGCUUCUACACGAGAUGCAUAUGCAAGAUUUCAAACUUUUCUUUCAUAGUAAAGUAAAGUGUGUUCCGAUUUAAAACUCAGGCUUGACUUGAUGGUGAUUGUGUACACAUAUAAGAUUUUAACAACUUUAGACUUCACAAAGAAAGGUGGGGGUCAUUUUAGGGUUGCUCAACAUUCAUUUAGAAAGUUAUCAUAUUUCUGAAUUUUAAACCAACAUAACAUAGCAUUUACCAUUCUACCCCUUUCUUAUUAACAGUUGUUAUUAUUCAUUUAACUAGCUAUUAAACUCAAAUAAAUGUUUCUGGAAGCAACUGAUAAGAUAUGGUUCUGAAAGUUUUAUAGAAGCUUCAUUAUUACACAAGUGAUCUACUGUAAAAAUUUGAGAUGCAUUUGACUUUUACAAAAUUUACUAAAAACCAAACAACAUUAAAUUGCAAAACACGAAGAAUGAUUUUUAACUAGGGUUUCAUCAUCAGACUAGCUCUACAAAUUUUACAGAAGGGUUACCAGCACUAACAUAUGUUAUAGUAAAAUGUUUCAAGGUUUAAAGAGCAUGAAAACUAUUUAUCACAUAAAAAGUACAUUAAACCACAUGUAGUUAUUAAAGCAAGGUAAAACUCAUAUCUCAUAGAAGCAAAUAUUUUUCCUAGUCAGACAUCUGCAUAAGAAGUCUAACAAAAUUGAUUUCACAUAUUAGCAUUUUUCUACAUUUCUCUACACAUUUUCAAAGUUUCAGCCAUUUAUUCAUUUUAAAACAGAAAAAGCUAAACAUGUUUUAAAGAAGGGGGCUCGCAACUUUCAAAGUUUCACAAAUAGGUCCUACCUUUUUACACCUCAAACCCUAUAAAGAUUUGGGAGCUUGCAAUGUGCCCCUCGGGCUCUGCCAGCGGUUUGCUAGCGCGAUUCCAACGAACUUCGGCGGGGAGGGGUGAGGUGAGGGUCUGGGUGUGAUGAGUGUUUCACCUAGGGCCUGUGAGCUAUGGGUGUUGAAGGUGGAGGGUGACCAGUGGUGGAGCUUGACGGUGAGGCCUCGGGCGCGGUGGAGGCUUGCCAUCUCCGGUGCCGGUGGUGGCGGAGAUGGUCAGGGGAGGGCUCAGGAAGGUGGUGUGGGGCACGGGUGGUCCACCAAAGGGCUUAGGAGGUGGGGGGGUGCUCGGAGGGGAGGGCUCCAGGUGAGGUGCUAUGGGCAGCGCGGCAGAGCUUCGGCGUCGGGUGCAGUGGCAGGGCAGCACCGGCGGGCCAUUUAUAGCGGCUGAGGAGCGAGGGGAGGAUAAGGACGUUAGGAAAAGCUCGAACGGUGACUGGCAGAGCAGGCGUGCGGCGCGGCGGUUGGCCGUGGCGGCACUUGCGCGUGGGCAAGCAGCAGGGAUUGUUGGGGAGGGAUCCUAACGUGGAGCAGCUGGUUUGUCUCACACAGUGAGUGGGCUAGACGGCGUGCUCAUCAGGUCACAUCACCAGCCAGAUUGGCCGGGCGACAAUAGCCUGCGCCGGGCGGCGACGUGGUAGCCGCGGUAGCAGCAUGGGCAGCCGCACGGAUGGGGACUGGCCGAAGGAGAUAGGCCAGUUGGGAGGGUGAGAUGGCACGCGCGUGUGGUUUGGCAAGUGCCAGGGAUGUGCUGUCCUAUCGCCGGUGGGACUGGCCGGCGGCGCUGCACCAAGCGGGCAAAGCGACGUGUCACACCAUGACACGUUGUGCGCGAUCACCCCUGAUCGCUUGCACGUGCUAUCGCUGGUGUGUGUGUGUAGGCAAGGACUUUGACCCGAGUUUUCUCCAAAAUUUGAAUUCAAACUUUAAAAAAUUCAAAUAUAAACGUUGGAGAUGGCAUGACUGACUACAAUGUUUACAAAAGCCAACUGGUGAAAUUCUCAACCACUUUGGAGUUUGAGCUGAGCAAAGUUUGGUAGAACGCUAGCUUAGGCUGAUUUUUGAAUUUGCUUCAAUUUGGCUGAAAAGUUCUACAACUUCUAUAUUGGCCAAAAGUUAAGUUCUUAUGUAAAAUUCUAUUUUUAUUUCCUACCCAAAGAAAGUGCCUUUUAGUGGUGUUUUCAACACUUAGAUCAAUUGAAGUGCAUUUGAAUUGGACAAGUGGCAACUUGAGUUUAGUUGUGAUUUGUUUGCUUCAUCACUAUGAUUACUUUUGAUUUUUCUAGCUAAUUACUAUAGAUGUUACAACCUUAUUCACAGUGAUUGAGUCUAGUCAAAAACCAGUGUCAACAACUUCCAGUUUGAUAGCCGAUGGGUGAGGCUGUGCACCUGAUUCUAAGACCAGACCUUUUCCAAAAGACAAUGAAGUUGUUGUUUUCAGGAUCUUUUCACUGCAGGACUUCGCUUUCCCCUUGAUCCUAUUAUUGACCAUAUCCUCUUGAAGUAUGGAAUGUAUCUUCAUCAGUUGACCCCCAAUGGAGUACUUCAGUUGAGCAUAUUGAUGUGGGUGUGCGAGAGCAUGGGCAUUGCUCUCACCGUUGAGAAUUUUCUGUGGGCCCAUGUUAUUCAUCACCAACCUAAGCAUGUUGAGCGUGUAGGAGAAAAUGGCGCUCUAAUUACAGAAGAGGCCUAGUUUGGUUGUCUCAACUCCGGUACAAGAAUGAAGGAUCGACACCUGUUACUUCGUACAAGAACCACUGGGAGGACGACUGGAACUACUUUUGGUUUUAUCAUACUAUCGAAGUGGACUCCACUACUGGCACUCAUCCCCUUGUCUGCAAGGAGUUCAAGGUUAUUCCCAAGGACAUGCCUUGUGAAACCGAAGACAAACACUUCACAUCUGUUUAUGGUUGCCUUUCACGAGCUAGCUAAGUCCUAUGGCACACGUGACCUGGUCGAAGAAUACUGCACCGUGCAAGUUUUUCCUAUAAAAGCUAGUUGGGCUAUUACCGCCUAGAAGGACUUCUCGAGUUCCAUCAAGAUUCCUAACUUUGCUAACAGCUUUAAAAUAAGCAAAGCAGGUAUCCAUAUUCUCAUUUUAUUCAUCCUUCUUAUGGCCUUUGCUCCUUUUCUAUAGUUCUCAUGUUAUUUCAUUUUUCAGUUUGCAGAUGUUAAUGUCAGAGAAGUCAAGGAAAAGCCAAUGUCAUCCUGGGUCCUGAGAGUGCCAAGGAAUAUAAUGAACUAGUGAAGAGGCUUGAUGGUGCGCGAAGUAACCGAGUGUUUGAAUUUUUCGAGCUUACCAGGGAAGCCACGCUGAUUCAUCAGGCAAACGAUGUGAAAUGUGCCUUGAAGAAAGGCACCACAACAGUGUCAGAGGUGCCUGUGCCCGUGUCUUCUCACUAGAACAAGAAAAGCAAGCGCUAGAGCCCUUCGCCGCUCACACUCUGUAACGCGCUCACACUUAACCUCGCCCUUCAGAAGAAGUUGUGGAAUCAAGCCCAGAAGAGCAAGGUACUAAUUCUGGUUCCAGCGAUGGUGAAGAAAACUUCCUAGAUAAAGCUCUCACUCCUAGCUCCAGCCGUGAAGAGGAAAUUGAAAUUACUUCGUCCCCAGCCCCACAAGUCCCUAAGGAUCGUGUCUCGCUGUGAACUGAUUGUAGGUAUACGAGGUAGGCUACGCUAGCGCAAAAUAAAAUAUCCUACCACGUAAACUAGGAAUAAAUGCUGUUAUAGAUCAUGGGAUUAGUACUCGAUGCACAGGUGCGGAAGUUGUAGAUAAGCGUCGGGGCAGCGAAGUCGAUCACACGUUGACGCAGUGUAGUCAAACAUGUUGAUGUCGAGCAGCUCCUCAGCAGCUCAUCCACGUGCAGCGACUCCCUCCUCGUGCUGCGGCUCGUCAGGCUUGUCGUCAUCUUGUCAUCGGCUCGUCAGAUUCCUCGUCGGAGCUCUCGUGCGGCGGCUCGUCCAAGUGCUGCAGAUGCAACACCUCCAAGGUAUCGACAUAUGCGGGGAGGAAGCGUCGCAAGCCGGACUGCUAGGUCUGCGAGUUGCAACAAGGCGAGGGCGUGGGAGGCGCAGCUGCUACUGGUGCGAUAGGGGAUGAUCCCCUAGGGCGCCCCCCCACCCCUCAAUAUAUAGGGGUUCCUAACGGGCCUCUGGGUUGGAGGCCCAUUAGUACUCCUAAACCUGAUCCAAUACAGAUCACAUCCAAAUUGGGCUUUCAACCCUUUAAGUGUGUGACCCUAUAGGUUCAUAUACGUAUCGACACGGCCCGAGUACUCCUACUCGGCCAAUAGUUAGUAGCGGCCUCUAGCAAGACAUACUAACUCAUAUACGCACACGAAGAUCAAAUCAGAGGAACCAUCACAACAUCACGUACACGGUAUUCCCUUUGCCUAACGAUAUUUGGUCUAGCUCCAAGCCGACCACUCUUUCUCGAUGUUGUAAUUACCAAUCCCUUUCUAGGUGAACUCUUAACCUCAGGUAGCAUGGCCAUGCAUUUCCGGAUCCGAUCACUUGAGGGGCCCAGAGAUAUUUCUCUCAAAUAGAGAGGGGCAAAUUUCAUCUUGACUGACCAUGCCUCACAGCAUGCUUCUUGAUAAACCCGAAAGCUAUCUUUAUGACUACCCAGUUAUGGUGUAGCAUAUGAUAGUCCAUAAGUAAGUUGAUCCACAUCUUUAGUACAUGUGAUAGUCUCAGGUCUAAGGACAAGGCAUACAUGUUGUGUAAAGAGAGAACUACGUAACUCAUGUUGGGUCAGUCCUAGCACAUGUCUCUACACAUGCCCACAUUAUUAGUUUGACAUGUCCAUGUCCAUGACUUGUGAAACAUAGUCAUCAAAUAACACAUGUGCUAGUCUAAUAUUCAUGUGUGUCCUCACAUGAACUCCAACUAGGGACAACUUUUAGAAUAACCAUACAAGUAAAGAGUUUCACACAUAAUUCACAUAAUUGCAAAUCAAUUCAAGUAGCCUUUAAUGGAUAUUCAAGGAACAUAAUAUAAAACAUGAAUACAAAGGAAUAUCAUCAUCUCUAUGAUUGCCUCUAGGGCAUACCUCCAACAGGCUCCCACUUGCACUAGAGACAAUCUAGAAGAUAUCUAAUACCCAUAGCUCUUAUGUUUGCAUCAUGCUUAGACUGCGGGAGAUGCUUUGUCAACGUAUCAGAAAUAUUCAAAUUCGUCUGUAUUUUGCAUAUCUUGAUCUUACCCCAAUUUAUGAAGUCUCGAAUGAGAUGAAAUCACCGCAUUACGUGUUUGUUCUUCUGGUGAAUCCUAGGCUCCUUUGCUUGCGCAAUAGCCCUAUUGUUAUCACAGCAGAGAUUCAAUGGGUUAGACGGAUUCAGGAACACACCAAGCUCAAUAAGGAAAUUCCUUAUCCAAACACCCUCCUUCGCGGCUUUUGAAGCCGUGACGUACUCGGCUUCUAUCAUAGAACCAUCCAUCGUCUCCUGCUCGGAACUCUUCAAGCUAACAGCACCAUCGUUUAGCAUAAACACAAAUCCUGAUUGUGAUUCUGAAUCGUCUAGUCAGUUUGGAAACUAGCAUCGGUGUAACCUGUUACAACGAGCUCCUCCUCACCUCCAUAGACGAGGAACAUUUUUUUAGUCCUUUUGAAGUACUUAAGAGUGUUUUUCACUGCUGUCCAGUGACUCUCACCCGGAUCAGACUGGUGUCUGCUUGUCAUACUUAGCCCAUAUGAAACAUCUGGGUGAGUACUUAUCAUUGCAUACAUGAUAGAUCUGGUAGCCGAAGCAUAUGGCACUCUACUCAUGUGAUCCCACUCAUCAGUAGUCGAAGGAAAUUGAGUCUUGCUAAGGUGUAUGCCAUCUGACAUAGGCAAAAAAAA
rnacentral:lncRNA from 1 species